AACGAAGAGGGUAUGUUCCCGAAAAACCUAGUAAAGGAAACUUUCAGAAGCAUGAGAGGACUACUUCGAUUAAAUUCAGGAAAAUAUCCAGUCAGAUCUUGGUUGUAUCUCACACUAAGAAUUUCUAGGUUUGGUAGUUGGAAAAUUCUCACAGGAAAUUCACCAAACAGGUGACAUCCCACGAUGGCUAGGGCAUUCAAAGAUGAUAAGUUAGCCAUUGAAUAAGGAAUUGCCGAAGAUAUGUUUACCAAACUGAGGGAAAGUACUUCGAGACUAGUUAAGUUUUGAACUAGGCUUCCAAACUGAGGUAGUAGGAAUUUGAGAGUAAUUGAAGUUAUUGUCAGAGAGGUUUAACCUUUGACAUCACUUUCAUCUCCAUUUUGUUUGUUAAAAGAUACGAACAAACGUUGACAUAACUUAAAACAAUACGAUGUAUAGGGCAUGGUCUUGACCUUGAACAACCAAUCAACUAGAAGCUAAAAAGCAGAAAUACAUUCUUUCUUUCUUUUUAAAAAAACCUCGACGGUACGAGGGAAAAUUUUAUUGAAUAAAAAAAAAGUUACACCUAAUCAGGAGGACAUAAACUUUACCCCUCAAAAUAAAGAGACAAUGAAGAAAAGAAAGCGAAAAUACAAGAAAGUAGGGGACAUACACUUACAUAACGGGAAACAAACUUAUAACUAAACGUAUAGGAAGAGAAGGAAAAAAACCACAACAAAGAAAAUAAACGACAACAACAAAUGCAUAACAUUGUAACGUACCCAAUUUCUAAGCCCCCCACUAGUACUCUAAAUUUUCCUUAUCAUUUGUCUGAUCAUUCCAACAAUCUUAAGAAACAAAUCGGGCCUCCUUGUAAUCACAACAUCUGCAAGAAUUACUCCCACUACAAACCCACUUCCACAUCCGGCCGAAACAAUUUUCCAAUCAAAUUCAAAUAUUCCUGCUGAGCUAGAAUCACCUUCGUCUACAAUUGAAGGUGGAAGUUGAGGGGCCUUAGGAUUUCCACAUUUCUUUGGCAAUGGAUCUCCACACAACCCUAGGUUUCCCUCGUAUGAAGUGAUAUUCAAUGAAGUAAGUUGGGUUCCUUGUGGUAUAAGACCUGUGAGAUUGUUGUGAGACACAUUGAAAUUGGCAAGAAAAGUAAGUCGACUCAGUUGUUGGGGGAUCUGUCCUGAGAGCAUGUUUUGUGAAAGGUCCAACGAUUCAAGCUUCGUCAAGUUUCCGAAGGAUGAUGGAAUAGAACCAGUGAGAAUGUUGUGGGAUAGAUUCAGCGAACGAAGCUCCUUAAGGUUCCCAAUGAAUUCUGGAAUUUUCCCUUCAAAUUUGUUGCUUGAGAUAUCAAAGGAUGCAAAUUCUUCUCGGAUCUUUGGGUAGUAUUGCUCCAAACCUUUUGUUGCUAUUGUGAGUUGGUAAUCAACAUUGCUCCAAACCGGGAAUCCAUCGACAUCAUAAACUACACGUGUGUACAUAUAUGUUGACUUGUUUACAGUAAUAUCUAGAAACACAGAUGGAACCGCUCCAGUAAAAUCAUUGUAAGCCAAAUCAAGAAUGCGUAACUUGGGGAAAUCGACAUUCUUUCUAGAUUUUCCAAUCACACCGUAGAAUCCAUUAUGGCGCAUUGCCAAAAGUUUUAACUCUAGAAGAGUCCCCAACCAAAUGGGAAAAACAUCAUUGAAACGAUUGUUUGACAAAACAAGAUACUCAAGCAUCACACAAUUGGCCAAUGACCUCGGCAACUGCCCCUGCAACUUGUUAUGACUCACAUCAAUCAUUCUCAAACUGCUUCCUUUGUUGUAUGUCUGAGGAAUAAUUCCGUGAAAAGCGUUGUUUCCGAGAAGUAGAAGUGUCAGAUGAUCACUAAAGUUUCCAAGACACUGAGGAAGCAUGCCACUCAAGUUAUUUUUCGACAAGUCAAGGGACAGAAGAUUUUUCAUAUUGCAAAGCAACGGUGAGAUUUCUCCAGUAAAGUUGUUGUCUGCAGCUGCAUAUUCUCGCAUGGUUGGUGGAGGUAUCGGUAGUGAUCCAUGAAACAUGUUGGACGAAAACCUUAGACAUAACAGUUUCACCCAAGGAAGGACAAGUGGAGGUUGGUCUGAAAUGAAGUUAUUGGAAAUGUCUAACAAUAGCAAAGUUUCUAAGCUUGUAUUCCACAUCCAUUUUGGUACUUGGCCUCGGAUUUUGUUUCCAGCAAUUUCCAAACGCGUCAACCCAUUCUGAUAUUGUAAGAAGGAUGGAAACUCUCCUAAGUUGCAAUUACUCAAUCCAAGAACAGUGAACUGUUUAACUGUUGAAUUCAAAAUUCUGGAUUGAGUGACAAGUUCUAAACCGUUCCCGCUUAAUUCGAGUUGGUAAAGAGAUUGUAGAUUUUGAAACAUUUGAAACUCUACUGCACCACUCAGAGUAUUCGAAUGUAGAUACAGGAUCUGAAGGUUUGUGAGAUUUGAAAAUGACGCAGGAACUGAACCAUUUAAUCUAUUAAAAGCAAAAUCUAGGUACUCUAGUUUGCUAAAGUUGCCUAGCCAAGAUGGGAUUGGACCGGUUAAUCGACUUGUACUAAUCCUAAAAGUAGCCAGUUGGGUAAGGUUUGCCAAGGAAUCAGGAAUUAGACCUCCAAAUUUAUUGGCUGAAAUGUCUAGAUAAGUGAGCUGCCUAAGAUUCCCAAGAAAAGAUGGAACCAACCCUUCCGAAAAAUUGCAUUGAGCCACAUCGAAGUUUUGCAGUGAAUGAAGGUUUUGAAUUGAAGAGGGUAUUGUUCCAAAAAAGCCAGUAAAGCCGACUUUCAGUAAGAUGAGAGGACUGCUUUGAUUAAAUUCAGGAAAAUAUCCAGUCAGAUCUUGGUUGUAUCUCACACUAAGAGAUUCUAGGUUUGGCAGUUGGAAAAUUCUCACUGGAAAUUCACCAAACAGGUGAUAGUCCCUGAGGUAGAGGGUUGUCAAAGAUGAUAAAUUAGCCAUGGAAUGAGGAAUUGCCGAAGAUACAUUUACAAAACUGAGAGAAAGUACUUCGAGACUGGUUAAGUUUUGAACUAGGCUUCCAAGAUCUGAUGCUUCAAGUUUCAACAAGGGAUAAUUCUCCUCUUCUGACGACUGAUGAUCCUUAUCUUCUGACAAUCUAUCGAGAUUGAGAGCUAGAUUAAGGUAUGUCAACUUGGAUAACAGUGAAAGUUCAGAAGGGACUUGACCAGAAAAGACAGAGGUAGAGAGGUCAAGAUGAGUAAGGCUUGGAAAAUUCCUAAUGCUAGUAGGAAUUUGAGAGUAAUUGAAGUUAUUGUCAGUGAGGUUUAACCUUUGAAGAUGAACAAGGCGGAAGAGGCUGCUGUUGCUGUUGAUAGUGUUGGGACUUAAAAAGGCUUCACUACUUUGGAGAUGUUUAUCUCACAAAGAAGAAUGAAAUGCAGCGGAAUUGAUAGGCAAGAGAAAGAACACUCAAAGUGUUAUACAAAUUUUUUUUAUUCUCACACAAACUUAGUACAAGAGGAAACACUCAAACACUCUCACACUUCUUGCUCUCUUACUUGCUCUCACUUCUUCUUAGUUCUUGCUUCACAACUCACACACAUACACCUAUUUAUAGGCAUGUUUGCCGACCUAUGCCAUCACUAGAGUUUUCUAGUGUAUGAACAUGCACAUACUACACCAACCUAGGCAUUUGCUAGAUUAUUCUAGCUUGUUAUGCAUGCCACCGACAUGGGCAUUACAUAAUAACCUAUACAUUUAUGAUGGUUCUAGCCUUUUCUACAUACAAACCAUUUUUCUAGAUUUUCUUAAACUUUUCCAACUUUCUACCUUCUUUGCUAGAGUUUUCUAGCAUUUUCUCAUUGGUUUUGGGUUGGAUCACUUGUCUUGGGCCUAAGACAAGAUUACUAUUCAACAUCCCCCCUUAAUCUUGUCUUGUGACGCCGAUUGAGUUUCUCAGUCUGACAAAGUCUUCUUGCCUAAGUGGUUUGGUAAAUAUGUCGGCGACUUGGUCUUGUGACUUCACGUAUUCCACUUGCACAUCCUUUCUUGCAAUGCACUCUCUUAUGUAGUGAUAACGAGUAUCUAUGUGCUUGCUUCUGUCAUGGAAUACUGGAUUCUUUGUUAGGGCUAUUGCAGACUUGUUGUCGACAUAGAUCUCUGUUGGUUCUUCUUGUGGCAUGCUUAAUUCUUUUAGCAAGUUUCUCAGCCAAAUUGCAUGGCAGACACAUGAAGUAGCAGCUACGUAUUCAGCUUCGCAGGUAGAGAGAGUGACAAUCGGUUGCUUCUUCGACAUCCAUGUGAAUGCAGUGUCUCCCAUGAAGAACACAAAUCCAGUAGUGCUUUUUCUAUCAUCGGAAUCUCCUGCCCAAUCAUUGUCGCUAUAUCCAGCAAGUUUGUAGUUAUCAGAACUUGAAUAGAAUAAGCCAAAGUUAACAGUACCUUUAAGGUAUCGAAGAAUUCUUUUGGCUGUCUUCAGAUGUGUAGUUGUGGGAUUCUCCAUGUAGCGACUGACUAAUCCGACGGCAUAGAGAAUAUCUGGUCUUGUGCAAGUCAAGUAACGCAAGCUUCCAACUAAACUCUUGAAAAAUGUUGGAUCUACACUUUCUCCUUCGUCAUGCUUGGUUAGUUUGACUCCGCACUCCACUGGCGUGUUUAUGGGCUUGCAGUCGUCCAUUUUGAACUUUUUCAGUAUCUCUUUUGUGUAGCUUUCUUGGGAGAUGAAAAUACCUUCUUCGUUCUGCUUGACUUCAAUGCCUAGGUAGUAUGCCAUCAACCCGAUGUCCGUCAUCUCGAAUUCUUUGGUCAUCACUCUCUUGAACUCUUCAAACAUGCUUGGAUUACUUCCGGUGAAGAUUAGAUCAUCCACAUAUAAGCACACAAUCAAAAUAUCUCCAUCUUUGACUUUGACGUAGAGAGCAUGUUCAUGAGGGCACUUGGUGAAGUUGUUCUCAUGGAAGUACUUGUCAAUGCGACUAUUCCAUGCUCGUGGCGCUUGUUUUAACCCAUAGAGGGCUUUCUUCAACUUCAAAACUUUAUCUUCAUGCCCUUUGAUUUCAUAGCCUGAUGGUUGCUGAAUGUAGACUUCUUCUUCAAGGACUCCAUUUAGGAAAGCGGACUUCACAUCCAUUUGUUGAAUCUUCCAUCUGUUUUGAGCUGCCAACGAAAUUAGUAAUCGUAUAGUUUCCAACCGAGCAACAGGUGCAAAUACCUCAUCAUAGUCGAUUCCGGCUCUUUGACUAUAGCCCUUCGCCACUAAUCUCGCCUUGUAUCUUUCGACCUCUCCAUUGGCAUUUUUCUUUGUCUUGUACACCCACUUGACUCCGAUGGCUUUGUGUCCUUUCGGAAGAAUAGCGAGUUCCCAUGUAUCAUUCUUCUGGAUUGCUUCAAUUUCUUCAUCCAUUGCUUUCCUCCACUUAGUAUCUUGCACUGCUUCUUGGAAGUCAACUGGUUCACAAUCAGCAAAGAGACAGAAAAGUGUAGGAUUAUCGAGUCUUUCAGCUACCUCAUAAAGAUCUCGUAGACUUCUUGUGCGUGGUACUUCUCUUUCAUUUAGACUCCCACUUGGUGAUGCUGAUGCUGGUGAAUUUCCAUGAUUGGUUGAUGUUGGUGAAGCAGGUGGAGUAGUGGAUUCUUGUUGAACUUCUCUUGCUUGCUCCAUCGUCCCUUGUUCAUUCUUUUCUUCAAAUUGAGGAAAGAAGCUGAGAUCACUUGCAUGAGAGCUAAAAUCCCAUUCUCCUUCUUCGUCGAACGUCACGUCUCGACUGAUCAUCGUCUUCCCAUUGUUUGGAUUAUACAACUUGUAGCCUUUUGAAUUUGAGUCAUAGCCGAUGAAGAUGAACUUCUCACUUUUGUCGUCGAGUUUGGUUCUCCUCUCGUCUGGUACAUGUACAUGGGCUAUGCUUCCAAAAACUCUUAGAUGGGAGAUACCUGGCUUUCUUCCACUCCAUGCUUCUUGUGGAGUCUUUCCCCACACACUUCUUGUUGGAGACCGAUUGGAUAGGUAGACAGCACAUGCUACAGCUUCUGCCCAUAACUCUUUAGGUAAUCUCUUACUUUUGAGCAUACUUCGAGCCAUGUCGAGGAUAGUUCGAUUUUUUCUUUCCGCCACACCAUUUUGUUGAGGGGAUCUUGGAACUGUCAAAGGUCGACGAAUUCCAUUUUCUUCACAAAACUCUUGAAAUUCCUUCGAAGUGAAUUCUCCUCCUCGAUCAGAUCUCAUGGCUUUGAUCUUGCAACCACUUUCUUUUUCUACAGCGACUUUGAACUUCUUGAAUGCUCCAAAGACUUCUGAUUCUGCUUCAAGAAAUACACCCAGGUUUUCCUUGAAAAAUCAUCAAUGAAGAGAAGGAAAUAAUUAUUUUUACCCAAAGAGCUUGGUUUUAUUGGGCCGCACACAUCGGUGUGAAUGAGCUCAAGUGGCUUCUGGGUUCUUGUGGUCGACUCCUUUGGAAAGCUUUUCCUGAACUGUUUCCCAAGUAAACAUCCUUCACAAACUUGAUUAGGGUGGCUGAUGCACGGUAAGCCUCUCACCAUCUCCUUCUUAGAUAAUAACUCCAAUCCCCCAAAGUUAAGAUGCCCAAAACGAAGAUGCCAAAGCCAAGAUAUGUCUUUGUAACAAAUCUUGAGACACUUUGUAACAUCGUUUUGAAUGUCCAUGGGAAACAUCCUAUUCUUUGACAUUUUCGCCUUGGCAAUUAAUCUUCCUUUGUCAUCUCUAAGAAAAAGGAUAUAAUUUUUCGUAUGAAAAUCAUAACCUUUUUCUAAGAGUUGACCCAAACUCAAAAUGUUGCUUUUCAUAUUGGGCACGUAGUAGACAUUUGAAAUUAAUUGGUGACCGCCAUUUUUCAAGGGAAUAAGGAUGUUACCUUUUCCUUUUACAGGUAUUUUGGAUUCGUCUCCAAAAGAAACGUUGCCACUCACUGAUUCAUUGAGCUCUACGAACACGCUUCUUCUUCCACACAUGUGGUUGCUGGCGCCGGUGUCAAGAUACCAUGUAUAGUCUUGGUCUUUAUCAUUGUUCUUGCAUGCUAGUAGCACAAUGCCAUUCUCUUCUUUAUCUUCUUUCACAUAAUUGACCUUUUCAUCAGGUCUGUUGCUUGGAGCUCUACAUUCCCAAGCAUAAUGCCCGAACUUUUGACAAUUGUAGCAUUGAACUUGAGAUUUUUCAUACCUCAAAUUUGAGCGCCCUCUUCCACGACCUUUUGUUGAGCUUUCUCCUCUAUCGUAGUUGCUUUGGUUGUUGAAGUUCCAACCACGUCCACGUCCAUAUCCACGCCCACGUCCGCGACCUUGGCCACGACUUCUUUCGUAUUGGCUUCUCUCGUUGUCGAAGCUUCCUUCUUUCUUCUUUGGCUGAACAUGUGUCUUGAGGAGCUGCUCAUCAUUCCCUUGCCUCUUCUUAUGUUUCUCUUCAUAUGCUUGUAGCGAACCCAUUAAUUGCUCUAUACUAAUUUCUUCCAAGUUCUUUGUUUCUUCAAUCGUCACGACAAUGUGCUCGAACUUGGGGUCCAACGAGCGUAGUAUCUUCUCCAUAAUUCUAACAUCUUCUAACUUUUCUCCGUUUCUUUUUAAUUGAUUGGAAACGGCUAAGACUUUUGAAAAAUAAUCAGAGAUUGAUUCAGACCCUUUCAUUUGUAGAGAUUCGAACUCACCUCUUAGUACUUGAAGACGAACCUUUUUCACUUGUUCGGCUCCUUUGUAAGAGGUUUGAAGCUUCUCCCAUGCUUGCUUGGCAGAGGUUGCACUCGAGACUUUCUCAAAGCCAUUGUCAUCUAAUGCUUGGUAGAUGAGGUAGAGAGCCUUCUUGUCUCUCUUUCUUGAAUCUUUCAAACUCUCCUUCUGGGGUUGGGACAGAGUAGCUUCAUCUUCUGGCUCAGUGUAGCCUUUCUCCACGACUUCCCAUACAUCAUGUGCUCCCAAAAGGGCCUUCAUUUUGAUACUCCAAUUAUCGAAGUUGUUGUUGUCGAGCACUGGAACUUGGAAGGCUGCCAUAGCGUUGCUAGCCAUAGCUCUGAUACCACUUUGUUGGGACUUAAAAAGGCUUCACUACUUUCACAAAGAAGAAUGAAAUGCAGCGGAAUUGAUAGGCAAGAGAAAGAACACUCAAAGUGUUAUACAAAUUUUUUUUAUUCUCACACAAACUUAGUACAAGAGGAAACACUCAAACACUCUCACACUUCUUGCUCUCUUACUUGCUCUCACUUCUUCUUAGUUCUUGCUUCACAACUCACACACAUACACCUAUUUAUAGGCAUGUUUGCCGACCUAUGCCAUCACUAGAGUUUUCUAGUGUAUGAACAUGCACAUACUACACCAACCUAGGCAUUUGCUAGAUUAUUCUAGCUUGUUAUGCAUGCCACCGACAUGGGCAUUACAUAAUAACCUAUACAUUUAUGAUGGUUCUAGCCUUUUCUACAUACAAACCAUUUUUCUAGAUUUUCUUAAACUUUUCCAACUUUCUACCUUCUUUGCUAGAGUUUUCUAGCAUUUUCUCAUUGGUUUUGGGUUGGAUCACUUGUCUUGGGCCUAAGACAAGAUUACUAUUCAACAGAUAGAGCCGUGGAGACAGCUGCUACCAAGAUCUAGGCCAAUCACAUGACCCGUCUUCUCAUCACACUUGACACCUUCCCAUGAGCAGCAGGUGCUAUUUCCUCCUUCAGCUGGUUUCCAUGAUGAAACCUUUGGAUAAGCAUCGGGAGAUCUAGAAGCAGAUUUGUCAAUAGUAAAGCUGUCUCUGAAUUGCAGCAGGGCGGACUUCUCCUCAUCAGGGCAAGAUGGAUACUGCUUCUGCGAAGAGUAGGAAGAGUUAGCAAUAACCACAUGAUGAAACAGCAACAAAACUAGUACUGGUUUUGAAAUGCGAAUGGUGGAGAUAUCAAGAAACCCCAUGACAACAAUAUUUUGAUUUUUUUUUUUUUUUUUUUUUUUGCACUCUUAGCUAUGUAUGGAGUGGAAAGUGAUACAACUAUUUAUAGACUGGCAUCAGCAUAAAAUUCUUCCGCAAAUUAAUCUCUAAAAAGUGAUGGAGAUGGGUGUAAUGAGGACAAGUGCAUCGUAUCUUCUACAUGUAUAAAAGAUGCUCUUGACUAAUUUAUUCGUGAGUUAAUUUUUGAAGUCAAGUCUUCCAACUUUUGAGAUGGUGUGAAAUUAGAAGUUAGACAAAUGAGCAGCACCAUAAAAGAAAAAAAAAAUAUUUGCAUACACACAUAUAGUUUAUCGCAUGAGUUCCUUCUGUAAGGGUUUAUGGUAUUUGUAUUGACACUCUUGUAAGGUUUUAUCAUAUUUGUAUGCCCAAUUGCAAGACUUAUCAACUUUGUAUUUGGGUACUUCUAAAUGUGUUGGACCUUCAUGCUUGAAAUCUUCAUUAAAAUAUGUGUAAUUUGUAUUGGAAUACAAAAUUAAACAAAAAAAAAUGUUAACGGGUGACUCAUGAGCUUAAUAGGUUGAGUUUGAGUGACUCAUUAAUUUAACGAGUCGGGUGUGGGUCACUCAUUAGCUUAAAGGUUCAGGUGAAACCCGACUCAAACCCAAUAAACCUGACUUGUUUAUAGGUUACCAGCAUAUAGUAAGGGGGAUGAAAGUUUCGAACUCUCAACAACAAAUUAAGACAUUAGAGUCAUUAGAUUCAAUUCUUGCAUUGGCUUGAAGUGGGAUGGAUUUGAAGCCAUAACUUUUCAUUCGAUAUCCAAUUUCUUCAUCAUUAGGACUUUCAAACUCCUAGCAUAUAUUAAGUCAAGAGUGCAGGUGUAACGAAAUUUUUCGUGUUGGAUUUGGUCUAUGUUGCAUUUUUCAAACCACAAGCCCUUUUUUCAUCAGAAAAGAAAUAUCUCAUUAACUCAAGAGAAAGCAAGGAAGAGAGAUACUUCCACUUGGAGUUGAAGCCCCAAGCCCCAACCAUAGGAAAACUGCAGAAAAACGUAUUUGGCUCAAUUCUAAUUUUCAUUCAUUCUCAAAUGUACAAUAUAUAUUAAAUACAAAUAUAUAGAUUAUUUACAAAUGCACGCCAUUUACUCUUGUGUGGUGCUAUCCACACACCCAUUUUUACCUGUCACACACCACUCCCAAUUUUCGGACGUCGGGCCAUGUGAAUGGUAGAAGAUCAAUGUACAAAAAUUAACAAGUGUGUGUAUGAAAUAAAAUGGGGUGUGUGAAUAGCAUUAGGAGAAAUUAGAUUCAAAUCCUUCAUUUUCCUACUCCAUUGAUUAAAACCUUAUUCCUUUUCAAUUUUUGAUCAACGUCGUUGGAUAUUAAUAAUAUCAUUAAUUAUUUCAAUAAUAAUUUUUUUAAAUAUAUUCCUUUAGUGUUAAAAAUGUUACAAUUAAUAUAUUUAUAUUUAUGGCUAAAUUUUUUAUCAUAUAUUUUUAUUUUUAGUUUGUAACCAUUUUUAAUUUGCAAACCUUUUUUAAUUUGUACCAAUUUUCUUUUCAAUUUUAAUUUGUACCCAUAUAUUAAUUUCUUUUUGUGCCCAUAUUUUUUAAAGUUUUAUUUGUAUUUGUGUCCAUGUGUUUACCAUCACGUGACAUUGUAUAAUUAAUCAAUAAUAGAAAAAUUACAUAUGGUAUAUUUAUGUUUUAUGGCUAAACUUUGUAUCAUAUAUUUAUAUUUUUAGUUUGUACCCACUUUUAAUUUGCAACCUUUUUUUUAAAUUUGUUGUAUUUUCUUUUUAGUUUUAAUUUGUACCCAUGUAUUUUUUUUUUUUGCACCCAUAUUUUUAAAAAUUUCAUUUGUACACAUAAUUUUUUAAUUUUUUAUCUGUACCCUAAUUUAUUUAUACUGUACCCAUUCUUCUUUAUUAAUGUACCACUUUGUUAUAUGUGAAAUGUACCAAUUUGUUUUGUAAAAUGUACCAAUUUUUUUAACACUAUGGAUACAUUAAUUCUUUUGCCAUUUAUUAUUUGUUAUUGUUACAUAGUUUUUAUCCAUUUAUUCAUCAAAAUGUUUGAAUUUUUCAUUGUAGCCGUUUCUAAUAAUAUUAUAAUGAGGGAUUUUAAAUUUAUAGGAUUAUAAAUCUUAUAAAAUAUCAAACAAUUAAUGUCAAAACUAUAAAAAUAUAAAUAUUAAUAGUCAUAUAAUGAGAUGUGCAAAGUCAAUGGACUUUGAUCAAACUUUGAAUACCAUUAAGGUUUUAGUUAAAAAGUGUUAGAGAUUAGAGACCCCAUCCAAAGUAUCUCAUAACAUUAUCCUUACUCUUUCAUACAAUUAGCGUAAUGCAAAAAAGUCAACGAACCCAUGUAGAAGAUUUAAUGAGUCGAAUUGUUCAAUGAACCAAACCCAUGUAGAAGAUUUAAUGAGUCGAAUUGUUCAAUGAACCAAAUUAACUAACACUGCCCCUCAAGUUUUGUUGGGUAAAAGCUUAGGCGCUCAAAGCUUACUUUUACCUGACGGAAUGAUUUCAUCUCAGAAGGUGUUUUCUUAUAGUGAUACCAAUUAACUCCAUGACAAUAAUCUUUUUAAUUAUUUUACGGAGUAAUUAGGUUUUCAUCCUUAUUGUUACUACUCUAUUGAUUAAAACCUUAUUACUUUUCAAUUUUUGAUCAAGGUCCUUUGUAUUAAUAAUAUCAUUAAUUAUUUCAAUAAUAAAAUAUUUUUUAUUUCUAAAUAUAUUCAUUUAAUAUUAAAAAUGUUACAAUUAGUAUAUUUAUAUUUAUGGCUAAAUUUUUUAUCAUAUAUUUUUAUUUUUAGUUUGUACCCAUUUUUAAUUUGCAACCCUUUUUUAAUUUGUACCAAUUUUCCUUUCAAUUUUAAUUUGUACCCAUAUAUUAAUUUCUUUUUGUGCCCAUAUUUUUUAAAGUUUUAUUUGUAUUGUACCCAUAUUUUUUUAUUUAUUUGUACCCAUUUUUAUUUUUGCUAAAUGUACCCAUUUUGAAGAAUGUACCCAUGUUUUGAUACAAUAAUUUUUUGGUUAUUUUUUAUGAAUGUACCCAUGUUUACACACACACACAAUAGUAUAUUUAUAUUUUAAUAUUUGUAAUCCCACAAAUUAUGUUUUUUAUUUAAAAUCUCAUUACUAUAAACAACUAUAAAUUUUAAUUUUUAAUUUAAAAAAUAUAGUAACGUACAUAGAAAUAAAUUAUCAAUUAAUUUUAGGGACUUGGAUCAAAAAUUGAAAACCAACAAAGUUUCAGUCAAAGAUUAUUCAUAACUAGGGACCGCAUCCAAAGUCUCCUUUAUUUUAUUUUUUCACUCUUAGCUAUGUAUGGAGGUACAAAGUGACAUAACUAUUUGUAGACUGGCAUCAAUAUAAAAUGAUUCUGCAAUAUGAUUUCUAAAAAGUGAUAGAGACCGGUGUAAAGGGGACAAGUGCAUCGCAUUUCUUCUACAUGCAUAAGAAGAGAUACUCUUGACUAAUUGAUUCAUGAAUUAACUUUUGAAGUCGUCUUCAACUUUUAAAAUAGCGUGAAAUCAGAAGUCAAAAAAAUAAGCAGCACCAUACAAGAAACAAGGCUUGAUGACGCAGCACUAGCGUAGAAGGAUUAAAAAUAUAAAUCCUUGAAGAAACAAAGUUUUUGGAACCCACCAGUUUGAUAGAAACUCUAAAAGGAUAAUUUGAUUAAUUGAUGAGUUGAUGAUUACAAUGGAUAACACCCAUGACUUAAAUAAGUCAUUUACAACACUUUUGGACAACUCAAAAGGCUUAGAGAAUUAAAACGAAAGUAAAUGACAUUAAUCGGACGACAAUUGAAAAGUCCAAACUUAUUACAAACUUUAUUUUUCGGUUUUGGAAGCCACAGUCACAAGAGUUGGCAAGCUCCGCACACAACCGAAGGACAUAGUUAGCUUAUUGAUUACUCAGCCUGCGUGCCACGAAUGCUUGGUAGUUUUUAAGGUCAACAAUUGUACAUUUGAGAAUGAAGGAAAAGUACAAUUGAGCCAAAUAUGUUCUUCUACAGUUUUCCUAUGGUUGGGGCCUCAACUCCAACUCGAAGUAUUUCUCCUCUUCCUUGCUUUCUCUUGAGUUAAUGAGAUAUUCCUUUUCUGAUGAGAAAAGGACUUGCAGUUUGAAAAAUGCAACAUAGACUAAAUCCAACAUGAUAAAUUUCGUUACACCCGCACUCUUGACUUAAUAUAUGUUAGGAGUUUGAAAGUCCUAAAAUGAUGAAGAAAUUGGGUAUCGAAUAAAAAUUUCGGGCCUCAAAUCCAUUGCACUUCAAACCACUGCAGGAAUUGAAAUAGAUGACUCUAAUGCCUUAAUUUGAUGCUGAGAGUCUGAAACUUUCAUCUCCUUUACUAUCUGCUGGUAACCUGUAAAUGGGUCCCGUUUAUUAGGUUUGGAUCGUGUUUCACCUGACCCGUUAAGCUAAUUAGUCACCCCCAACUCGUUAAGCUAAUGAGUCAUCCAAACUCAACCUACUAAGCUCAUGAGUCACAUGUUAACAUCAUUUUUUAUUUUUUUUUAAAUUUUGCAUUCCAAUACAAAUUACACAUUUUUUAAUUAAGAUUUCGAGCAUGAAGGUCCAACACAUUUAGAAGUACCCAAAUGCAAAGUUGAUAAGUCUUGCAAUUAGCCAUAUAAAUAUGAUAAAACCUUAUAAGAGUGUCAAUACAAAUAUCAUAAACCCUUACGGAAGGAACUCAUGAGAUCAACUAUAAAUGUGUUACAUAUAUGCAAAAAUUAACUUCUUUUUUUUCCUGUUUUUUGCGGAAAAAUUUUCAAACCUAACAUGUGGACAAACAACGGGAUGACGUGGAGCGAAUGUGACUACUGAGAUAUUAUGGUGGAACCUCAACUUCUUAAACAGAAACCCAUUAAUUGUAGAAGAAUCGUGUCUAUCAAGUGUCGAAGAGUCAUAUCAACCAAGUAAGACUAGUGGAUGGCGUUUCUUUGAUGAGAAAAGAACUUGCAGUAGUUUGAAAAAAUCAACAUAGACCAAAACCAAAGCACAAGUUCCACACAUAGGCCCGUAUCCACUCCACCGGUCGAAUUAAAACCUAAUUACUAUAUUUGGUUGCAUUCAUUAUUUUAAGAAUCGUCCGUGUAUAAGAGUCGUAUCAAACAAAUAAGACUAUAGUGGAUGGCGUUUCUCUCUUACUUGACGUUAACAAGAAUAUGUACACUUCCUAGAGACAUAUGUAGUUGGAGGAGGUUUCCCCAUGGUUGGGGCCUCAACUCCAAGUCGAAGUAUUGUCUCUUCCUUGCUUUCCCUUGAGUUAAUGAGUUACUGAGAUAUUUCUUUUCUGAUGAGAAAAGAACUUGCAGUUUGAAAAUAUCAACAUAGACCAAAACCAAAGCACAAGUUCCACACAUAGACCAGUAUCCACUCCACCGGUCGAAUUAAAACCUAAUUACUAUGUUUGGUUGCAUUCAUUAUUUGUUUAGUCUUGUCGACUUUAAGAAAAGAAGGAGUAAUUCAGUCAAUCUACACUACUCUUAAAUCCUUCUGUGCCACAUGAUCUUAGGUUACUUUCCUAUUAUUUAGGAGGGUUUACGAUUGCUUUCAUGUUUGUUAAGAAUUGCGUCUUUAUAAAUACACCAUGUAACUUCGCUCGAGUUGAGUUUGGUAAGAUGUAGUCAUUUUGUGUUAUGUAUCAAUUUUAGCAAAGUUUUGUAAUCAAUCGGUUUGUACUUCUUUUUCUCUUUCCUUCAUUUAUUUAUUUUUUACACACUUGCUCUCCAACCAUUAAUCUGGAUCUUGAGGUCGAAGAUCAGAUGGUUGAGGUCAAGUUAAGUGAUGUAAGACAAGAUAUGAGUCACUUCCUAUGAAGAAAUAUAAAUAAAAUAAAAUGUUUCAAGAGAAGAAGAAUUAAAAUUGAAAAAUAUUGGAUUCAAUAAAUAUGGAGAAAAGGCAGCAAGAAAUAUUCCGAUGUCAUAGGAAGGAACACGUCUCGAUCUUCGGGUUCUAAAGCCUGAAGACAAGGCUGCUAGUUCUGCGAAGUUCAAAUAUCAAAUUUGGCUUUCAAUGUGCCGAAUGUAGUAACCUGUAACACCUCACUUCGCCGAGAAGGUUGAUGAAAUGACCUCUACCAACAAGGACUUAAAAAUCCUUGUCGACCGAGACUUGGAUAGGUAAUCAAUCGGCCGACAAGUAGUGCUGCUUAUCCAAACUGAAGGUGCUCAUUGAUCGGCUGAUUCUAUGGCUCCAGUGUUGUUUAUCCAAACUGAAGAUGUCGUUGGUUGCCUUCACAAUGCUGUUUAUCCAAACUGAAGAUGUGUCGGUGAGAAAAAGAAAAUAAAAAUCUCAAGGUUGUUGAGAGGUUUCGCGUAGAGCGAGAGUUUGCGUAAGGUAGUUUGUGUGUUGAAUUGGAGAAGCCCUUGAAUGAUGCACUCCCUUCUCUAUUUAUAUCAGCGAGAACCCCUAUGGCCGAACUAGAAAUAUAUUAGGAUUAGAACUCCUUAAACCAAUUUGAUUAAACUUCGACCAAUCCUAAUCUUCAUAGGACUUUGAACCAAACCUUCAAACAAACUAGGUUCAUCUCCUAAUACCAAGUACUUUAGCUUUGAGACUCCUUAUUAUACCAGGAUUCAACUACUUCACCUUUAUUCGAAAUAAUCCUCUUCGUAGCAGGAUUCGGCUAACCUCGACAGGGCCGGCCCAUGACAAGAUUCUAAAUAAAAACCAUUGGGCCGAGAAUAUUUCUGAGCUCAGCCCAAAAUAUCAUUUUGGGUCCAAACAUUGGUCCAUUGCUUCUGAGGUCCUCGGCCUAAAAAUUCUGGCUGAGCCUCGACCUUGAAAAAGUGAAAUCAAACCUUUAGUAUAUCUUCGAAAGACAACGAAAAAUCUCAAAUAUUCUACCCACUCAGGUGCAUUUAUGAAGCACGAUUGCACGAUCUUAAUUUGUCAGAUGCUCUGCCACGUGGUGAUUCCUCAGCUUACUCGUCUGCCAUUAAUAAUGACAUUUGAAACGUGCAACCAUCGAAACGUCUCUUCACCAUUAAAUUUGCUGUCAUAUGCAAACGUGCAUCCUCAAUCCAUGAGUUCUUCGGUCUUCGGUCUCUUCACCUGGAUUCUUUGAAUAUCCAUCAUGAUUACAAAAUCCUCUGGUCAAUUUUACCCCCUAAGAACUAUUGAUCUUCCUCCCAAAACACCUAUAAAUACUCAGUUUUCCUUCAUUCAUACCUUACGCUUUUAAAAAUCUCAAAUCUCAUUGCCACUUGCUCUCAAUACUAGAAAAACCAACCUUCCUUUGAAACCUAUAAAACCUUCAUCUUCUUCAAUGGCUGCCAAUACUUUCAUCACCAAGUUGGUCGAGGAAUGCACUAAAUGCCAAAGCAUCACUAAUCGAAACACUAUCAAAACCAUCUGAUUUGAGGAUGAGCCAAAUGCUUCCCACUAAACCCUCGGUCCAUUGUUCAAAGACGAUGUUCCAGAAGUGAUCAUCGAAAUGCUCAAGGAGCAUUGCUUGAAACCCUUAUUCCAAGGGUAUGAUUGGUCGAAAUGGGAAUUGGCCAAACCCCAAGGCGUUUGGCCUUCGAUCACUGCGGCCUAGGUUGCCUGGUUCACUCAGAUGGAGCCACAUUUCGGCGACGAAUGGAAAGCUCUAGGCAUUUUUUAUGUCAUUAAACUCUCGACCAUCGAGAUGAGCUUAGAUCGAGAGCUCGUGAUGGCUGCUUUGAGCUUCUGGUGCUCGGCCACCAAUACGAUGGUUCUCCCCCUCGGCCCCUUGGCCCAACAGUGAUGGACAUCACAACCAUACUUGGCACCUCUCCUACCGGCCUCCCAGUCGACAAGUCUCUCUCCGGGUAUCAAUUUGACCUGGACCUGAAAACCAUUUUCGAGGAGCAUGCCAUUGAAUCCCUGACAAAGGAAAACCAAAAGCUGUCGAAGGAAGAUGCGUAUAAACUACAUAAAAAAUUCUUCAACUAUAACACCCUAAUCACUCACUUCACUGGCUCGAGAGGGGAAAAUCUUAAAAAGGGUGAACACGGGGCCUUCUUAUUCUACUGGUACAACAAAUAUAUAUAUUGUGCCAAGUCAAAUAAAUGCUUGGCUGAGAAUAUGCCUAUUGCCGAAGCCUUGGCUAGCGGUCAUGUCCUGGCCCUUAGUCCGGCCGUUCUUGCUAACCUCACCAAAACGGCCCGUUCUGGGUUUUUCAGCUCUGGUUGCAGGUCUAUUUCUCUGCGUUGCGGCCAGACCUUGCAAGUUUCAACUCUUCCGAAGCCAUAGGCCUUGAGCUGGCCUCACGACCCAUUCUUUCCCACUUGGCCAAAGAGAUCUUCAAAUAUUUCUUUGGCCUAAAAGACCUGUCGGACGACGAAUUCCAUAUUUGCCAUCGCCGAGCGUACCCCCCUUCCAUCAUCCUUCAACAUUGGCAUGGAAAGAUGUCGACGAAGCUGAUCUCCAAAAUUUCUAGGGGUCAUUUAUCAUCACUCGCAACCUGCCCUAUGGUUGCAAGGCUCGACGAGGAAGCUGGGAAGUUUAUCACCCAAACUUCUUGGCUCGUCAACUGGGUUUUCUUCAAGGAUGCCAUAUGCCAUUCCUUACUUCUCUUUCCCUCUUGAGCCGAGAACGCUUCUUCGGCUCUUCAGAGAGGGAGUGUGAAGUAGCUAAGAAGGAUUUCAAGGAGUGGUGUGCCAAAUUCAGUCUUCGACUGAAAACUCCAGAAUCCCGUUAUGCUAGCAUCUUUGCCGAUUGGUGGGAUACCUAUACUAAGGAUUUCUUCAGAACUUCGGCUGAGGAAAUCUCACAAAAGCUUUUUGGCGACGACCCCAAAAAAACUCUCGCCCUAAAAUCCAGAGAAAUGGCCCAAGGUAUAUAGCUUUCCUUUUUAUUUUUCUUACUUUUUUAUUUCGGACUUCUUUUUUAUUCAAGCUCAGUGUUUUUAGGUGAUUGGGAUGGCCACGGCUAAGAAAAAACUUACCACUCCCAUGAGGAAAACUGCAACUGUCGCACUAACCCCAUCAAGCAAACGAUUUCGUCCGAAUGCCGAGACGGUUGAUGAAGCUCCCCGGGCGAGAAAAUGUGUUAAGAAAUUGGCAAAGAAAGGGGAACAAGAGAUCCAUGUUAUCUUUAGCCAAACCAUGGGAGCAACUACUCCCAGUGCCUUUCUCAUUUCCCCUGCUGUCAAGGUCUCGGCCAUGGUGUAGGGAGACUUAGUGAUUGAGCUGGUCACCAAUCCGGCUGUCGAAUAGCCUACAACUUCAACACUGGCCGCUGCUCACGUCGAAGUCAGCCUGGCGGUUGCUACCCCGAAGAGAGCAACUUUUGUAGCAAAAAAAAAUCUCCCCCCGAAUCCAAAAAAAGCUUCAACAAUCAUCCUAGAAUAAGAGGUAUAAAAUUUUAUAAUGUUCUUUUUAUCUCGAACUCAUUGUCUAACGACUAAUCCAUUGUCUAGGAGGAUGAAAGUGAAGGGCCCCUACUGGUAAAACAUCCUCAACCAGCCGAAUUGCCGACUAUCACUUCUCAACUGGCAGUCGAGGCGGUGGAUCAAGCCGAUGCUCCCACAGCUGAAGCAGGUUUGGGUUAUGAAACACCACUCCAUGUCGAGCCAGAAGCAACAGCCGAGAUGCCGAUUCAUCUCUAGGACCAGAAUCUCAAUAUCCCUCCCCAGGAUGUUACUUUAACCUUUGUAAGAACCGUUACCAUGUCCCAUUUUCAAUUCCUAACCUUUGAAUUAUGAACCAAGAGCAACCAUGAAAAUGCCAGGUGCCUUAUCGUUCAUUUCACCGAUAAUUUUACGCGUCAAAUGGUGUUAUUUAUAUUUCUUGGUUGCUUCAAUGGCCAUCGAAUGUAGAUAGCCUCUAGCUGAUAUGGCCGAGGUCUCAUCUCGACAGGUCUAUCAUAACUUCUUUAUCUGAUAUUCUUUUGGACUCUUCUUUACUAACUUCUUCUUUGUGCAGCUUCAUGGGAAGUCGAGCUCGACGCUCUCCUCUUGAGUACUUCUGGAGUAGCCGGGCUUUCUGUUGCGUCGACCGAGCCUUCAGUAAUCGCGGUCGAAUCCAAUACCUUCGUCAAGUUUCAGGAACUUCUAUCCCUUUUAGCCUCACAAGUCCUUUAAUGUAAAGGCAUCGACUCUGUAGAAUAAUGCUUGAACGAUCUUGUAGCCGAUGGCUUGUUGAGCACCGAAAGUGUCGUCCACUUAUCCAAUAUCCUGGAGCGGACCCGACAAUACUUCGCCACUUUUGAAAGGGCUCUCCGAGCUGAGGAUAACCUUAAGUCUAUAAAGGCAGCUCAUGAUGCUAGCCAACCGAAGGUUGAAGCUAUAAAAGCAAAGAAGACUCGACUGGUUGACCUUGAUCGUCAGAUCGCCAAACUCCAGCGUCAAAGGUCGAUCGUCGCUUCAGAGCUCGAGAAAGAUUUUGAGGCGAAUAAGUCCAUCCUGACAGACCACAUAGCCAACUCAAAGCGGAUACAACAACUGCAGCUUGAUAAAAGAACAAGACAAACCGAAGUUACAAUGGGUGAAGUAAGGUGGUUGGAACUGAAAGCCGCUCUUAAAGCCUUCCUUCCUUCGACCCCUUAGGAUUUUGGCCUUAUUAACCAACUGUUGGAUUCUUUUUGUAAUUCUUGUUUGUAAGCCUUUUUGCAAAAUUAAUGAAACAAAACUUUUAUUCUCGCAUUUCCCAUUGAUUAGUAGUUUAUGAAUUAGACCAGUUCGAUCUUUAAGGUGGUAUGUCCCCAUGCCGAGAACUUUAUAGAAGACAAACGGUCCUUCCCAAUUCGGCGACCAUUUCCCAAAUUUGGGAUCUUUCAUCCCUACGGGUAACACGAUUUGCCAUACUAACUCUUCCUCGUCGAACGUUUUUUGUUUGACUUGUUGAUUAUAGGCUUGCUCGGCAAUCUUUUUUUGCACCACCAAUAAAUUAUAAGCAUCAAGUCGAGCAACCUCAAAGUCUUCUAACUCUUGUCUCAUGGACUGAUUGUAUUCAGCACUGAACAAACUACUUUGUUCAAUUACUCGUAAUGAGUUUAUACUUAACUCAACUGGUAGCAUCGCAUCGUGCCCAUAAGUUAACACGUAAAGGGUCUCCUUGGUUGCUGAUCGAGGUGAAGUUUGAUAAGCCCAUAAUACCUCAUUUAAUUUCAAAUGCCACAUGCCAGGCCUUUCUUCUAUCAUAUUUUCAAGAAUACUGAUUAAAAUCUUAUUACUUGCUUCGGCCUGUCCAUUUACCUGUGAGUAAAACGGCGGGGACUGUUCCAGUUAAAUUUUUAAACUCGCUGUGUACUUUUUGAAUCUGUUAGAUGUAAAGAUUGUACCGUUAUCCGUUAUGAUUAUUUUUGGUAUGCCGAAUUUGGUUACGAUAUUUUCUUCCCUAAAAUUACAAACUUCUUUAGACGUUAACUCGGCGUAUGACUUUGCUUCGACCCAUUUGGUGAGGUAGUCUGUUACAACAAGUAUCCACACAUGCUUAGCUGACUCGGAAGACGGCGUAAUUUUACCGAUUACGUCUAUGGCCCAUCCUCUGAACGGCCAGGGUUUGGUGACUAAGUGAAGUAAUUCGGCCGGGACUUUUUGUAUAGGCUUAUGAAUUUGACACUGUACACAUCCUUGUACGCACUCAAUACAAUCCUUCAAUAUACUUGGCCAAAGAAUCUUGAGUCCAGAUUGAUGAGCUCCGUAAAUUCCUUCGUGUACUUCUGUAAUUUCUUAAGCAGCCUCCUGUGGGCUGAGUCACAAUAACAAUAAACCAUCAUCACCCUUCCAGUACAACUUAUUCUGGUACAACACGUAAUUUAAGGCAUGGACCCUUGUCUUGCGGUCGUGUUUGUCACUGGGGUUAUCGAGAUAUCACAUGAUUGAUCUUCUUCAGUCGUCUGGUAAUGUCUUAACAGCACACACAUCUGCAGGAUCUCCUCGUUCUAACAACGAAGGUAAGGAAAUCACUCGUGUACGGAUCAAGUAGCUGUGUUGGAGAACUUAUUGAUUAACCAAGGCUGGGUGCGAUUGUCGUACUACAGGUAUAGCCCGGCCUAGCUCGCCCCCAGGAGUUAUGCUCCGAAGGCUAUUUGAGCCAGUUCGUCUGCGUCGGUGUUUCAAACACGGAAGAUGUGUUUGAAUGUGAUACCGUCGAACAACUCGGCCAAAUAAUUGGCAACCAUGUGAUAAGGCAACAGAGUACAACUCAUGCAACGGAAAGUUUCAUUGAGUUAGUUAAUCACAAGUUUCGAAUCGCUAAGGACGAGUAUGCGGGUUGCCCUCAAGUUGUGAAAGAUGCUGAGGUCGAUGAUAAGGGCUGCGUAUUCGGCCUGAUUAUUUGUACAAUCAAAAUCAAGCUUAAGAGAAAAAUACUAGCGGUGUUGAUCUCGACCGAAGUACAACUCGGUAUAAAAGACGAACUAGUUUGACUUUUAACAGCUGGGUUUAUUCGGACCUCUCGAUACGUCGAGUGGCUGGCCAAUAUCGUCCUGGUGCUAAAGAAGAAUGGUGCCCUACGCAUCUGUAUCGAUUUUCGUAAUCUGAACCUAGCAACGCCCAAAGAUGAAUACCCGAUGCCGAUCUUCGAUUUGUUAAUUGACGCCGCAGCAUACCACGAGAUCUUAUCUUUUAUGGAUGGGCAUGCUGGUUAUAACCAAAUUUUCAUCGCCGAAGCUGAUGUCCAUAAAACCACUUUUCGUUGCCUCGGGGCACUCGGCACAUACAAAUGGGUCGUCAUGCCCUUUGGCCUUAAGAACGCCGGUGCCACAUACCAACGAGCUAUAAACACUAUUUUCCAUGAUUUAAUUGGUACCAUCGUCGAAGUCUACAUCGACGAUGUGAUAAUCAAAUCAGCACGUCAGCAGACACAUUUGGAUGACCUCCGUUAGUUGUUCCUGCGCAUGCACUGGCAUAAUCUUAAGAUAAAUCCUGCCAAAUGUGCUUUUGGCGUCUCAGCCUGAAAUUUUUUAGGAUUCCUCGUCCAUCACCGUGGUAUUGAGAUGGACGACAACAAGGCUCACGCAAUCAUUAAUGCUCCACCCCAAACGACUAAGAAACAACUACAAUCAUUGCUCGGCAAGUUCAAGUUUCUCCGUCGAUUUAUUGCCAAUUCAGACGGGAAAAUGAAAGCAUUCUCCAUGCUUUUGAAACUUAAGGACUCCAACACCUUCGAAUGGCGUUCAGAACACCAAGAGGCAUUUACACAGGUCAAGGUCUCCUUAACAGUUUUGCAUGUCCUCGUCCCACCACGACGGGGCCGACCUCUUAAGCUAUAUAUCUCGGCGGCUGAAGAAUCCAUCGGAUGCCUUCUUGCACAAGACAAUGACGCUGGGCAAGAAUAGGUCAUUUUUUACCUUAGCCGAAAUCUCAAUCCACUAGAGAUUAAUUACUCUGUUGUCGAGAAGUUUUGUCUUUUGUUAGUUUUUCGCUGCGUCAAAACUCAGACAUUAUAUGCUCCCAUCAGUCACUCAAGUCAUCACCCAGGCCGAUGUCAUUCGUUACAUGCUUACUCGGCCGAUCGUAAAAGGCCGAAUUGGCAAGUGGACGAUGGCUCUCUCUGAGUUUAGCUUGCAAUAUGUGCCCCAGAAAGCUGUCAAAGGUCAUGCUUUGGCCGAUUUUUUGGCCCAACACCUUUCCUCGUAUGAGUUCGGGGGCAAUGACGUUGACAUCGGAAUGGUGGCAAUACGUGGUAAUUACUGAACGAUGUAAUUUUAUGGUUCCAGUACUUCAGUCUCGGCUAGCGUUGGGAUUGUUAUUCAAUCCCCCACUCAUAAUCGUUGGUAUUUUUCUCUCGAGCUUGAUUUCAAUUGUACGAAUAAUCAAGCCGAAUACGAAGCCCUUGUCAUCUACCUCAGUAUACUACACGAUUUACGGGUAACUCAUGUCCUUGUUCUUGGUGACUCUGAACUUGUCAUCUACCUCGAUGUACUUUUCGUUGCAUGAGUUGUACUCUGGCGCUUUACCAUAUGGUUGCCAGCUAUUUGGCCGAAUCUUUCGACGGUGUUACUUUCAAACACAUUUCACGAGUUCAUAACACUGAUGCCGACGAAUUAGCUCAAAUAGCCUCCAGAGCACAACUCAUGGGGGGCAAAUUAGGCCGAGAAAUACCUGUGUCACGACAAGCACAUUCGGCCUUAAUUAAUCAGUAAGUUCUCCAACGUGAUUGCGUGAUCCGUACACGAGUUAUGUCCUUGCCUUCGUUGUUAGAACGGAAGGACACUGUUGAGGUUUGUGUUGUCGAUGCAUUACCAGACGAUUGAAGAAGGACAAUUAUGCGAUACAUUGAUAACCCUAACGAAAAAUAUGAUCGACAGACAAGGGCUUAUGCCACAAACUACGUAUUAUACCAGAAGGAGUUGUAUUGAAAAGGUGAGGAUGGGUUACUGCUGUUAUGCCUCGGCCCACAUGAAACUGCUCAAGCAAUGGCAGAAGUACAUGAAGGAAUUUGCGGAGCUCACCAAUCUAGAUGAAAAAUGCAUUGGCUGCUUCAGCAGCAUGGCUAGUUCUAGCCAAGUAUUCUGAAUGAUUGUAUUGAGUACGCAAAGGGUACAGUGUCAAAUCCAUAGGCCUAUACAGAGAGUUCUGGUCGAAUCACUACAUUCGGUCACCAAACCAUGGCCGUUUCGAGGAUGGGCCAUGGAUGUAAUCGGGAAAAUCACACCAUCUUCUGGUGCAACCAAACAUGCGUGGAUACUCGUUGCAACAGACUACUUCACCAAAUGGGUCGAAGCCAAGUCAUAUGCCAAGCUAACCUCUAAAGAAGUUUGUAAUUUCGUUGAAGAAAACAUUGUGACUAGAUUCGGCGUGCCAGAAACAAUCAUAAUAGAUAAUGGUACGAUCUUUACAUCCGACAGGUUUAAGGAAUAUUCGGUGAAUCUAAGGAUUCGACUCGAGCAAUCUACGUCGUAUUAUCGCAGGCAAAUGGACAAGCCGAAGCAAGUAAUAAGGUUCUAAUCGGUAUUCUCGAAAAGAUGAUAAAAGAAAGGCCGGGUAUAUGGCAUUUAAAGAUAAAUGAAGCGUUAUGGGCUUAUCAAACUUCUUUACGGACAGCCACUGGAACGACUCCAUAUGGUUUGACUUAUGGAAACAACGUAAUGUUGCCAGUCGAGUUAAGUAUAAACUCGUUGCGAGUAAUUGAACAAAGUAGUUUGUUUAGCGCCGAGUACAGUUGGGCCAUGAGACAAGAGUUAGAAAAUUUAGAAGAAGCUCGGCUUAAUGCUUAUAACUUAUUAGUGGCACAAAAGAAGAUCGCCGAGGGAGAGUUGGUUUGGCAAACCAUACUACCCGUAGGAAUUAAAGACCCUAGGUUUGGCAAGUGGUUGCCAAAUUGGGAAGGGCCAUUUGUUAUUCAUAAGGUUCUCGGUAAGGGAGCAUACCAUCUUAGGGAUAAAACUAGUGUAGUUCACAAGUUGCCAAUCAAUGACAGGUUUUAAAAAAAUACUAUCCAGUCACAUGGGAGAUUCCGGAAUAAAAGUUCUUUUCAUUAAGUUCGCAAAAAGUUGUACAAAUGGAGUGGGGCGAUCAGUUAUAAUCAAAUACUUCUAGGAUGAUGAAGGUAGGAGAGAUUCAAGAAUGGCCUUCAACUCUAAUUACCGCACCUCGCUCAUCUUGACCUCAGCUUGCCGAUUCCUCUUGUCCAUCUUCAGCUGCUCGACCCGCUUCACGCUAGUUGCAUAGUCAGUUAAGCAAGACUUGCCGCUCGACUCAAAAUCUUUUGCAAGCUCGGAAGCAAUUGCCGACCUUAGAUUUUUGAGUUCGGCAAUUUGACGGUCAAGGUCGGCGAGGGUCUUUUUUUUCGCCUUUAAAACUUUGACUUAUGAACGAAGAGCAUCUCGAGCAACUAUUGCAGCUUUCAAGUCGUCUUCAGCCCGAAGAGCUUUCUCAAAAAUACCAAAAUAUUCUUGGGUUCAUUCCAAGGUAGAAGACGCUUGAGUGAUAGCUUCAGUGCUCAAUUGACCAUCAGUUGCGAGAUCGUUCAAACAUGCACCCACUGAAUCGAAGCCCUGGCAUACGAGAACUUGUGUAGCUACCGAAGAGCCAGCCACCCCUGAAGUACUCGAUAAGAGAGCAUUGAACUCGACUUCCCAUAAAGGCUGCACACGAAAAGAAUUUAAGCGAAAAGAAAAUCAUAAAAGAAUGUAGUAGAAAGAGUUUAUUUUAGACAUGCCGAGAUGAAACUUUGGCCAUGUCUCUUGGUUCGUUGCUUGAACCUAAAGAGCUUAAUGGCCGAGCCUAGUGUUUUAGACUGCUUCUUAAUUCACGCGGCCGAUGAAGGUUAUCUACGUUCGACGGCCACUGAGGUGGCCAGGAAAUAUAGAUAACACCCUUCGGCGCAUAGAAUUUUCAGUGAAAUGAAUAACUGGGCACCUGACAUUUAAUAUUUUUCUCGGUUCAGACUCAUUAUAAUACAAUUGACAAGAGAAAUUAGUCGAGCCUUACAAAAGUCGAAGUCGCUUCUUGAAAGGGAAUGUCGAGGUCUUGGUCCUGCGAGUGAACUAGAGUUUCUGACAUCGCUUCAGGCUCAAUGAAAGGCCUUUUUCCACGAUCGACUGUAGGAGGAUUGACCUGAUCGGUCGCCUCAACCAUAAGGGGAAGAUCAAUGGAAGGAGGUUUGGUUGGUCGAGAACGACUCGCCAGCGGAAUCUCAUCACUCUCGUCAUCCUAAAACAAAAGAAUUGUUAGUACUUUUGAAUUUAAAGAGUGAAGGGAGUUGCCAGUAUAAUCAUACCUCUUCUAAAAUGAUCAUUGAUUAUUUUGGAUUCUUGGGGAGAUUCUUCCCGAUCGAAGGGGUUGCCUCCCCUAGGACGGGUGCUACAGUCUGCCCCGAAGUUGCAGGCGUAUCGACCAGCGGUACAACAACUGGUUUGACCACGACCUCGAUGACCUCAGGGGCCAGGUGAGCUUGGGGUGUCAGGUUGGUUGGAGUUGGCCGUUUCUCCGUUGAGGCUUGGACAACAGGAACAGGAGGAGAGGCACUAGGAGUGGUCGCUUCGGAAGUGUGGUUGGAGAUAACGUGAAUCUCCCGUGCUUCUUUCUUCGCCAAUUUCUUGAUGCGUUUUGUGGGGCGAGGGGCUUCACCUGCCGUCUUGGUGUCAGGACGAGGCCGUUUGCUCGGUGCGUUUUGUGCGGUGGUUUUAGAUUUCUUGGAGGAAGGGGCCAGUUUUUUCUUGGCCACAGCUGGGGCGAUCACGUCUGCCUGUUUCAAUACUCGACCGCCUGAGAAAGCGAAAUCUAAUUAGUAAAAUCGAUUAAGUGUUUGAAGAAUAAAGGUAAAGAUAAUUGUAUACCCUGGGGCGUCUCUUUGGAUUGAGAGGCAAAAGUUUUUUCGGGUCGGUCACCAAAAAUUUUGUUGACUACGUUUUCGACUGAAGCACCAAAAAAGUUGUGGGUAUAUUCUUCCCACCAAUCGUCGAAGGUGUCGAUGCCGAGAGAUUCAAGAACAGUUGGUCGAAGGCGGAAUUUCUUGCACCGUUCCUGAAACUCCUUCUCGGUGUCUUUGCACUUCCUUUCUGAGGAACCAGAGAGGCGUCAUUGGCUUAAAAGGGAGUGGGAAGUAAGUAGAGGCACCGGGCAACCUUGGAGGUAGUUAAGCUGUGGGGUAGCAAAGUGGCGGUGGUAGACUUCCCAACUUGCUCGGCGAGCAUCGCAACUGAGCGCAAGGUCGUGAGUUAACACGAACGAACCCCAGUUUUGACGAAAACCAGCAUCUUCGCUUUCAUUCUAGGUUGAUGUGGGAAGUCUGAUGGAGUGAGGGUAUUCCUGACAACGACAUAUCAAAAAUUCAUCGUCAGAGAAGAUGUUUAGGCCAAAGAAGUGUUUGAAGACUUCGUCAGCUCAGUGAGGAGGCACUGGUCGAGGAGCCAACUGAUGGCCGAGUGCUACAGUGGACUGAAGGUUGGGGAUUUCUGGCCGAAGUGUGGAGAAAUAAACCUGCAGCCAGAGUUAGAAUACCCAGAGAGGUCCAUUCUGGUACGGGUCGAUCUUGGUGGCGGUCGUUUCAGCCAGGUAGCGUAGAAGGUUGGCAAGGAUAGCCGGACUGAGCACCAGAGAAUGACCACUAGCCAGGGCUUCCACCACGGUAUUUUUUCGACCAAACACUUAUUCGACUUGGUACAACAGAUAAACUUGUUGUACCGGUAAAAUAGGAAAGCCUCGUGCUCGCCCCUCCGCAGACUCACCUCCUCUCGGCCAGCAAAAUGGAGGAUGAGGGUGUUGUAGUUAAGAAAAUUCUUAUGCAACUUCUGAACUUCCUCUUUUGAAGGCUCUUGACCUUCUUGUCUCAACGUCUCGACUGCUCGUUCGUUGAAUAGUACCUUGAGGUCGAGGUUUGAUGAGCAUCCAAUAAGGGCAGCGUCUAUUGGAAUGCCAGAAUGAGGAGUCCUGAGGAUAGCCGAGAUGUCGAGGAUGGUGGGGGUGAUAGGGCCGAACGGAAGGACCAUGGUGUUGGUGGCCAAGCACCAGAGGCUUAGAGCUGACAUAAGGAGUUCUUUAUCCAUGGUAAUCUCCAUGGUCGAAACCUUAAUGGCGUCGUGGAUGCUGAGAGCCUCCCAUUCUUUACCAAAGAAUUUUUCCUUUCGUACUACCCAGGCCGCCCAGUUCGCUUUGGUCGAAGGCCAGACUCAUUGAGGCUUUGUCAGGCACCACUUCGACCAAUCAAAUCCUUGCAGCAAAUGUGCCAGGCAAUGUUCUUUGAAUAGGUUGGUGAUGGACAAUGGCACUGCGUCUUUAAAUAGUGGUCCCAGGAUUUGAUGAGUAGUGUUUAGUAGGCCUGGCAAUUGCUGACACGACCCGAUAACCCGACAUGACACGACACGAAAUUAACAUGUGUUCGGGUCGACACGAUAACGAAUCGGGUCGAUAUCGGGUAACUUGAUAAGAACCUGUUAAGAUAAUGGGUUGGUUCGAGUAUACACAUGGGUAACACGAUACACGAUAUGCAAAAUAUUAAUUUUAUAACCCUAAAAAAAAUACUAUAAUAAUUAUAUAUAUUAAAUUAACAAUUUUAUCAUUCAAUUUAUUAAGUGUUAUAUGUACAAAAUAAAUAAAUUUAAAUCUACUUAAUAAAUAUAUAUAUAUAUAUAUAUAUAUCAUUGAACUUGAUGGGAUACGAAUUCUACGAAACUAAUUUCAACGAUCUAACCAUCAAACUUGUUUGUAUAUGCUUCGAGAUCGCAUCAACAAAAAAUUAAAAAAAACAAACAUUCAGAGAUCAAGUAACGGGACAAAACUUUUCGACGGUUAUCAAUGAAAAAUCACGAUUUAAUGGUUAUUUUAACUCUGAUUUUGAUGAUGUUUUACAGCUACACUCGUUGACCCUAUAUGAAUACAAUGAAUGAACUCGAUCUUCAAUUUAAAAUAUUUACACUAAUGGAUACCACAAAAUCUUAUGUUAUACUUAAUGAAAGUUUGAAUAAACUCUUAAGUGUUAGUUAAUCUAUUGUUUUGAUGGGAUAUGCAUUAUACGAAACUAGUUUCAACAAUCCAACCGUCAAACAUAUUUGUAUAUACUUUGAGAUCGCAUGCGCCAAAAAUUGCAAAAAAUAAACAUUCAGAGAUUAAGUAAAGGGACAAAACUUUCCGACGGUUAUAAACGAAAAAUCACAAUUUAACAGUUAUUUUAACUCCGAUUUUGAUGAUUUUUUACAGCUACACUCCUUGAUCCUAUAUGAAUACAAUGAAUGAAUUCGAUCUUCAAUUUAAAAUAUCGACACUAGUGGAUACCACAAAAUCUUAUAUUAUAUUUAAUGAAAGUAUAAAUAAACUCUAAGUGUUAGUGAAUCUAUCAUUUUGAUGGGAUACGUAUUCUACGAAACUAAUUUUAACGAUUCAACCAUUAAACUUGUUUGUGUAUGGUUCAAGAUUGCAUACGCUAAAAGUCACAAAAAAUAAACAUUCAGAGAUCAAGUAACAGGAGAAAAUUUUUCGACGGUUAUCAACGAAAAAUCAUGAUUUAACGGUUAUUUUAACUCCGAUUUUGAUGAUUUUUUAUAGCUACAUUCCUUGACCCUAUACGAAUACAAUGAAUGAACUCGAUCUUCAAUUUAAAAUAUAUUACUCUAGUGGAUAUCACUAAAUCUUAUGUUAUACUUAAUGAAAGUAAGAAUAAACUCUUAAGUGUUAGUGAAUCUAUUGUUUUGAUGCGAUACGCAUUCUACGAAACUAGUUUCAACGAUCCAACCGUCAAACAUGUUUAUAUAUACUUCGAGAUCACAUACGCCAAAGAUUGCAGAAAACAAACAUUCAGAGAUCAAGUAACGGGACAAAAUUGUUCGACGGUUACCAACGAAAAAUCACGAUUUAACGAUUUUUUAACUCCGAUUUUGAUGAUUUUUUACAGCUACUCUCCUUGACCCUAUAUGAAUACAAUGAAUGAACUUGAUCUUCAAUUUAAAAUAUUCACACUAGUGGAUACCACAAAAUCUUAUGUUAUACUUAAUGAAAGUAUGAAUAAACUCUUAAGUGUUAGUGAAUCUAUUGUUUUGAUGGGAUACACAUUUUACGAAACUAGUUUCAACGAUCCAACCGUCAAACAUGAUUGUAUAUACUUUGAGAUCGAAUACGCCAAAAAUUGCAAAAAAUAAACAUUCAGAGAUCAAGUAACGGGACAAAAAUUUUCGACGAUUCUAAACAAAAAAUCACAAUUUAAAAGUUAUUUUAACUCCGAUUUUGAUGAUUUUUUAUAGCUACACUCCUUGACCCUAUAUGAAUACAAUGAAUGAAUUCAAUCUUCAAUUUAAAAUAUUGACACCAGAGGAUACCACAAAAUCUUAUGUUAUACUUAAUGAAAGAUAAAUAAAUUCUAGAGUAAAAGAUUGUUUACUACCCUCAUGUUUCGUGGUUUUCAACAUUUAGUACAUCAAGUUUUUUUUCAACCCAGAGUCAUACCUAAAGUGUAAAUUUUGGGACAGUCUCAUACAUCCGUUAGUCAAACUAUUUAGUUUUCUGUUAACUGAUAACGUGGCGCCCACGUGGACAAUGACUGGGCGCCACGUGUCAUUAAAAAUAUUAAUAUAAAAAAACCGAAUCUGGGAAGAAGAAGAAGAAGAAGAAGAAGAAGAAGAAGAAGAAGAAGAAAAAAACACGAAUCUGGGAAGAAGAAGAAAAAGAAGAAGAAGAAGAAAAAGAAAAUAAAAAGAAGAAGAAGAAAAAAAAAACCGAAUCUGGGAAGAAGAAGAAAAAAAAAAACCGAAUCUGGGAAGAAGGAAACCCGGAAGAAGAAGAAUGAGGAGGAAGAAGAAGAAGAAGAAGAAAAGAAAAGAAAGGAAAAGAAAAACGAAUCUGGGAAUGGGAAGAAGAAGAAGAAGGAGGAGGAAGAAGAAGAAGAAGAAAAGAAAAAAAAAAAAAACCGAAUAUGGGAAGAAGAAGAAGAAAGAGAGGAAAAAAAAAGAAAAGAAGCUAGGGAGGGUGCGGGUUGCAGGAAAGAAAUUUUUUUUUUAAUUUAUAUUUUUAAUAUUUUUAAUGACACGUGGCGCCCAGUCAUUGUCCACGUGGGUGCCACGUCAUCAGUUAACGGAAAACUUAACAAUUUGACUAAUGGAUGUAUGAGACUGUCCCAAAAUUUACACUUUAGGUAUGACUCUUGAAUGAAAAAAACUUGAUCUACCAAAUGUUGAAAACCACGAAACAUGAGGGUAGUAAACAGAGUUUAACCCUAAAUUCUAAGUGUUAGUGAAUCUAUCGUUUUGAUGGGAUACACAUUAUAUGAAACUAACCGUCAAACUUGUUUGUGUAUGCUUCAAGAUUGCAUACGCUAAAAGUCACAAAAAAUAAACAUUCACAGAUCAAGUAACAGAACAAAACUUUUCAAUGGUUAUCAACGAAAAAUUAUGAUUUAAAGGUUAUUUUAACUCCGAUUUUGAUGAUUUUUUUAUAGCUACACUCCUUGACCCUAUACGAAUACAAUGAAUGAACUCGAUCUUCAAUUUAAAAUAUUUACACUAGUGGAUACCACAAAAUCUUAUGUUAUACUUAAUGAAAGUAUGAAUAAACUCUUAAGUGUUAGUGAAUCUAUUGUUUUGAUAGGAUACGCAUUCUACGAAACUAGUUUCAACGAUCCAACACAUUUUACAAAACUAGUUUCAACGAUCCAACCGUCAAACAUGAUUGUAUAUACUUUGAGAUCGAAUACGCCAAAAAUUGCAAAAAACAAACAUUCAGAGAUCAAGUAACGGGACAAAAAAUUUUGACGGUUAUCAACGAAAAAUCAUGAUUUAACGGUUAUUUUAACUCCGAUUUUGAUGAUUUUUUACAACUACACUUCUUGACCCUAUAAGAAUACAAUGAAUGAAUUCAAUCUUCAAUUUAAGAUAUUUACACUAGUGGAUACCACAAAAUCUUAUGUUAUACUUAUUGAAAGUAUAAAUAUACUCUAAGUGUUAGUGAAUCUAUUGUUUUGAUGGGAUACGCAUUCUACGAAACUAAUUUCAACGAUCCAACCAUCAAACUUGUUUGUAUAUGCUUCAAGAUCGCAUACGCCAAAAAUCGCAAAAAACAAACAUUCAAAUAUAAAGUAACGGGACAAAACUUUUCGACGGUUAUCAACUAAAAAUCACGAUUUAACGGUUAUUUUAACUCUGAUUUUGAUGAUGUUUUAUAGCUACACUCCUUAACCCUACAUGAAUACAAUGAAUGAAUUUGAUCUUCAAUUUAAAAUAUUUACACUAGUGGAUACCACAAAAUCUUAUGCCAUGAUGAUUGAUGAAAAUUGAGGAUUUUGUAAAAGGAAUAACAUGCAAGCUUUGAGUUCCAUUGGCAAGGUUUAAACUUUUGAGAAAGGCUUCACAACCUUGAAAGCAAAAACUUUUUCAUUUUGCGUAUCCUUGCACAUUUAAUAUUUUGUAAUAGACUAGUAGUGUAUGGAUGUUUGUUUAUUAGGCUCUUAUUUUCGAGUGUAGAUGUAGUACUUAAACGACAAAUGUGUUUUAAUGUUUUGAAGUAAUAUUUAUGUGGCAAUGUGUGGUAUGUGCAAAUUUGAGAAGAAAAAAAAUAUUUUUCUUAACAAGUCUUAAUGGGUCAUAACAGGUCGGGUCACUUUACCCAUUGGGUAAAGUGACCCGACCUGUUAAGGAUCCGUUGAGAUAACGGGUGUGACACGACACGACCCGUUAAGAUAACAGGUAUUACACGAAAACAACACGAACACGAUAGACACGACCCGUUUACCAGGCUUAGUGUUUAGGUCACUCUCGAAGUGCAAAGUCUUGAUGGCGUUCCGAUCGAUGAAGUCCUUGCACUUGUUGCUCUCGUUGGAGAGCUGGGAGAUGAAGGAGGCCAUUGAAGAAGGCUUAAAGAUUUCUGAGAUGAAAGCUUGGGAUUUUCUAGGUUUUGAAAGUUUUGAAAGCAAAGUGGCAAGGAAGUUUCAAGGGUUUUGGAAAGCGUAAGGUACAAAUGGAAAGGAUUCGGGUAUUUAUAGGCAUUUGGGAAGGAAGGCUAAACGUUUGAUUUUCAAAAUUAUGGAUAGAAUCAAGCGGGAAAGUUGCUAAUCAUUGUAGAUAUUCAAAGAAUCUAGGCGAAAAGACCAAGGUUUUCGCUGUUCGAGGACGCACGAUUGCGUGUUGCGGCGGGUUUAGUGCAAGAGAGACAUUUAGGCGGUCGCAUGUUUUUGAGGGUCAUGAUUAAGGCCUGCUAGGUUAACCAGGGGACCAACAUGUGGCAGGACGGUUGGGAGAAUCGAGAUCGUGGGUUUAUGUCUCAUAAAUGCGUAUGGUGGUAUUUCUCAAGAGGAUUCAGUGUUUGUCUUUAGGUCAGUUUCGCUUCUUCAAGGUCGAGGCUCGAACCAAGGAGGGUAGGUCGAGGACCUCAGAAUCGAGGGGGCAAUGUUUGGGCCCAAAAUAUUGGUUUGGGCUGAGUUUAGAAUUGUUUUCGACCAGAGGCCAUACUUAAGAGUAGCUGGGGGUCAUCCGACUUAUGGGCCACAUAGCCAAGGUCGGCCGUGUCUUAUUAGGAAUCCAUGGGUAGUUGAAUCCUGAUAUGAGAAGGAGUUUCAACAGGAUCAGGAUGUUGAAGUUUGGGAUUGAAUGCGGCCUGAUAAGGGGGUUGAGUUCAAAGUCCUAGUAUGAGUAGGACUUGCCGAUAUAAGGUUGGAUCGGGGGAAGGAGUUCUAAUCCGAGUAUGGUUGUGAUUUGAUCGGAAGCAGGUUGACUACUAUAAAUAGAGGGAGAAGGACAUCAUUAAGGCUCUCUCCAAUUCAACACACAAACUGCCCUGCGCAAACCUUCGCUUUCGCGAAACCUCUCAACAACCUUGAGAUUUUAAUUUUCUUUUUCCGUCGACACAUCUUCAGUUUGGAUAAACAGCACUGUGAAGGCAACCGGUGGUACCUUCAGUUUGGAUAAACAACAUUGUCGUUGUAGAACCAGUCGACCACGGAACACCUUAAGUUUGGAUAAACAGCACUGUGUCGAGGUCGACUGGUUAUCUAUCCAAGUCUCGAUCGAAAAAUACUUUCGGGUCUUUAUUGGCAAAGGUCAUCUCAUUAGCCUUUUCGGCGGGGUGAGGUGUUACAGUUUACUAGGGCUCGGCACAUUGAACGCCGAGUUACUUUAUGAUUGGAUACUCACAAGUAGGUUUUAGAGUUCGGCAUUCUGACGGCCGAACCACGUUCACCAUCAAGACAUAUAUUUGUUUUGAGUAUCUGUGCCCCUAUACAUUGGUGUUGAUUCGGCGUGCUUAUACUCUUACGAAUAUAAUCACUGUGACCGAAUCCGACGCUGACGAUUUGUGAACUUCGCAGAACUAGCAGCCUUGUUUUCAAGCUCUAGAACCCGAAGGCUGAAAGUGUUCCUUCCUCGACCACAAUCACAAGAUUGAGAAGUCAGUAGCGCACCCGACGCAACAUCAACAUAUUUUACUCCUCGGCCGAGCUUGGCUGACGAGUUGGCACGCCCCGCAUCAACCAAAUGACGUAGUUAGCUCACUAGUUACUCGGCCUGCGCGCCACAUAGAUUUGGUAGUUUUUAGGGUCAACAACGACAUAUAUGCACCAACUUGAGCGGGAGUGUUGACUUUUGUGUAUAUUCAUGUAAUCUUGGAAUUCUUAGCAUAGUAUGAUUGCAUGUAAUUAUUUCUUUCCUUAUUGAAAUGAUUGUAACAUCCUAUAAAUUUCUCUUUGAGAGAUAAAUAGACACACAAUACUAUUCCAAAAGCAUUCUUUUCUAAUAUAAAGUCUAAACUAAUCUAAAGUAUUCUUAUGAACAAAUAAUGAAUGCAGCUAAACAUCAAUCAAUCAUUGUUGUCAUGUCAUGUUUUUGCAACUUGCAAAGAAAGAACCAUCCAUAAUAAUUAACCGGUGUAGUGGAUACUGGCCUAUCUGCGUGGAACUUGUGCUUUGGUUUUGGUCUAUGUUGUUUUUUUCAAACUGCAAAUUCAUUUCUCAUUAGAAAAGAAAUAUCUCAUUAACUCAUUAACUCAAGGGAAAGCAAGGAGGAGAUAAUACUUCGGCUUGGAGAUGAGGCCCCAACAAUAGGGACACCUCCUCCAACUACAUAUGUCUCUAGGAAGUGUAGAUAUUCUUCUUGACGUCAAGUAGGAGAGAAACGCCAUCCACUAUAAUCGUACUUGUUUGAUAGGACUCUUCUACACUUGGAGGAUUCUUCUACGUUUAUUAAUUGUAUGUUAGAUUAAGAAUAUAAUUUCAUGUAAGAAUACACGAUUUAAUGCCUGGUCAUGGAUUAAGUCAUUUUUUUUUAGAUAAAGAAUGACGACCUUUAGCAUUGGCAUAGUAAUUGAAUAAAAAUUGCCCUCAUGCUUGCCCCUAAAGUACUAUUGUUGAUCUUGUGUAGUUGCAAAUAUUUAAUUGUGUUUGGUUUUAUCUGUUUUGUAUGUACUCUGAUCAUACAUAAGUAAACAUUCGUCCAAAGACAGUUUGAUUAGCAGAUUAUAACUCAAGUAGUUAAGAGCAUUCAGUUCUGCACUUGAGAUCCAUGAUUCAUUCCACCCUUCCCAAUGUCAAUCAUACAAUAAGGAAAGAUAUCGUCUCCGGAUCUCUUCCUCUAAAACCAUCAAAUCAAGUGAUUUGAGCCCUUAAAAUUUGAUCCAACGACUAAAAACAAAGAUCCCUUUUAAAAGUUAUAACAAUUUUAGCCGUUGGAUCAAAUUUUAAGGGUCCGGAUCACUUGAUUUGGUGAUUUUGGUGGAAGAGAUUCGGAGAGGAUCUCUUUCCAAUGAAUAAAUAAAGUUGACCAGUUCCAUCUGAUCUUUGAUGGUAUGCACCAUGUUCUGAAACAUAUAGUACAACCCAUUAAAAAUGAUGAAGAUCAAUGGUUUGAGGCCAAGUGUUAAAAACUGCAGAUUGACUAUUCUGUGUUCUAAAGUCAAGUCAAGAAGUCUUGAUCAAUAACGACAUGCAACAACAUAUUAAUUCGAUUGCAAAAAUUUCAUCUUUGUUGUAAAUAGUAUAAUAAUGUAUGCCCACAUGCAUACAGUAGACAUAUCAUAUGCUUAAUAGGGUUUUUGUUUGUUUCCAUGGUGAUGCUCUAUAAAUAGAGCUUUACGAACGUUCAACUGAGUAGAGAGAAAAGGAAGAGAAAAAUAUCUAAUAGUAAUAAUAUACAUUACUUCCUCUGCAACAGCUUGUAUUGGUAUAAUACUCUGCAACUGCUUCAUUCCUAUCCCGAAUAAAGGUUAUCUUUCUAUAACUUUUACAUUUUUAUAACACGUUAUCAGCACGAGUCUCUAAGUAUAACCAUGUCUCAUUUACAUUCACUAAACAAUAAAGGAAAUCAUUCUCUCAUUUCUCUCCGCCGAACGAAAAAAAAAAAAAUGUUUCCUCUAAGGUUUUUCCUGUUCAUCUUCUUCAUCUGCCUCAACUGCGUGAUAUAUCCUCGCGACGAACUAUUUGCUCCAUGCCUGCUCGUAGUUCUCCAACUAGCGGUUACAUACAUCUUUGAUUACUUGUUUGGUUUGGAUAUUGAUUACUAACAUAAUAUUUAUAUUGAUUUUACUGCAAUCCAAGAUGGUGCGGUACAAUCGCCCACCUUGAACUGCAAAUUUCAUCUUACUGCGAUCCAAGAUGGUGCGGUAUCAUCGCCUAUCUUGGACUGCAGAUCUACUUUUACUGCAAAUUUCAGGUGCAGCGGUAUAAUCGCCCUCCUUGCUCUUCAAAUUUAAAUUUACCUGUUAUUUAAUUUUACUGCAAAUAAAGGUGGAGCGGUAUAAUCGCCCUCCUUGCUCUUCAAAUUUAAAUUUACCUGUUAUUUAAUUUUACUGCAAAUUUCAGGUGGAGCGGUAUAAUCGCCCUCCUUGCUCUUCAAAUUUAAAUUUACCUGUUAUUUAAUUUUACUGCAAAUUUCAGGUGGAGCGGUAUAAUCGCCCUCCUUGCUCUUCAAAUUUAAAUUUACCUGUUAUUUAAUUUUACUGCAAAUUUCAGGUGGAGCGGUAUAAUCGCCCUCCUUGCUCUUCAAAUUUAAAUUUACUUGUUAUUUAAUUUCAUUGCAAUUUUAGGUGGUGCGGUAUAAUCGCCCUCCUUGUUCUCCAAAUUUAAAUUUACUUGUUGUUUAAUUUCAUUGCAAUUUUAGGUGGUGCAGUAUAAUCGCCCACCCUGCUCUGCGUAUUUCAAUUUUCUUGCUACUUGAGUGGUGUGGAAUAAUCGCCCAUUCCAUGUUACAUUCUUUCAAUGAGAAUGGUGCGGUACAAUCGCCCUUCUCAUUCACCCUGAAAAUCUCGAGCCAGAAGUUUCGAGUGCUUAUCAUUUUGGCCUGAAGAUCAAAAUGAAAAAUUUGUAAGAACCAGAAGUUCUAACAUCACAUUCCUCUAGGAAUACAUAUUACUACAAGUUCUUACACAUCUCAUUUUCUUUCAGAAAAGAAAAUGACGAACUUGGCUAAGCUUGAAUAUGCUGCCCUGGACAUUACCGGGAAGAAUUACCUUACUUGGGUACUUGAUACCAAGAUCCAUCUGGAAGCAGGGAAUCUUGGAGAUACCAUCAGGGAAGAAAGCAGCUCAUCUUCUCAAAAUCGGGCGAAGGCUAUGAUCUUUAUUCGCCGCCAUCUUGAUGAGGCACUAAAGAGUGAGUACUUAACGGUUGAAGAUCCGUUAGCUCUCUGGGAGGCCUUACGAAGCAGAUAUAAUCACCAGACAACGGUGAUUCUUCCAAAAGCUCGCUAUGAGUGGUCUCACCUGAGAAUUCAGGAUUUCAAAUCAGUGGCGGAGUACAAUUCUGCGUUGUUCAGGAUUACCUCUCAGAUGAAGCUCUGUGGGGAUACCAUUACUGAUGAAAUAUUGCUGGAAAAGACUUACAGCACAUUUCAUGCCAAUAACGUGCUCCUGCAGCAGCAGUAUAGAGCGCGAGGCUACACUGAAUACAACCAGCUGAUAUCUGUGCUCCUGGUAGCUGAACAGAACAAUGAGCUCCUGAUGAAAAACCAUAAUUCCCGACCUACUGGAUCUGCACCAUUCCCAGAAGUAAAUGAUACUUCCCUCGAAGUGAACGCCACAUCCUCUGGUGGUAAUUAUCAUAAACAAGGACGUGGCCACAAACGAGGUCGAUGGAAUAAGAAAGGCAAGAACCAUGGUGGUCAGUUUCACAACCAGGUUCAGAGGCAUAAUUCUGGCCCGAGCUUCAAAAAUGUGAAUCGUCACAAAGGCAAAGCUAACAUGACCAAUGCUCCCAGGAACUCUGAAGGAGCUUGCCAUAGGUGUGGUGGCAAUGGGCAUUGGGUGCGAACUUGUCGUACCCCAAAACAUCUGGUGGAGUUGUAUCAAGCCUCCCUCAAGAAGAAGGGUGUCGAGACCAAUUUUCUCGACCAGGCUAAACCAAUGGAUAUACCUGAUCCAGUGUUUGAUUUAUCAGGGCAAUUUGACGCAACUCACCUAGAUGUUUCAGACUUCAUUACGGAAAGGGGGAAUGAAGUAUAUCGGUCCGACUAAAUCGUUUAUGUUUGAUGUACUUUUAUUAUGCUGAACUUGUUGUCUAAAACUAGUUUUUCAGAUUCAAUAAAAAUGGCAUGUAAAUUUCCUGUUAUAAAUUGUUUGUUAACUGUGAUUCCAUUUACUCAGAAAGCAUGGAUAAAAACUGUGGUUAUUCUCAGAACAUAAGAAAUGGCGGAGAUAUUUGUCUUGCAGACAGUGCAACCACACAUACAAUACUUCGUGAUCGAAAGUAUUUCUCAAGCUUAAUGCUUACAAAAAUCGGGGUAACAACAAUAUCAGGACCUUCAGAUGUGAUUGAAGGCUCAGGGAAAGCCCAGAUUAUGUUACCAAAUGGAACAAUAUUAUCCAUACAAAAUGCAUUGUAUGCUACUCGAUCUACUCGAAAUUUGUUGAGUUUCAAAGACAUACGUCUAAAUGGAUACCACAUUGAAACGAAAAGUGCAAAAAAUGUGGAGUAUCUAUGCAUUACCUCCAAUGAUACCCAGAAGCGUAUAUUGGAGAAGUUGCGUGGUUUUUUCGAGUGGAUUAUAUUAUACAUACAUAAGGACAGUUGAAUCACAUACUAUCAUGAACCAGAAGUUCACUGAUUCAAAGGUUUACAUGCUUUGGCAUGACCGUCUGGGUCAUCCAGGAUCCACCAUGAUGCGUAGGAUCAUUACCAACUCUAAUGGACAUCCAUUAUUGAGCAGAGACAUUGCUAUCUCAAAUGAUAACCCUUGCAAGGCUUGUUCUCAAGGGAAGUUGGUAAUUAGACCAUCACAACUAAAGGUUGAUGCUGAAUCCCCAUCAUUUCUACAAAGAAUUCAAGGGGAUAUAUGUGGACCUAUUCAACCAUCUUGUGGACCAUUUCGAUAUUUUAUGGUUUUGGUUGAUGCAUCCACUAGAUGGUCACAUGUUUGUCUCUUGUCUACUCGGAAUGUAGCUUUUGCGAGACUUCUUGCUCAGAUAACUAAGUUACGAGCACAAUUCCCAGAUUAUCCCAUUAAAUCAAUCCGACUUGAUAACGCUGGUGAAUUUACGUCUCAAACCUUUGAUGAUUACUGCAUGACAUUGGGCAUUGAUGUUGAACACCCUGUUCCUCAUGUCCAUACUCAAAAUGGCUUAGCAGAAGCAUUGAUCAAGCGGCUUCAGUUAAUAGCCCGCACUCUGCUUAUGAAAACCAAAUUGCCAGUUUCUGCAUGGGGACAUGCCAUUCUACAUGCUGCAUCAUUGGUUCGAUUGAGACCUAUAGCCAACCACCAAUACUCCUCAAUACAACUCGUGUUUGGACAUCAGCCAAACAUUUCACAUUUACGAGUUUUUGGUUGUGCUGUUUAUGUGCCUAUUGCACCCCCGCAACGCACUAAAAUGGGACCUCAGCGUAGACUGGGAAUUUAUGUGGGUUUUGAUUCACCAUCUAUUAUUAGAUAUUUGGAACCCUUGACAGGUGAUAUGUUUACAGCUCGUUUUGCUGAUUGUCAUUUUGAUGAGACAGUCUUCCCAUCGUUAGGGGGAGAAAAGACCGUUCCAGAAGAACGGAAAGAGCUGACAUGGGUUGUUCCCACCUUGUCUCAUUUUGAUCCUCGAACCUUUCAAUGUGAAAAUGAAGUGAAAAGGAUCGUUCAUCUUCAAAGCAUUGCCAAUCAAAUGCCAGAUGCAUUUAAUGACGCUAUGAAAGUGACAAAAUCGCAUAUACCAGCUGCAAAUGCACCUGCCAGAAUUGAUGUCCCUGUUGGACAAAAUAAAGUGGCAGCGAAUGAUUCAUUUGGUGCACGCUUGAAGCGUGGUAGACCACCAGGUUCAAAAGAUUCAGCCCCUCGGAAGAGAAAGACGAGGGCACAACUGAAUCCAAAUGAAAUCAUUCAGGAAGAGAGAGUCAAUGACAAAUCCACAAUUCAUGCCUCUGGACUUCCAGAAGAAGAAAAUGGCCCUGAAGAGACAGAAGUACAUGAAAGCAAAGAAAUCUCCAUAAAUUAUGCAUGUACUAAUGAAUUGUGGGAUCGGAAUGAAAUAAUCAUUGACGAUAUGUUUGCAUUCGCAGUAGCCACUGAAAUCAUAUUAAGUGAUGAUAUUGAGCCCCGCUCUGUUGAUGAAUGCAAACAGAGACAAGAUUGGCCUAAGUGGAAAGAUGCAAUCCAGGCAGAAUUAAAUUCCUUGGAAAGACGAAGUGUUUUUGGACCAGUAGUCCAAACCCCAACUGAUGUAAACCCCGUAGGUUACAAAUGGGUAUUUACAAGGAAACGCAAUGAGAAAAACGAGAUUGCUAGAUACAAAGCACGACUCAUUGCACAAGGCUUUUCACAAAGACCUGGAAUUGAUUAUGAGGAGACAUACUCUCCUGUAAUGGACGCAAUUACGUUCCGUUACUUAAUAAGUUUGGUGAUUUCAGAAAAACUUGACAUGCAACUUAUGGAUGUCAUCACCGCGUAUCUAUAUGGAGAUUUAGAUACUGACAUAUAUAUGAAAGUCCCAGAAGGACUUAAGUUGCCUGAAGCAACAAACAAACCACGGGGUAUGUUCUCAAUCAAAUUAAGGCGAUCACUAUAUGGGCUGAAACAAUCUGGGCGAAUGUGGUAUAAUCGUCUUAGUGAGUAUUUGAUUAGAGAAGGAUAUAUCAACAAUGUCAUCUGCCCUUGUGUGUUCAUUAAGAAAUCCAACUCUGGAUUUGCUAUAGUGGCAGUAUAUGUUGAUGAUAUGAACUUAGUUGGGACUCCUGAAGAGCUCCAUAAAACUGCUGAAUAUCUGAAAAGCGAAUUUGAAAUGAAAGACCUUGGGAAAACCAAAUAUUGUCUAGGCCUGCAGAUCGAGCAUUGUAUUAGUGGAAUUUGGUCCAUCAAUCAGCUUACAUUGAAAAAAUACUGAAGCGAUUUGGCAUGGACAAGGCUUAUCCACUUAGCACCCCAAUGGUUGUUCGUUCUUUAGACGUUAAGAAAGAUCCAUUCCGUCCAAAAGAAGAUGAUGGACUGGUCCUUGGUCCAGAAGUACCAUAUUUGAGCGUAAUAGGUGCUUUAUUGUAUUUAGCACAAUGUACUAGACCAGAUAUAGCUUUUUCAGUUAACUUGUUAGCCAGGUACAGCUCUGCUCCAACAAUUCGUCAUUGGAAGGGAGUCAAAGAUGUUCUACGAUACCUUCGUGGGACAACAGAUAUGGGUCUCUUCUACUCAGACAAGCCCACAAAUGAACAAAUCCUUGUUGGAUACGCCGAUGCUAGUUUUCUCUCUGAUCCGCAUAAAGCCCGCUCACAAAAUGGAUAUGUGUUCACUAAUGGAGAUACUGCAAUUUCAUGGCGAUCAACGAAGCAAACGCUAGUUGCAACAUCUUCCAAUCAUUCGGAAAUAAUUGCUCUACAUGAAGCAAGUCGUGAAUGUUCUUGGUUAAGAUCAAUGAUCCAUCACAUCCGGAAUUCAUGUGGUCUACCUUCAAAGACAGACACUCCAACUGUCAUCCACGAAGAUAAUGCAGCCUGUGUCGCCCAGAUGAAGGAAGGAUUUAUCAAAGGUGAUAAGACUAAACACAUAUCUCCAAGAUUUUUCAGUGCACAUGAGCUUCAGAAGGCUAAAGUUAUUGAAGUCAGACAAAUCCGUUCCAAUGAAAAUUUAGCAGACUUGUUCACCAAGUCUCUACCAAAGUGCAUAUUUCAGAAACUGGUGCAGGGAAUCGGAUUACGUCGGCUUUCAAAUUUAAAGAAUGCAGAAUCAGGGGGAGAUCCAAUUCAGGGGGAGCAUCCAUGAUACAUGCAUGUUGUACUCUUUUUCCUUCGCUUAGGAUUUUUCCCACUGGGUUUUUCCUAUCAAGGUUUUAACGAGGCAACAUAAGCAUGCUCAAUACCAUCCGGAUAAAAGUUGUACUCUUUUUCCUUCGCUAUGGUUUUUUUUUUCCCACAGGGUUUUUCCAAGCAAGGUUUUAAUGAGGCAACUGAUGUUGAUAUGUGGGCAUCCAAGGGGGAGUGUUGUAAAUAGUAUAAUAAUGUAUGCCCACAUGCAUACAGUAGACAUAUCAUAUGCUUAAUAGGGUUUUUGUUUGUUUCCAUGGUGAUGCUCUAUAAAUAGAGCUUUACGAACGUUCAACUGAGUAGAGAGAAAAGGAAGAGAAAAAUAUCUAAUAGUAAUAAUAUACAUUACUUCCUCUGCAACAGCUUGUAUUGGUAUAAUACUCUGCAACUGCUUCAUUCCUAUCCCGAAUAAAGGUUAUCUUUCUAUAACUUUUACAUUUUUAUAACAAUCUUUGCAAAACUUUGCACAGAAAGAUCAACAAUUCGGUUUUCCAUUGAUAGAGAUAUUGAAAAAUGGAGUCUCUACAAUAGUCCAACUCUUUGGUAUUGGGCCCACAAAAUUGAGAAGUGGAUUUUCAGGUUGCAAUUUUUUUUGACAAGAGCGAUGGCGGUAUUUCAUUAAUCAUUACAAACAAAUACAUAGAAGUCAAUUGGGUACAUUUCUCCAAUGACCAAUACAUUGAUCUGGAGUGAAUUUGCACAAAGAAUCAAUUAAUUAAAAACCCCUACACGGCUAUCACAAGCAAGGUGCACCAAUACAAAUUUGUCACAAGAAUGAUACACGCAACAAACCAAUACUAGUGCACACACCGAUGUUCACUGAUGAGCGAGGCCACACAAAGUCAUCAUAGGAGAGCGAAACCACCUAAAGUCACAACUGAAAGACGAAACCACAAAAUCAUUGCUUGAAGGCGAGACCACAUCAAUACGCUCAUAGCGAGUCCACAUAUUCCGCCAAAUGCGGCACAAACAAAAUCUACACUAAUCCAAUAAUAGAAUCCACCGGUCCCCUAAUCUUGGUGGAAGACAAGGACACACAAUCGAAGACCACUUGCAACUUCACCACAUAAGUGAGAUUCGUAGCUUCUACGAGACAAGCAAGCAGAACCGCCACAAAUCUGGGUGCCUCAGGCAGUGCAGCCACACGAGAGUGUCACCACAGGUGGAUUCGACCCACCAACAACCACGAAUCCAAAUCCAAAAUCAUGAAUCAAGCCUCCAUUUAAGGAAAAUACCUCGGGAGAAGGCAAGGGACCGAAUCUAGGUGGGAGGCACCAAAUGCUUUGAUACCAUUCUACCAUGCUCCAAACUCGGGUCAGUAGAAAAUUCAAACUCGAAUCUGGAACACGAGCUAAAAAUUAAAUAAAUAAAAAUAAACUAAAACCUGAUGAAAAUAAAUUCCUCUUGGAAAGAAACUCAAGAAUUGUCAUGCCCCGAUCCCGACAUACGUCCAGGAUCGACACGUGACAUCACCAAAUACUCGUAUCUCAACAUACCCCGCCUCCGGGAUAUGGCAUACCACAACUCGAUAAUCAAAUCACAUAGUAAUUUAUCUUAUACUUUAUGGCUGCAUCUAAUCUCCUCGUUAGAUUGCCUACGUACCCUCAUUAGGGAUCAAACCAUUCGUAGUUCGUCGUUCACUAAUUUAGACAUUUAUUCCAAUGCGUUCUAACAGGAAUACAUAGCAUUUUGUAAUUAAUUAUUAGAACUUGACAUGCAUGACAAUACCAAGUUCAAGGCUACAAAACAAACCAACAGGUAGUUCAAGAUUCUCAUUCCAUCCAUCAUAUAAAUUCCAUGUUUUCAGCAUGAUACUUCCAUCCACAACAUGUAACAUAUCAAAUAGCCAACGAUACACAUAUUAUUCUCAAGCCACAUUCCACAAUCCCGUCUAUUAAUCAAUUCAUGAAUCAAAGAUACAUGAUCUUAGCAUUUAAUUAUGUUAAUCAAUGAAUGCAGUAACAUAUCAUUUCACAAAUUUAACCAAGGAACUCUAUAUAAUUUCCUACUUGUAUUAUGAGCAAUAACAUGGUAAAUCUAUUUGAUAUUCACAAGGUCUAUUGUGGGUAAUUCUCAUUCACUCGAAUAUAGGGUUCUAGACUAACCUUAUGGGAAUGAGCGAAAGCAAGAAUUCCGGACCACUCAACGGAAUCCAACAACACCGGGUUCCGGACCACUCAACGGAACCAGAGUAUUAAGCGGUUUCUCAUAAUCUACCCAAACCUGUCAUAGGUUAAAUCAGUGCCUACAUCAUGGAAAUGGUGCACCAUCCAAACGGAGCUCGGGUGAGUGACAAUAAUACAAGUAUGUGAUAUUCAAUAAAAAGAAAGACCCUCGAUCACAGUUUAUAAACCUCAAAUAUAAGUGCAUAAAUAUGAAAACAUAGUCAAGUCUCUAACAACUCCAAAUGAGUUACCCAGACAUCCAACAGUUUUACCCAUUCAAACCACCAAGAUUCUUCAAAACCAUCGUUCAUAUGUACAUUAAAAACUAGGGCUUGAGGGAUGCAGUUUGGCCAAAGCCUACAUAAGUAACCAAACAGGAAGUGGCCCCCUAAAGCGGAUUAACCAAGCAAAGCCACCCCUAAGAUAGUAACCAAGUAGGCAAUGAUCCCCCCCAAUGCAGAUUAACCAAGCGGAGUCACUCCUACAGCUGUUAGGAAGUGAUCACCUAAUACGGAUUAACCAAGCAUGAUCAUUCCUAAGCAUACAUGGCCAUAAGGAUCACCCAACACGGUUUAACCAAGAGCAACCCAUAUAUAGUAUGGUCCCCCAACGCGGAUUAACCAAGCAGGACCACUAGUGACCCCCCAACGCUGAUUAACCAAGCAGGGUCAAGAUAACCAAGUAGGUAGUGACCCCCUAACAAAGAUUAACCAAGCAAAGUCACACCUACAUAACUGUUAGGUAGUGAUCACCCAAUGCGGAUUAACCAAGCAUGAUCACCCCUAAGUAUAAAUGACCAUAAGGAUCGCUCAACGCAGAUUAACCAAGCGUGAUCCAUAUAUAGUAUGAUCCCCUAAUGCGGAUUAACCAAGCAAGACCACUAGUGACCCCCCAAUGCGGAUUAACCAAGCAGGGUCUUAGUCCCCUACUAGCCCUCAAUUUACAAAACAUUUCAAUAUAAAAUUUGAAUCACUUUUUCACAAAUAUUACCAAUCCAUGAAUCAAAUCAUAUUUAAUAAAAAUAGAUCGAUGGCCAAUUAUAAAAGAAUCACAUUUUAACAGAAAACACAUUUAUAAAAUCAUGUCAUAUCCACAAAGGAUAUUAAUACAAAGAAUCGGGUAACCACCAUAUCACAUAUAUUAAAGUCAGUCACCGAGACAAAUCCGCAAAUCUUCACUGAGUCUCUAGUAAUACUAAUUUUAGUAAUUCAAAUGGUUCAAGACCUGUUGACCAAAAGUCAACGGUGGGAUCCACACCCUAGCAAUUUAAUCCGGAAGAUCCGCACAUUAUAAUCUAGAUCCGUAACUUCCUAAGGUCCACAUUAUGCUCAAAGAACAACAUGCUAAAAUCUCAUCGCGAUCCAACGGUCAGAUCUCCGCUAAUCACAAAUUCAAGUGGGUCAAUAAUUAAUUUUUCUAACUUAAAAGUCUUGUCGGGAUGAUCCAUACUUCGGAUUCCUGAUCCGUCAAUUCCAGCUAUCCUCAAAUAUUAUGUUCUAUAAUGCAUUAAGGUUUGGUGACAAUCUAACAGUCGGAUUGUCAAUUCAUAUUUUGAUCAAGUAAGGUAUCGUAAUGAAACUAAGUUCAAACAAUCAAAUUACGUCAUACGGAUAUCAAACAUGAACUCAGGGCAUCUAAUAGCACUUAAAAAAAUAUCGUCAGCCCACUGGCCACGCGCCACCGCGGGUGGCGGUCAACCGUCCCGAUUCGUCGGAAAAUUCAACUAUUUCCAAAAUUUAUCAAAUUUCACAGAAAUGUAGAUCUCAAUGAAUGGAGUAAGUUUCAUACAUGUGGCCAAGUCCAAUUUGGCCUAGAAAAGCUCCAAUUUUACCCAAACCCGGCCGGAACCCUAGAAAUGGGUGUGCCUCGAUCUGUCACCAUCGAUGCUCCGCCGCCCCCAGAACUGUUUGGGCUUUGUUCCUGGCCUCUAGAGAAGUGCUUUGGUGGUGGUAACUGGUGGAGAUUGUUCCACAAAUGGUGGAUCGCCGACAAACUUCCCUCAUACCCACUAGUGCGGUUAUCACGAAAUCGACCUAAUUUCCAUCAAAUUUGGAGUGUAAAGGAAAGAUGGAACAAUAAGGAAUGUUUUCUAGGUGAUUAAAUCAUGUGGUUCUCCGGAAAAACCGACAAAAACCAUCGGAGAAGACAAACGGAACCGGCCGGAUCGGGAUAAAGGGAACGGGUCCAUCCUCCCGUGCCUUUCCCCUCUCCCUCAUUUUCCUCAUUUCCUCCCCUUUCAUCUCAACCAUCCAUCUCUCUCCUUUCUCUUCUUUCCUUCCAUCCCAGCCACACAAGUGGCUUCACAAAUCUUUGCUCCAAAAAUCUGGAGCAUUCCAAAUUAAAGAAAAUUACCAAAAUGUCUUUAACUUUAAAUGUUAAUAACUCUUUCAUUAUAACUCAGUUUCACGAACGGUUUGCUCCUACACGUUCGUGAGAUCAAGCUCUAUUCAAAAAUAUAAAUUGUAACCUCGAAAGGUCUACGGAUUUUAAAGAUUGAUUACGAAAAUUCAACCCCGAUAAUUAUUUGAUUUAAUUCCAAAAAUCAAUGAAAUUAAAAUUAACUAAUAAAAAUAACGUAAACGUGAAAUAUGAAUUUAAAUAACGAGAUACGUAAUUAAUAGUGAAAUUUCGAGGACGGGAUUUCACAAGAAUUCUUUACAAGGCUACAAAGAAAAUAAAUAAAUUAAACUUCUAGAGAUCUCAAAUCUAAUUCAAUCUCAUUCCGCCUACUCUCAUGACUGUCUAGUUCGAAAACCUGCAUAACAAUAAAGGGGUGAACUUCAACAACUCACUAGGGACAUGAUCUUAAAUAGUAAAAUAACCAAGCUAAAUUAGAUGUCAUGGCAUCAUACACAUUAGAUAUCAAAUCAUUAUUGAUAACAAUGCAUGAAUGCAACGUAAAGCACUUUACCUAUACUUGUUAAUUCGUAUAACAAAACACACAGACCUCGUACGUCUCAUUCCGUACUUAUACCACUUGGUCCUGAGUGCUAAGUUAUAUAAAAUUUCUACCGAUCCCAAGCCCGGGUCGUGACACCUAACCAGGUCAACAGACCUGGUGAUCGCACCUGCCUGCUGGCGUGAGACCCUCUGCAGCAGCCCCAACAGAAGAGCCAAACGACUCUAUAUGACGUGGCUCGAUAACAACCGUCGAAUUGAUCUUAGGCGGGUGUAAUUGAUCUUAGGCGAUUAUCGAGGCAUGUUUGUAGAGAGAGGGAUUGAUUAAUUUGGUGGUUGCAUGACACAUGCAUACGGAACAAAACGAUCAAAUGGAAGUCACCAAGAGGCAAUAAUCACGGAUCGGGAGCUAUCAGAUGGACAGCACAGCACAAAACUUGACGUUGAGUACUUUACAUGUGGGCCAAUUCGGUGUUGGGCUUUACAUGUGGACCAAUCUGUUCUGACAUUCCAAAAAAAUAUGACCACAAAAUGAAACAAUAUAAAAAGUGAUUUAACUUAUUAUCAGUCCAUGCAAGGUUUUGUUAUUCGUCGAAAUGGGACUUUAGCCUUCACACCUUCAUAUAAUGUUCCAAUAACUUGUUUUUUCCCAUUAAUUUUCUUGUUAAAAUAUGUCAAUAAUUUUGAAAAUGGUACAUAAAAGUACUCUUAUAACAUCCCUCAAAUAUGGAAAACCAAAUAAAAUAAUAAAACUAGAAAACAAAAUAAAAUAAUAAAACUAGAAAACACAUAUCCCUAUUCUAAUUUGGUAAACUAGGCAGCCAUAAAUUCCACACAUUUCCUAGUCAAAUUUGCACCAAAUCAGGCUUAAGAAGUGGUGUUGGAAAGAUUAAAACGUUCCUUUCAACUUUGUAUAAUGAACUUUCCUAAAAAAAAAACAUAAUUUUCAAAGACUUGUGAUCAAAACAAGCUCAAAAUGUCAAUCUAGCAGCACAAUCCUCUUUACUCCUUGAUGAAUCAGUUCUAAUUGGAAUCACUCCAAAAUUCCAUCGUUUCGUCACUUUUUAAGCAAACUAGAUUCUGCUUGUCCUCCAAUUAAAGCAUAGAAGAAAGUAUCAAAAUUCUCUCAAAAUAACAAAUAAUUAUACCAAAGAUUAGGAUAAAAAUAGAAAAUAAUAUCUACUAGGCGGUCCUCAUACAAUAAAAGAGAAUUAAGUCACGAUAAGCAUGGAAACUAUUGAGGAGAAUUUGUAAGGUAAAUAUUUAUACAAAUGAUAACACUAUUAUUCAUCAACGAUAACGCAAGUUUUAGGGUGAACGACAUUGAUGUUUUCUGUGUUUGCACUUAAAGUCCGCCAAUCUUUUUGCAUUUGUUGCCUAUUGCACUGCACAACUGAUGGAUGCUAAUAUUCAGUUUACAAGCAGUUCCUACUAAACCAGUUCCCUUGUAGUCUACGAAAUGUUGUACAAAUUUCGUAGCUUUGGUUUUAGAAUUUAUACAACUCUAGUUAUACACAUUACUCUUGAAUAUGUAACUGUUGUACAAGUAUUCUUAGUUACUUAGGCAUAGGAAAGUUUUGAUUUGAUUUGAUUGAAAAGAGUGUCUCCAAUUAAUCGAAUGAACAAGAAUCCUUUGAAACAAACAUAGCUGCUUUCAUUCUAAUUUCAGAAAAUCCAAAUCCAUGAAAAACAUAUGCAGCACUCUACUAUCUUUAUUGAUAUCACUUUCAUCUCCAUUUUGUUUGUUAAAGGAUACGAACAAACAUUGAUAUAACUUAAAACAGUAGGAUAUAUAGGGCAGAGUCUUGAACUUGAAUAACACAAUCAACUAAAAGCUAUGAAGCUUUCUUUCUUUUUAAAGAAACCUCGACUGUACGAGAGAAAAUUUUAUUGAAUAAAAAAGAAGUUACACCUAGUCAAAGGGGGACAUAAACUUUACUCCUCAAAAUAAAGACAGGAUAAAGAAAAGAAGGCGAAAAUACAAGAAAGUAGGGGGACAUACACUUACAUAACAUAAAACAAACUUAUAACUAAACAUAUAGAGAAGGAAAGAAACCACAAUAGAGAAACCAAACGACAACAACAGACCCCUCCCCCCCCCCCCCACUAGUACUCUAAAUUUUCCAUAUCAUUUGUCUGAUCAUUCCAAAAAUCUUAAGAAACAAAUCGGGCCUCCUUGUGAUCACAACAUCUGCAAGAACUACUCCCACUACCAACCCACUUCCACAUCCGGCCGAAACAAUUUUCCAAUCAAAUUCAAAUAUUCCUGCUGAGCUAGAAUCACCUUCGUCUAAUGUUGGAGGUGGAAGUUGAGGGGCCUUAGGAUUUCCACAUUUCUUUGGCAAUGGAUCUCCACACAACCCUGGGUUUCCCUCGUAUGAAGUAAUAUUCAAUGAAGUAAGCUGGGUUCCUUCUGGUAUAGGACUUGUAUGAACGAAUAUGUCAUGUUUGUAUAUGAUAUUUUAUUUUUUUUAUCCUACGGCCUACUAUGUUGUCUUCAUCUUCGGUCUCAAAAGCCUUCCUUAACUUCUCUUUAUCUAUCUCAAAUUCAUAGCAUAGUAAUAAAAACAUACUGCAAACAAUUUCACUAUGCAGUAAAAUUUAUCAACACAAUUCCUUGAGCUCUCAACAUUAUAAAUUUAUAAAUGAAAGAAAACAGGUGUUAAUGCAGAAGUCAAAAGAUAUAAAUCACUUUCAAUUGAUAGAACUAAAAGAUCACAAAAAAAACAAGGACCUAGCGUUGAUACCAUAAGAAUGUCCAAAGGCUAUUCCUGUUAACUUUGCUUGGUCUUCUCUUGGUCGAUUCUCCAUCAACUCCUCCUGCUUAACCUCAAUUAUUUCAGUUGUCACCUCAUUCCUCCCCCUCUUUUUACUGACUUUAAUCUCACUUGCACCAGCAGCGGGGGGAUGGCUGGCACAACAGUUCCCGACCCACCAAAUCAAUCAUUCCAAAAUUUCUCAGUCUCAAUCAAUUCAACGAACAGAAUGGCAGCACCACAUUUUCUUCGAACACCACCUGGCAUCCCACAAGUCUACAACCCUCAAUCCACCACUACCUUCAAUGUGUAGCCACCUCAACCACGGGGACCAGCCACCCACGGUUUCAUGUAUGCAAGUGGAGUUACAACCAGCAAUGCAGCAGAAAACAAAAGUAGAAAAUGGAGAAAAAGAAUAUAGAAAGAAAAAGGGUGUCUGGAGGUGGAGAAAAGCCGAGAGGAGAAAGUGGAGAGCACGGCUGCCUACUCCAUUGUCUAAUAAAAUAAGAUCAAGAUAAACUUUAAUCAUUCAUGGCAGGGGACAAAUACAGAGUAUAAUAUAUACCCAUUAUCCCACUAUCUGGAAAAGUACAGAGUAUGGAGUGCAAAGUGACACAACUAUUUAUAGACUGGCAUCAGUAUAAAAUUCUUCCGCAAAUUAUACAUAUACUAAAACCCAGUUCCCCCAAGCACCGUUUUUCACUGUUCAUGAACAGUGAAAAGACGGUAAUGCCCUCGGGUUUUCCUAGCUUUGCCCUCAUGUGUGCAGUCAAUUGCCGGUUUUACCCAUUGAUCCCAAGGGUUCUGUGUCGUUUCUUUCUCUCUUUCCAUUCAUCUCUUUCACUUUACCUUUCAGCUCUCCAUUUUCUGCUUUCCUCAACUGGGUUUUCCUUCGUCGUCGGUGUGCACUCUGAUUUCUCUCAAUUUAUUCCUUUUCGUUUUGCGAAAUUAUGUCCGGCGAGACAUGAUCUUUGAUUUUUGCAACCAUUGUUGGCCGUUCUUCUCUGUUUUUGGCUGCCAUCCGUACUUUGGAUCGAUUUCGUCUUUUUCACCGUUUUGUUUCAAGCCUCUCUUUUGAGAGAAUUUUUACGUAUUAAGGUUAGUGAUUUCUAAACUUAAGUUUUGCUUUGCAGUUUGAUUUCAUUUUUGGUUGUCUUGCCCAAAUGUUAGAAGCUUUUAAUUUUUUUGGGUUCAAUUUUAAAUGGGUUGUUGCUUUCGGAGUUUUCGUUUGAUGACAGAGAUCGGGGUUUUUGGGGAAAAACUUUUAAUCGGUGAGUUUUUUAGUUAAGUUGUGUUGUGGGUCCUGACAAAUGGAUUUUUUGUUGAAAUUGUUUCUCUUCUCAUUUUUGGUUUUUUUUUUUUUUUUUUUUUUGUGCCAUCGGGUUUUUGCAUGUGGGUGUAUAAUCAGGUUUUCUUUUGAAUUUCAGGGGAUUCAGGUUUUUAUUUUUUUUGGAACUUUUGUAUGCAGCUUUGGAAGACAUUUAUGCUUAAUGUGAGAAACUUUGGUUGCUCGCUUUUGGGUUUUGUUGUAGAAUUAAGUUUUUUAUUUUAUUUUUAUUUUAAAGAGUUACAUUCGUGGGAAUUCAUUUAUUCUUUUUUUUUUCUGCAUCUGGAAAAUGCAACCUGAUGUGAGUUAUAGUCAUAAGUGCAAACAAGAAAAAGUUGUAGUCAUAAGUGCAAGAAAUAUAAAGCCAAAAGAACUUAGCAACAAUAUCAUACCUUAUUUUUCAAUUUACUUAUAAGGUUUCACAUUUUUGUAAAUAUCAAGAACAAAAACCUAGAACAGCCUCACAAUUUGGUGCACUGACUAGGAAAUUGACAGUUGGGUAUAGGUAUGGGUAGUUAAAAACUAUGAGACAUGAAAAUUAUUGUCAAAUGCAAGGACAGAAGGUCGUGUAUUUGCAAAGUUGAAGCGGCCCAAGGACCGAGUUGGUAUGUUUGAGUAGAUUGCUUGAUCUCCUUAGUUGGGUUUAGGUUUAAUGCUCAGUAGUUGGGACCAAGAUCCUCUCCCGAGGUAAGGAUGAGGAUCCUCCUGAUCAAGGAGUGUGGACCGUUGGAUGAAAAUCCAACGGCUACAAUUAUUAUAACUUUAAAGAGACUCCCCAGUUUGUAGUCGUUGGAUUUUCAUCCAACGGCCCACACUCCUUGGUCAGGAGGAUCCUCAUCCUUAGCUCAGGAGAGGAUCCUGGUCCCAGUAGUUGUUGUGCUUCUGCUGCUUUUUAGUUGUCGAGGAUAUACAGGGGGACAAGGAUUGUCUGCCCUCCCACUUUCGGUGCCCUCCUGUGAUUUGUGUGGUCACGAUUAAGCCACGUUAAUAUUUUAUAUUACUAUUCUUUGUGUCAACAUUUUAUAUCCUAUGCAGGGAGAGCAAGUAAAAAGAUUGUAUUCACUGUGUUGACGCAUUAUUGAACAAGAGACCCAAAAGGAAGAACAUAUUCAAUCUCAAAGUCUGUCAGCUUUCACUUCUUAAUUUUAUUAUUAUUAAUUUUGUUUGCUCUUCGAAAUUUGAAUGCAUGAGUUUUUUAAUUUUUUUGCGAUUAGUUUCCCUGAGAUGGGUUUUGGGUAAUCAUUUAUUACUUUCUGAUUUGGUUACAGGAUGCGAAUCAUUGCUUCUUUAGAAAAGAUUAAGGAAGGUGAGCAAUUUCAGAAAAAAAAUGCGAUUAUCAUUUUCUAGAGAUCAUGGCAUGCCCUUCCGUUAUUUUUUGGUGGUUGUAAAAUUAUGACCUGACAGGGAAGUUGGUUUUGACAAGAUUUUUAUUUUUAUUUUUUAUUUUUUAAUUUUACAUAUGUAGUGUCAUGCUAGCAUUAUUGCUUACGUAUAAAUGCGAGUGUGUUUUACAUUUAUAUAAUGCCUUUAAUUUUAACCUCUGCAUUUUCACUAAUGCCUUUAAUUAUCCUCUGUUUUACAUGUCAGUUACGACACAAAAGCUUCAUAGAAAAAGUAUCAGCUUUUGACUCAAAUUUCGACCGUGCCCCUAUCAUUUCCGAAAAUCAAAGCAACCCCAAGCAAUUCCAGAAUCAUUUUUAUGCGUCUCAAAAUCCAGUAUGUAUUAUCUUCAUCUCAAAUUUAUUCAUCUCACAAACGUUGAUAUCAAGUUCGUAGUUUUUCAUUGUUCAAAAUUCCACACUACUCAAUAUUUAAUAACACUUUUAUUUUCCUCUAUUUACCUUUUUAUUAGUGAUGUUGCAGCAAAGGAAAUAUCAGACACGACUCUUAUUCCAAAGGCUCCAACCAGAAAUGUAUCAGAUUCCCCAAUCAUUUCUGAAACCAUAUUUAUGGCUGCAAAACAGAGUAUGUAUACCCUUUCAUUGUUCUAUACUUUUUGAAUUAUUAAUGACCUAUUAAACAUGAUCUCUUUAUCCCAUUCGCUUAAAACUCAAAUAGUUCACUAGAUUUCUGUAUCAUAGUAUCUUUCGACCAUCUUUUGUAUGUAAGUAGGACAAUUUCGUAAAUCUUUUGUAUGUAAAUAUUAUAUACAUAUGCAUCAAGCAUUCUCUUUUGUAUGUAAAUAGGAUUAUCUACCAAAUCUUUUGCACAUAAAAUAGUAUGUACAUAUAGAUCAAGUAUUUUUGUAUGUACAUAGUGCUAUACACAAAAUUUCAUACAGUUUUCAAUCCCGCAGCAUCGUGCGGGCAUCUCUUACUAGUUAAUCUCUAAAAAGUGAUAGAGAUAGGUGUAACGGGGCAAGAACUUUUUGAAGUCAAGUCUUCAACUUUUGAAGUCAAGUGCAUCGUAUCUUCUACAUGCGUAAAAGAGGCUCUUGACUAAUUGAUUUGUGAGUUAAUUUUUGAAGUCAAGUCUUCAACUUUUGAGAUGGCGUGAAAUUAGAAGUUAGACAAAUGAGCAGCACCAUAAAAGAAAAAAGAAAAAAUUUGCACACACAUAGUUAAUCUCAUGAGUUCCUUCUGUAAGGGUUUAUGAUAUUUGUAUUGACACUCUUGUAAGGUUUUAUCAUAUUUGUAUGCCCAAUUGCAAGACUAAUCCAAACUUUGUAUUUGGGUACUUCUAAAUGUGUUGGACCUUCAUGCUUGAAAUCUUCAUUAAAAUAUGUGUAAUUUGUAUUCGAAUGUAAAAUUAAAAAAAAUAAAUAAAUGUUAAUGGGUGACUCAUGAGUUUAACAGGUUGAGUUUGAGUGACUCAUUAGCUUAACGAGUCGGGUGUGGGCGACUCGUUAGCCUAAGGGGUCAGGGGAAAUCCGAUCCAAACUAAAUAAACCCGACCCGUUUAUAGGUUACUAGCAGAUAGUAAAGGGAUGAAAGUUUCGAACUCGCAACAGCAAAUUAAGACAUUAGAGUCAUCAGAUUCAAUUCCUGCAAUUCCUGCAUUGGCUUGAAGUGGAAUGGAUUUGAAGCAAGAACUUUUCAUUCGAUAUCCAAUUUCUUCAUCAUUAGGACUUUCAAACUCCUAGCAUAUAUUAAGUCAAGAUUGCGGGUGUAACGAAAUUUUUCAUGUUGGAUUUGGUCUAUGGUGCAUUUUUCAAACUGCAAGCCCUUUUUUCAUCAGAAAAGAAAUAUCUCAUUAACUCGAGAGAAAGCACGGAAGAGAGAUACUUCCACUUGGAGGUGAGGCCCCAACCAUGAAAAACUAUAGAAAAACGUAUUUGGCUCAAUUCUACUUUUCCUUCAUUCUCAAAUGUACAAUAUAUAUAUAUAUAUAUAUAUAUAUAUAUAUAGCCAAGUCCAAUUUUCAGAAGUCGAAUCAUGUGAACGGUAGAAGAUCAAUGUAUAAAAAUUACAAGUGUGUGUAGGAAGUAAAAUGGGAUGUGUGAAUAGUAUUGGGAGAAAUUAGAUUUACAUCAUUCCUUUUGCUACUCCAUUAAUUAAAAUAUUAUUCCUUUUCAAUUUUUUAUCAAGGUCUUUGAAUAUUAAUAAUACAUUAAUUAUUUCAAUAAUAAAAUAUUUUUUAUUUUUAAAUAUAUUCCUUUAGGGUGCGUUUGUUGCACAGAACUAUCUCGGAUUGGACUAACUUCAAGAACUAAGCUGGACUGACUUGGCUUAGACUAAGCAUGACAAAAAUAGUGAAGUGUUUGGUAUGGCGCCGGACUAAUAAGCCGGACAUGAAAAAAUAUUAAUUUUUAUAUUAUAAAAGAUUAUUUUGUAGUUAUUUUAAAUUUUAAAAACCUAAUUAAAUUGCUUCUCUAAUCUCUAUCCAAGAAGGACCCAGAUGCUUCGUCUACCAAUUCAAUUGCCAGCAACUUUUUUAUUUCCUAUCGCAGCAACUCACCCAACACCAACAAUAAAGAAAUACCCAGAUGUUUUUAUAUCCCAAUUCAAUUGCUUAUCUAUUAAAGCGAUUCAAUUGCUUCCCUACCGCAGCAACUCACUAGUCUACGACAACAGAUUUGCGAAGACCCAAUCGACCCAUAAAUAACCAGACCUGAAAGAGAGACCCAGAAAUACCCAGUUUUGUAAGCUGCCACACAUCCAUCACCAACAACAGCGCUUCCUAAAAAAAAAAUGGCGGUGUAACCGCCGUUUCCCGCCGGCGGAGGAAUGGCUGCACUGCAAGAGUGGUGGGAAUCAAUUUUGGGGGAUGCAGAGGAAUGGCUGCAUCACAUGGAUUUGUGACGAGAGAGAGAAGAAAGAGAGAUGCAUGCGGAUAAGGGGUGGGCUGAGGUCGUUGGCUCGUUUCUUUGUUAGUCCUGCUUAAUACCAUGUGAAACCUUGGGUCUAGAUAUUGAGGUUUAGUGAAGUGCGGGGCGCCUCGUAGUCGAGGCGAGUCCCGUUAAUUCCAAUCCAAGACCAUGCCAAACGUAGGACUAUAAUCCUAGUUAAGCCAAUCCAUGCUAGUCCCUUCUAAGAAGGUGUAACAAACACACCCUUAGUGUUAAAAAUGUUAUAAUUAAUAUAUUUAUAUUUAUGGUUAAAAUUUUUAUCAUAUAUUUUUAUUUUUAGUUUGUAACAAUUUUUAAUUUUCAAACCUUUUUCAAAUUGUACCAAUUUUCUUUUCAGUUUUAAUUUGUACCCAUAUAUUAAUUUCUUUUUGUGCCCAUAUUUUUAACGCUUUAUUUGUAUUUGUGUCUGUGUGUUUAUCGUCACGUGACAUUGUAUAAUUAAUCAAUUAUAGAAAAAAAGGAAAACUAAUGAAAAGAGCUUGAAAACUUUGAGUUUUAACGAUAAGGACAAAAUAAAGGGUAAAGUGAAUAGUAUUGACAUACCCCGAUCAUAAAAUCAGAGCGUGCUGACCGUCACGUGAGCGUGACGUAACCAAAAGUGCGACGCGGAAGCAAAAAGGUAAAAGAAAUACGAAGGAAUAAAAACCAACUACUAGCAAUAAUAUCCAACUAACAUGCUAGAAUGAAUUUAAGUGUGAAAUACACAUAAUCAGAGCAUAAGUACUAGGUGCAGUCAAGUAGGACCAUUCCUAAAUUACAACACCCGAAGGUGAGUCCUACAUUUAAGUGGUCUGUCAGAACGCCGUGGGAGUCCUCGUGAGCCACCAACACUGCUAACUAGAACCUGGAGGGGCGCAAAACAAGAUUGAGUGGGUCAGUAAAACAAAGCUUUUCAAAAAUAUUUCAUUUAAUAACACUUCUAACCCCUCGCUGUAAAACCUGUAUACUUUCCCAGAAAAAUAGUAUAUAUAUAACCAUAUAUAACAACAAAUAAUUCAAAUCACAAGUCUUUAACACUUUUCAGGAAAAUAUGCCAUGCUAUGCUUCAAAACAUAAUAAGGAUGCAUCAAUAUAACAAGUGAAAUAAGGAAUCAACCGGAGACCCUGCAGCUGUCCUGUACGGCUAAUUCUAUAGCUCAAUAUCCAAUCCAACCGGAGUCACCAACUGUGACCUGUACGGCACUACUCUGCACACAAAUCGGAACUACCUGAAGUAGUAUGUACGACAAGAAUGGUGUAAGAAUACGCUCUAGUGCUUCUCUCAUCAACAGCUGUAUAAUAAUCUAAAGUCACCUACAAGUCGGAACCAUCUCUACUGGUCUGUACGACAUGUCGGAACCACCUCUAGUGGUCUAUACGACAUGCACCUACUUGGAUCCAAGGUGAGCGUGUGGUGCGAGGUGAAUAAUAUAAGCACUAACACCAGGGGUGCAGGUUAUGAGCUCUCAACACAAUUCACAUCAUCAAUAAAUCACAUGAACAACAUAAAACUCACCUGAUACUCACUUGUGCGUCCACAACACCAUUUAACAUAUAUGCAUGAAAUACUAGUUCAUAUAUUUCAUAUAAUAUGAAUGCAUGACCUUUUAAAACAUACUAUCAUUUAAAUUCAAUUUCUGGGAAAAGUCAGUAGUAUAUAUGUAUAUACAGAAAAUAACUGCCCACUCACUAGUAUGUCGAAGAGUCGUAACCCCCGUGACGCCCUUGAAUGUGCUCGUCCUCGGGAUAGGUCUCACCUAUAUGCGAAACAACUAUAAAAACGUUAUUUUAACGCACAUAGGCAAAACUAGCUUAUAACUUCUCAUACAUUGCUCAAUUUGGGUAUAUGAAUAUACCACAGUGACCUACUCGACGUCACGGAUGUCGAGAUAUUUUAGAAUAAUUUUUCAAUGCCGCACGCGCCCCCACGCGCCGGGAGAGGCACGGUGCUACGCGUCAUCCCCUACCUCCAGACACCGGAAAAUCUCGUCGGCGCCGGAAACUGGGCAAACCUGUAAAUGCCAUUUUCCACGAAAUUUUCACCAAAAUGUCACAAAUCACGAGAGGAAGAAGGCUAUACCUUUUAAAACUUCCAAAUCCUUUGAAAACUCGUCGGGAUAAUUCACCAAAACCGGCCACCUUCGAACCUCGUGAUCCCGACGUCCAAAACCUUCAAACGAACGUCCUCGAGCUUCGUGGGAACCUCCUUAAGCUCACUGUGAGCUUGAAAUUCCCUGAAACACAAUGUUUUACGUGUGCAUGAACAGUGCACAUUUUCGGGGUUAGGGUUUCACAAUGAUUUCGAAGGUCUUAAGUUCCAAAAUUAGUAUGCUUGAACUCAGGGACUCAAGAUGAGUUCGAUUCUUACCUUAGAACCUUCGAUCUGUGAAGAAAUGGCGUAGAAUAAGCUUGUCCGCACGUGCACAGUGACAAAGGUGCCGAAAAACCGAGAGAGAGAAGGGAGAGAAAGUCCACGGGAGAGAGAGAGAAAAGGCAGGUUUGUGUGUGUGUGGUCCACAUUAAUCCCUAACCACACAAAUGAAAACAUAACCUAAGUUCCAAUUAAAUUUUCCACAAACUUAGGAAGGACAAUAUUAAUCAAAUGUAUAAGUCACACACACACCUUAGAAAUCUUUAGGGACAAUUCCGUCAAUUCACAUCAACGAUAAAUGUAAUUUCGGGACGGCUGUGACAGUAUCAUGAUUGAUUUUUUAGUGUAAAAAUGUGGUUUUUCGUUAAGGUGAACAGUACAGAGAGUUUUUCGUUAAAGUUUCCUAGAAAAAAUUACAUAUGUUAUACAUAACUAUUUGUAGACUGGCAUCAGUAUAAAAUUAUUCUGCAAUAUAAUUUCUAAAAAGUGAUAGAGACGAGUGUAAAGGGGACAAGUGCAUCGCAUUUCUUCUACAUGCGUAAGAAGAGAUGCUCUUGACUAAUUGAUUCAUGAGUUAACUUUUGAAGUCGUCUUCAACUUUUGAAACUGUGUGAAAUCAGAAGUUAGAAAAAUGAGCAGCACCAUACAAGAAACAAGGCUUGAUGACGCAGCACUAGUGUAGAAGGAUUAAAAAUAUAAAUCCUUGAAGAAACAAAGUUUUUGGAACCCACCAGUUUGAUAGAAACUCCAAAAGGAUAAUUUGAUUAAUUGAUGAGUUGGUGAUUACAAUGGCUAACGCUAACACUCAUGACUUAAAUAAGUAAUUUACAACACUUUUGGACAACUCAAAAGGCUUAGAGAAUUAAAACGAAAGUAAAUGACAUUAAUCGGACGACAAUUGAAAAGUCUGAAACUUAUUACAAACUUUAUUUUUUGGUUUUGGAAGCUUAAUUCCUCUUAAACAUGACGGGCUCAUGAUAUCAUUCCUCUUGUUCUGCUCGCAAUUCUCUUCAAAACGAUAUAUUAUACGCCUAAUUAUGACACCGGAAUAUUUCUUGCUGUUUUUUCUGUCGUCAUAUUUAUUGAAUCCAAUAUUUUCCAAUUUUAAUUAUUCUUCUCUUGAAACAUUUUAUUUUAUUUAUAUUUCUUGAUAGGAAGUGACUCAUAUCUUGUCUUACAUCACUUGACUUGACCUCAACCAUCUGAUCUUCGACCUCAAGAUCCAGAUUAAUGGAGUGUGUAAAAAAUAAAUAAAUAAAGGGAAGAGAAAAAGAAGUACAAACCGAUCGAUUACAAAACUUUGCUAAAAUUGCUACAUAACGCAAAAUGACUACAUCUUACCAAACUUAACACCAGCCAAGUUACAUGGUGUAUUUAUAAAGACCCAAUUCUUAACAAACAUGAAAGCAAUCGUAAACCCUCCUAAAUAAUAGGAAAGUAACCUAAGAUCAUGUGGCACAGAAGGAUUGAAGAGUAGUAGAUUGACUGAGUAGUAGACCUGUAAACAGGUCGGGUUCAAUCCAACCCGUUAAAUUAAUGGGUCACCCAAACCCAACCUGUUAAGCUAACGGGUCACCCGAACCCGACCUGUUUCACCUCGUUAACAAUUAUUAUUAUUAUUUUUUUGCAUAGAGUUUAUUUUUUGUUGUUAAGACUUUACUGAAAUUACUAAAACAUCCUCAACUAACGGAUGCUAACGGGUCCGAACGGGUUGACCCAAAGUGACCCGUUAUUUAACAGGUUCACCCGUUAGCGACCCAACCUGUUAAGUAUCCACACAAAUACUAAUAUUAACGGGUCAGGUCGGGUCGGGUCUAAAAUGCCAGGUCAGUGAGUAGUACUCUUGACAAGACUGAACAAAUAAUGAAUGCAACCAAAUAUAGUAAUUAGGUUUUAAUUCGACCGGUGGAGUGGAUACUGGUCUAUGUGUGGAACUUGUGCUUUGUUUUUGGUCUAUGUUGAUUUUUUCAAACUGCAAGUUCUUUUCUCAUCAAAAAAGAAAUAUCUCAUUACUCAUCCCCAACUACAGAUGUCUCUAGGAAGUGUAGGUAUUCUUGUUGACGUCAAAUAGGAGAGAAACGGCAUCCACUAGUCUUACGUGGUUGAUAUGACUCUUUGACACUUGGUAGACCCGAUUCUUCUACACUUAAUGGAUUUCUGUUUAAGAAGUUGAGGUUCUACCAUAAUAUCGCAGUAGUCACAUGCACUCCACGUAGUUCCGUUGUUUGUCCACAUGUUAGACUUAAAAAAAUUUUCCACAAAAAACAGAAGAAAAAAAAAUGAAGUUAAUUUUUGCAUAUAUGUAAUACAUUUAUAGUUGAUCUCAUGAGUUCCUUCCGUAAGGGUUUAUGAUAUUUGUAUUGACACUCUUGUAAGGUUUUAUCAUAUUUAUAUGGCUAAUUGCAAGACUUAUCAACUUCACAUUUGGGUACUUCUAAAUGUGUUGGACCUUCAUGCUUGAAAUCUUGAUUAAAAAAUAUGUAAUUUGUAUUGGAAUGAAAAAUUAAACAAAAAAAAAAAAAACAAUUUUAACGGGUGACUCAUGAGCUUAACAGGUUAAGUUUGGAUGACUCAUUAGCUUAACGAGUCGGGGGUGACAUGACCUAAACCCAAUAAACCGAACCCGUUUACAGGUUACCAGUAGAUAGUAAAGGGGAUGAAAGUUUCAGACUCUCAGCAUCAAAUUAUUAGUCAUCAGUUUCAAUUCCUGCAUUGGCUUGAAGUGCAAUGGAUUUGAGGCCCGAAAUUUUUAUUCGAUACCCAAUUUCUUUAUCAUUUUAGGACUUUCAAACUCCUAACAUCUAUCAAGUCAAGAGUGCGGUGUAACGAAAUUUAUCAUGUUGGAUUUAGUCUAUGUUGCAUUUUUCAAACUGCAAGUCCUUUUCUUGAGAAAAGGAAUAUCUCAUUAACUCAAGAGAAAGCAAGGAAGAGGAGAAAUACUUCGAGUUGGAGUUGAGGCCCCAACCAUAGGAAAACUGUAGAAAAACGUAUUUGACUCAAUUGUACUUUUCAUUCAUUCUCAAAUGUACAAUAUAUAUAUAUAUAUAUAUAUAUAUAGUAAAUAAAAAUAUAUGGAUUAACUAUAAAUACACACCAUUUACUCUUUUAUAUAAUGAGCUUAAUGCUGAAACGUUAAUGAAUCCAUGUAGAAGAUUUAAUAAGCCUAAUUGUUCAAUGAACCUAAUUAACUAACAUGCCCUCUCAAGUUAGAGAGUGAAGAUCCACAACUCCCAACUUGCGUAUCAUAAUCGAAAAUUUUAAAUUUCGUUAGGUAAAAGCUUAAGCAUUGAAAACUUACUUUUACCUGACGAAAUGGUUUCGUCUAAAAUGGUGUUUUCUUGUAGUGAUAUCAAGUAAACUCCAUAACAAUAAUCUUUUGAAUUUUUGCCCUCUUAGCUAUGUAUGGAAGUACAAAGUGACACAACUAUUUAUAGACGGGUAAUGCUUGACAAAGGAAUACGUAUAGGGUGGACUAAUAUAUAUAUAUAAUAUAUGUGUGUGUCCAUAAAUUCCUUACCACAUCAACCUUGACCCAUUGGAAUCUAUAAAUUUGAAUUUGUCUAAAUUCCCAUGGCUACACCAAAUUCUUUACAAACACUUAUCAGCUGCUAAUUAUUAAACUGACCAACUAUGAUUAGUGUGAUGAGCUGAAGGAUACAAAAUAUGUGUUAUAUAAUUAUGGUUGUUUAGUAAAACUAUAACACAGCUAAUGUUUCUCUCGCCGAUCUUUUCUCACAAUCUAGUAAGUGGACUAAAUGAUUUAAGCAGUUAGUGAAAGAACAUAUGUAGCUUGUAAUUUGACUAAUUUCCCCAUGUUCGGAGAAAUUUCACAGGCCUUUGUAAGAUUUCACUUUAACAAAGAGAGCUCCAAUAACCUUCUAAAACAUUUAAGCAAAGCACAUAUCACAAAAAAUGAACCUGAAUGGGGAAGAUCAUCAUAAGCUAAUAUGGACCAUGUAUAAAAGAGAUAAAUAGGAAUUAAGGAUGUGUGAAUGGAUACCAAGCAACUAAAAAGCUUCUAAUGGGUCUUUUCCUUCAAAUAAUGAUUGAUAAGAAACAACCAUUCUUCAUGAGGAAGCAGGUAAUGUAUUGUGCACCCUAAUCUAUUGUCCUAACAACGAUAAUACAUAGAAAUUUAUGGUGCCCCAUUGCACGUAUGCAGCAGGCUUUUAAGCAUAUCAAUAUUUGCAUAAGAAGAACCAACAAACAGAGAGACGAAACACCUAAAUUUACAACAAUUAGUCUUGUGAAGCCAAAUGGGAGGGAGUGUGUUGAGAAUGAGUUCCACGUCAAUGAGAGGAGGAACCUUGCAUAAGUUUGUAAGAAGUCAAGUUACUCCUCGUAUUACCAAUUAAUUUUAUAGUAAAACCUCACAUUUUUUCAAAAUGAAAGUUUAACAAAAAAAAAAAAAGGGAUAAAAAACACCUAAAUUUACAGAGAUAAUUUAAAACAUGUAAAUAAGAAAUUGAAAAGUAAUCUGCAAUUUGGUUUCUUCAGAAGCAAUGAGCAAAAGAAAACGGGAGAAUGAGACCAACACAGAAAAGAAAACAUCCUUUUUACCCCUAAGUUGUGCGCGAUGUCCUACUUCCUUCCCUUCUUCGUUUUGGCAGCCUUCCCCUUCAUUCCUUUCAUUCUUCGUAUUUUCUCCCCCCGCGCUGUCUCACUUUCAGAGUCUGUAAGACUCACUCACGACUCAGCAGCUGUUCAGCCUGACUCGUGCCUCAUCUCAGCCUCACUCAGUCCUUCCUCUACGUCGACCACUCGCCCACCUCGCACUCACCCUCGCGGCCCACAAGCUUCCUCUCGCCGUUUCGAGUCUCGACAGCCCACCUUGAUUCCUCGAUUCCAAAAGGUUAGUCUUUCUGCUGGAUUAAAAUUUGGAUCCACAACUAUAGUUGGUCUUUCUACUGAUUAAAAUUUGGAUCACAACUGUGUUUUUUCCGAUUAGGGAUUUGAAUUGGAAACCUUAUCUGUCAUUUCUGCUUUGACAGUUUUGUUUCUCUAUUUGUAAAUAUGAAUUCAUCACAGAAAAACACAAAAUGGUUUUGUUAUUUACCAUUAAUUUUCUUGUUAAAAUAUGUCAAUAAUACGAAGGAAGUUUUAAUGAAAAGUCCGCGGUACUAUUUACUUUAACGAAAAAUCAUAUUUUUACAUUAAAAAGUCAAAUAUGGUAAUAUUCACUUUACAUUUUAUUUUGUCCUUAUCGUUAAAACUCAAAGUUUUCAAGCUCUUUUCAUUAAUUUUACUUAAUAUGAAAGGUUUUGUUAUUCGCCAAAGUGGGACUUUCGCCUUCACCUCUUCACAUGUACCAAUCACUUGUUUUUUCCCAAUAAUUUUCUUGUUAAAAUAUGUCAAUAAUUUUGAAAAAUGGUACAUAAAAGUACUCUUGUAAAGUUAUGAUAUCUUCACGUGAAAAUGUUUUUUUGCAAGAAUAAAAGGUGUAUUGUCCUUGCACGACAAAAGAGAAAUUAAGUUACUGAUAAAACACAAGUUUUAGGGCUAACGACAAUGAUGUUUUCUGUAUCUGCGCUUCAAGUCCACCAGCCCUUUUGCAUUUGUUGCCUAUUGCACAACUGAUGUAUUCAGUUUACAAGUUGUUCCUACAAAACCAGUUCCCCUGUAAUCCACGAUUCUUAUUCAUUCUCUCCGAUGAUUGGAACAAAAAGUUGUACAAAUUUCGUAGCUCUGGUUUUAGAAUUUUAGACAAUCCUUGCUAUACACAUUAUUCUUAAAUAUGUAACUGUUCUACAAGUAUUCUUAGUUACUAAGGCAUAGGAAAGUUUCGAUUUCAUUUGAUUGAAAAGAUUUGUCUCCAAUUAAUCGAAGGGUUAUUAUACAAAAUAGUCCAUGAGAUUUUUAUGAUCAAUAGAAAUUCUCUAAUAUUAAAAAUCAAUAUAAAUGGCCCCUGAGAUUGUUCAUUAUCCAUGAUUUUGGUCAUUUCAUUAAAACUUCUUUGGGCAAUUUUCAAAACUUCGUAACUCAAUCGAUUCUUAACCAAAUUCGACUCAUAAUAUAUCAAAAUGAAAAUAAAAAAGUUUAGAACAAGAUUAUACCUAUUUGGAAGCCCAAUGAUUGCCAGAGAUGACUGGAAAAUAGCCUGAAAGGUGACUGGUCCACCGGAAAACUGGAAAACUCGCCGGAAACUGGGUAAACUUUAAACAUUUAUAACUUCUUCAAUACUCAACGAAAUCGAGUGAUUCAAAAACAAAAAUUUAGAUUUCAUUUGAUUGAAAAUAUUGUCUCCAAUUAAUCGAAUGAAUAAGAAUCCUUUCAAAUGAAAAUAGCUGCUUUCAUUCUAAUUUCAGAAAAUCCAAAUCCAUGAAAACAUGCAGCACUCUACUAUCUUUAUUUAUAUUACUUUCUAUCUCCAUUUAAUUGUUAAAGAAACUCGACGGUACAAGCAAACUGAUAUAACAUAAAAAUAAUAUGAUACAUAGGGCAGAGUUUUGAACGUGAACAACAAUCAACUAAAAGCUAAAAAGCAUCAAUACAUUCUAUCUCUUUUUUCAAAAGAAAUCUCGACGGUACAAGGAAAAAUUUAUUGAAUAAACAAAAGAAAUUACACCUAGUCUUGGGGGGAUAUAAACCUUGCCUCUCAAAAUAAAGAGAAACGUAAGAAAAGAAACCGAAAAUACAAGAAAAUAGGAGGGACAUACACUUACAUAUCCUGAUACAAACUUAUAACUAAACAUAUAGAAAGUGAAGGAAAGAAACCACAAUAGAGAAAACAAACGACAACAAGAAAUGUGUAACAUUGUAACAAACCGAAUUUCUACGCCCCCAUUAGUACUCUAAAUUUUCAUUAUCAUUUGCCUGACCAUUCCAACAAUCUUAAGAAACAAGUCAGACCUCCUUGUGAUCACAACAUCUGCAAGAACUACUCCCACUACCAACCCACUUCAACAUCCGGCUGAAACAAUUUUCCAAUCAAAUUCAAAUAUUCCUGCUGAGCUAGAAUCACCUUCGUCCACGGUUGAAGGUGGAAAUGGAGGGGCCUUAGGAUUUCCACAUUUCUUUGGCAAUGGAUCUCCACACAACCCUGGGUUUCCCUCAUAUGAAGUGAUAUUCAAUGUAGUAAGUUGGCUACCUUGUGGUAUAAGACCUGUGAGAUUGUUGGGAGACACAUUGAAAUUGGCAAGAAAAGUAAGUUGCCUCAGUUGUUGGGGGAUCCGUCCUGAGAGCUUGUUUUGUGAAAGGUCCAACAAUUCAAGUUUCAUCAAGUUUCUGAAGGAUGAUGGGAUAGAACCAGUGGGAAUGUUGUGGGAUAGACUCUGCGAACAAGGCUCCUUAAGAUUCCCAAUGAAUUCUGGAAUUUUCCCUUCAAAUUUUUUGCUCGAGAUAUCAAAGGAUGAAAAUUCUUCUCGGAUCUUUGGGUAGUAUUGCUCCAAACAUUUUGUUGCUAUUGUGAGUUGGUACUCAACACUGUUAACAAUCGUGAAUCCAUUGACAUCAUAAACUACGUCUGUGUACAUAUAUGUUGACUUAUUUAUGGUAAUAUCUGGAAAUACAGACGGAACCGCACCAGUAAAAUCAUUGUAAGCCAAAUCAAGAAUGCGUAACUUGGGGAAAUCGACAUUCUUUCUAGACUUUCCAAUCACACCAUAGAAUCCAUCAUGGCAUAUUGCCAAAAGUUUUAACUCCAAAAGAGUCCCCAACCAAAUGGGAAAAACAUCAUUGAAUUGAUUGUUUGACAAAACAAGAUACUCAAGCAUUACACAAUUGGCCAAUGACCUCGGCAACUGCCCUUGCAAUUUGUUAUGACUCACAUCAAUCAUUCUCAAACUGCUUCCUUUGUUGUAUGUCUGAGGAAUAAUUUCGUGAAAACAAUUGUUUCCAAGAAGUAAAAGAUUCAGAUGAUCACUAAAGUUUCCGAGACACUGAGGAAGCAUGCCACUCAAGUUAUUUUUCGACAAGUCAAGGUAUUGAAGAUUUUUCAUAUUGCAAAGCAACGGUGAGAUUUCUCCGGUAAAGUUGUUGUCUGGAUGAAAACCUUACACAUAACAGUUUCACCCAAGGAAUGACAAGUGGAGGUUGGUCUGAAAUGAAGUUAUUAGAAAUGUCUAACAAUAGCAAAGUUUCUAUGAUUGUGUUCCACAUCCAUUUUGGUACUUGGCCCCGAAUUUUGUUUAUAGAAAGGUCCUAACGCUCCAAACUUUUCUGAUAUUGUAAGAAAGAUGGAAACUCUCUUAUGUUGCAAGAACUCAAUCCUAGGACAGUGAACUGCAGAACUGUUGAAUUUGCAAUUCGUGGAUUCAGUGACAAAUUCUAAAAUGUUCCAACUUAAUUGGAGUUGGUAAAGAAAUUGUAGAUUUUGAAAUUGUAAACAUGAAAAUUUCCUCCUUCGAAUGAGACAAGAACGCGUGUACAAAAUAAUAUUUUGUAUUAAUUUUGGGGUUACAAUCACUUUUACAAUUUGAUACUCUGAUUCUAUCUUCGUAAGAUGUAGAUUUGUAGGUGGGCAGUUGAUCCAAAAGGUCAUCGGGGCUUGAUCUAGGGAUGAACAAGGAUGAAUGGACCUUCAAGGGCCUUCAGGGCUUGAACUUGAUGAACGAGGAUGAACAGAUCUUCAAGGGCCUUUGGGGCUUGAUCUUGAUGAAAGAUGAUGAUUGGAUCUUCAAGGGCAUUCGAGGCUUGAUCUUGAUCUUGAUGAAUGAGAAUGAACAGAUCUUUAAGGGCCUUCGGGGCUUGAUCUUGAUGAACGAGGAUGAAUGGAUCUUCAAGGGCCGUUGGGCUUGAUCUUGAUGAACAGUUGGGAGCUGCGGUUGGGAGCUUCUUCAAGUACCGUCGGGGCUUUAUCUUGAAUGAGUGGUUGGGAGCUUCUUCAAGGGUCGUUGGGGCUCGAUCUUGAAUGAGCGGUUGAGAGCUUCUUCAAGGGUCGUCGGGGCUUAAUCUUGAAUGAACGGUUGAGAGCUUCUUCAAGGGUCAUCGGGGCUUGAUCUUGAAUGAGUGGUUGCCUCAAGGAUUUGGCUUGCGGCAAAGGAAGAAUCGGCACGUGACCAAAGUGCUAGUUGAUUCUUCAAAGGUUUUGGCGAAGAACGAAGAGAGCUUUCUCGAUCUUUUGGAAUUCCUGAGAAUUUGGGGAGUUGGAUGCUUGAGAGCUUUAUAGUGUAUUUGUCUUGUCAUUGUCCAAAAUGAGAAGAAAAAACUUGUUUUGAUCCAUAAUGGAUUGAAGUGUGUUUGCCUUGUCAUUGCCCAAAGUGAGAAGAAAAUUUUGUUUAAUCCUCCAAGGGUAUUUCUUCCUAUUUUGUUGAGUCACACGCCAUGUGUAAAAUUUAUGUGACAUGUGAACGUUGAAAUUUUAAUGCAUUGGUCAACAUUUAUUUCACCGAAAUUUCGAUGUCUACAUAAACAUUUGAACCUCCACUGCACCACUCAGACUAUUCCAAUGUAGAUAAAGGAUCUGAAGGUUUGUGAGAUUUGAACCAUUAAAUCUAUUAUAAGCAAAAUCUAGGUACUCUAGUUUGCUAAAGUUGCCUAGCCAAGAUGGGAUUGGACCAGUUAAUCAACUGGAACAAAUCCUAAAAGUAGCCAAUUGGGUAAGGUUUGCCAAGGAAUCAGGAAUUGGACCACCAUAACUUUUGGCUGAAAUGUCUAGAUAAGUGAGCUCACUGAGCUGCCUAAUAUUCCCAAGUGAAGAUGGAACCAACCCUUCUGAAAAAUUGCAUUGAGCCAUAUCUAAUUUUUGCAGUGAAUCAAGGUUUUGAAUAAGAGAGUAUGGUUCCAAAAAAGCCAGUAAAGCCGACUUUCAAUAAGAUGAGAGGACUGCUUCGAUUAAAGUCAGCAAAAUAUCCAGUCAAUUCUUGGUUGUAUCUCACACUAAGAAAUUUUACGUUUGGUAGUUGGAAAAUUCUCACCAGAGAUCACCAAAUAGGUGACAGUCCCUGAGGUAGAGGGAUGUCAAAGAUGAUAAAUUAGCCAUGGAAUGAGGAAUUGCCGAAGAUACGUUUACGAACUGAGAGAAAGUACUUCGAGACUAGUUAAGUUUUGAACUAGGCUUCCAAGAUCUGAUGCUUCAAGUUUCAACAAAGGAUGAUCCUUAUCUUCAGACAAUCUAUCGAGAUUGACAGCUAGAUUAAGGUAUGUCAACUUGGAUAACAGUGAAACUUCAGAAGGGACUUGACCAGAAAAGACAGAGGUAGAGAGGUCAAGAUGAGUAAGGCUUGGAAAAUUCCUAAUGCUAGGAGGAAUUUGAGAGUAAUUGAAGUUAUUGUCAGAGAGGUUUAACCUUGGAAGAUGAACAAGGCGGAAGAGGCUGCUUUCCAUGAUGAAACCUUUGGAUAAGCAUCGAUAGAUCUAGAAGCAGAUAUGUCAAUAGUAAAGCUGUCUUUGGAUUGCAGCAGGGCGGACUUCUCCUCAUCAGGGCAAGAUGGAUAAUGCUUCUGCGAAGAGUGGGAAGAGUUAACAAUAACUAUAUGAUUAAACAGCAACAAAACUAGUACUAGUUUUGAAACCAUGCGAAUGAUGGAGAUAUCAAGUAACCCCAUAACAACAAUCUUUUGAAUUUUUAUUUUUUUUAUUUUUUAUUUUAAAGCUUUUAGGCCAUCUCCAACCGAAUGAGGAUCAGAUAGCUCAUUUUAGUCUUAUAGCCCUUUAAGAAAUUAUAUUUUAAUGAAUAGUGUCAUACCAUAUUUCUUACCAUCACCAACUGAAGGAGCCAAAGGGCCAUAGGCCAAACAUAGCCUCUUGACAAAAAAUCAUCUCCAACCGAGGGGACCAAAUGGUCAUAGGCCAAACAUAAUUUAUUAUUUUAAUUGAAUUAAUAUAGUUACUUAAAUUAAAAACUACAAUCAUUAUCUUAAAGAUUCAACUACUUAAAUUUAAAAACUACAACUAAAAUUAAAAUGCUACAACUUCAAUUUAAAGACUACAACAACUUAAAUUUAAAAACUACAACUUAAAUUUAAAAACUACAACUUAAAUAUUAAAGACUACAACAAUUUCAAGACUAUAAUCAUCAUCUUCAUCCGCCAUUGUAGGAGUAUAGUCGGAUGAUGUAAACAACUCCCGUCAGGCCAUAAUUUCUCUCUUUUUCCUAUCAAAAUAUGUCUUACUCAUUGGAGUGUAAUCCGAAGUGUUCAUUUGCAUGUUCCUACCAUCCAUCUAUUCUUGUAUUUGUUUUGCCCAUUCUUCGUGCCUACGGUUCCUUUCUUCUGCGGCAAGGGCAUUUUUCUCUGCCAGUAAUUGCAAUGAGGACACAAUUUCCUAUUGACAAGCUAAAUCAUCCAUUGCCUUGCCCUUUUCCUUCAAUUUUCGGGCCUUGUUUUGUCCCGUAGCCCUAGGGAUGGAAGAUUCACUCGGAGACGGAUUUUCUACCCUUGUUUCUUGAAUGAUAGGAGAUUCUUGUUGAGGUGGAUCAAAUCUUUCUUGAGGUGGAUCUUGAAAUAACACACACCCUUUAUAAAUUUCCCAACAACCAUGAUGAGUAAAGGGGUUUUUUCAUUUCCUUCAUAUACAAUUCCUUCGCUUGGCGUACCUAGAAAAUAUAAUUACAAAAAUUAAAGGAAAUUAAUUUAUGAAAUUAAGAUUAGCAUGUGAAAUUAAUUUAUGAAAACACUUACUUCGUCGUAGUAAUUGGCUCUGCUUUCAUGUCUGCUUUCGGCCGCAAGCACUGCUUGAUGUCAUUUAUUCAAACUUGGUUGAAGAUGUUUUCUUCCUUUUGAAGAACAACUCUAGUGGUUUCGGGGAUUCGGUGGAGUGGUGUCUUCGUAUAAUUCGUAGUACUUUUUAGACCCAUCUAUAAGUUUUGCAAAGAGCUUCAUCUUCUUUUCGGGUCCAAGCCCUUCCUUUCAUUGCAUAUGUGGUUAUUUGAAAAUUAUUGAAAAAAAUUGAAGGAAAGAUUAUUGGAAGAGGUAAGAGAAUAGAAUGUGAAGAAUUGAAGCUCUUUGAGGUAAGAUAAUAUGGAAUGGUGAAAAUUAUGUGAGAAAUGAUGUAAGAAUAACUUAGGUAUUUAAAGGAAAAAAAUUAUUUUUUUUUAUUAAAAAAAUUGUACCAAAAAAAAAAUUCAAAUCCAACGUCUACCUGGCGUCAGCAUGACGCCAAGUAGCCGUUGGGUUUGGAUUUUGGGCCGACCCAGGGCUGGCUAGCUAGCUGAGGAGGGCCAGCCAGUUGGCACAAUUUCAUAUUUUUGGCCCGGUGGGGCUCACGAGCCAUUUGGCUUAGUCCUCGGUUGGAGACGGUUUUUGUGACAUUUCGAGUUUUUUUAGCCCUUUGGCCAGGUCGGUUGGAGAUGACCUUAGUUAUGUAUGAAAUGCAAAGUAACACAACUAUUUAUAGAAUGGCAUCAGUAUAAAAUUCUUUCGCAAAUUACUUUAGUCUAAAGUAGGGGAACUGCACUGUGCAAUUUUGCCUCAAUUUCACUUUAUUUAUGAGUUUGCCACCGGGCUGAUUUCAGCCCAAAGUUUGCUUCAUUUACAAGAUUGCCAUUGGGCUUAACAACGGGUCUUCAUUCUUUUGGCUGGAUCUGGGCUUUUGACUCGGGGAGAGAGAGGUAAGGGCGACAGAAUGGUUGAGAGGAAGACAUUCGCCGGGAUUUAGGGGAGUGGAUUUUCAGGAUGGACAUGCGGGUGGAUGUCCUGUGGGUGAUGCAUCGAUCAGAGGGUUGUUGGGGGGAGGAGAGGAGAGGAACAGAGGGACUGAUGGAUUGGAGAGAGAUGGGAGCCGGCUCAAAGACUCUGCAUUUCUCACUUUCUCUUCUCUCAGACCACUUCUCUCUCUUCCAUCUCUCUUCCAUCUCAAUGCGAAGGGUUGCGGAAAGCCGGUUCUCCGGCCGAUUUGAGGUGGUAAUAAGCUACUUAUGAUGAAUCCUAUGCUAUUAUGUUUCUUUGAACCACUAUGCUAUUAUGUGGUUUAUCUUUAUAAAGAGGAAUUCUUUUGAAAUCUUUCGUUGAACUAUUAUUGAUGAAUCCUAUUGUAAUAAGUAAUUUUUUGUCUGUUCAUCGUAGAACUAUAGGGAGGGAGAGAGAGAGAUAGGGAUUUGGUGAGAGGAAGGCAUGCGGCUUGCAGGCAGACAGAGUCACAAGGGUGUACGAUUCGAAAGAGAGGGGAUUGAGUGGUGACGCUCGAUUUGGGAAGAGAAAGAGAGGGAGAGCGCGAUUAUGGGGUUAGGCGACGGCGGGAGAGAGGGCGAGGGUUGUUGCAUCCAUGUCACUCAGAGUGGGUUACGUGAGAGUCAGAGUGCUGCGUUCUUGGGUUUGAGAGUUGAUUUUGAGAAAAUGAUCUAUUCCAUCUCUGCUUCGUGAUCCCUUUGAUCCAUGCUUCCUCAUCUUUUCGAUCUUCUUGGCCCCUCAUCCUGCACCCAAUUUCUCUAGCCUUUAAGAGGUAAUUAAAUCUCACUUCUUCUCAACUACCCAGAAGCCAAAUAUUUGAUUUUUCGUUGUGGUUUGUUACUUUACCGAAUUUGGUUAUUGAUAUUUCGUUUUUUUUAUGGUCCAUUUGUGUUUUCUUGGGGUUGUAUUUUUGCUAGAAUUUCAUAAAAUUUGAUUUGGCUGGGUAACCGAUUGGCUUAAAAUUGUUGUGAGAUUGAAUAUUUCUUGAAUUUGAUCAUUAGAUUUCUUUUUUUUUUUUUUUUGGAAAUUGACGUGUUUUUCCCAUUCAUAGCCAAAACAAACCCGUGCUUCCUCCCUUUUCGUCUUCUCCUCUCACAAUUUGCGCCUUUAGUUCUCAACUGGAUUCACAGUAAACGCCUAUAAAUUUAGAGGUACGAAAAUAUUAAUUUUUUUUUCAUGUUUUUUAUUUAUUUUUAGUGUUAAUUUCUGAUUAAAUUAUUAUUUUUGAUACCCACAUAGAAUCUGAUGGGUUUGCUUGGAUUCCAGAGUAAAAACCUUGAAACUUAAAGGUAUGAAAAUUUCAUUUUAUUUUUUAUUUUUUGUGUUAAUUUCUGAUUAAUAUUAUUCUUCAUAAAUCCACUUAGAAUCUUGAUCUGAGUUUUGCUUAAACUCAUCUUGGGGUUUUAUAAUUUUUUUGUUUUAUAAUUUUCUGGUGCACAUGUGAUUAAAUACAACUGAAUUUGAUUUUAUCCACAAGUGCAUAUCUGAUCCUGUAGUGCUCAAUCUAGAGAAUUGGUACUCAUAAUCAAUAAGAUUCAUACUGCUUAUUGGUAUCAAUUUUGGUUGCAGCAAUGCUAUUCUUGCUGAAGACCUGCCAUGUAAGUGAUUCAGAUUGUAGUAAUGUCGUACAAGUUAACACUUUUGUGUGGAAUUGGUGCAACUUUUGGGGUUUGUGCGAUGUUAUUUUGAUUAGUUAUUGGCUAAAAUUUGGUUCUUUUGAUUUGGGUCUGGUGAAAUUGUUUCAACAGUUGGGCGGGAUUGGUGUUCAGGGAUAUUAUGGUUUUCUAAGGUUUUGAUAGGGUUGUCAUGAAUGGAGGAUGUUAAUGAAGUAAAUGAACAUGCUUAUCUUUGUAGGCUUGACUUCUGAACACAAGGCCUACUCUUUUCAAUUGUUGGGGAAGGGUUUCUUAAUUUUUAUUUCUAUUUGUGUGUGUUGAAUUUUGAGUUAUUUUGCGAGCAAUUGGCUGUGUUGAUGCACAAAACCGGAAGGGGUUUUGGAACAACGUAAAUCCUACCAUGAAUCUGCAAGAAAGUAAAGAACACAAGAUGUAUCGUGGUUCACCCCAAUGUUUGGGCUACGUCCACACUGAUUAUUGUAUUUCUCUGAGAUGUUAAAGAGGGAGAGAGGGAGAGAGGGAGAGAGGGAGAGAGAGCUUCCUUAUGUGAGGAUGAGCUUCUUUGAAUAUGAGAUGGGAUGUGAGGCCUCUCUAAUUGUGAGGGUGAGGGGUCCUUUUAUAGAAUAAAGGCUCCUCACUUAUUACAUAUUUGCCGCUUCCCUUAUUACAUAAUUACAUUUAAGUCCCCCGAGUAUUUAUACGAGGUCUAAAUACGGAGGCCCUAAGUAUGGUAUAAACAGUAGUCCCCCAAGUCUUCAGUCAAGAGAGUCUUUUGGCUGGAGACUUGAAAUUCAGUCCAUGUGUGGGCCGAAGUAACUAGAUGUCGUCUAGAACUGAUACUCGAUAUGAGGCGGUGCUCAAUUUGAAAUGAUGCUCAACUAGAAGUAGCACAUGUUGCGAGGCUGCUCUGCUUGUGGCUUAUGUUGCCUUGGUUGGCUCGGCUUGUGGCGUUGAAGGUGAAUAAGUCCAUUUUAUAGAAUAAGGGCUCGCUCCUCAAUACAUAAGUGAUGGGUUAGGAGUGAUGCUCGCGGCGAUGCGGUUGCUCAGCUGGCGGCGAUGCUCUCUAAUGAUGGUGAGGGAGUCCCUUUUAUAGAAUAAGGGCUCGCUCCUCAAUACAUAAGUGAUGGGCUAAGAGUGAUGCUCGCGGCGAGACGGUUGCUCAGCUGGCGGCGAUGCUCUCUAAUGAAGGUGAGGGAGUCCCUUUUAUAAAAUAAAGGCUCGCUCCUCAGUACAUGAAUAAUGGGUGCUCUCUAAUGAAAGUGAGGGAGUCCCUUUUAUAGAAUAAGGGCUCGCUCCUCAAUACAUAAAUAACGGACUAAGUCCCCCAAGUUUUUUUUCAUGAGUGCUUUCUAAUGAAAGUGAGGGAGUCCCUUUUAUAGAAUAAGGGCUCGCUCCUUAAUACAUAAAUAAUGGGCUAGAGUCCCCUAAGUAUUUUUCAUGAGGCCUAAUAUAUGAUACAUAAUGUAGUCUCCCAAGUCUUCGGUCAAUAGAGCCUGUUGGCUGGAAACUUCAAAUUGAAUCCAUGUAUGGGUCGAAGUGGCGGUUGUUCGGAGGCGGUAUUUGUAUACCCUACACUGAAGCUUUGUAGGUGAAGCUUUGCAAGUGAAGCUUUGAAGCUGGAGCUCUGUAAAUGAAGCUUUUGAAGCGAGAGCUUUUGUAAAUGAAGCUUUUGAAGCUAGAGCUCUAUAAAUGAAGCUUUUGAAGCUAGAGCUUUUGUAAAUGAAGCUUUUGAAGCUGUAGCUUUGUAAAUGAAGCUUUUGAAGCUAGAGCUCUGUAAAUGAAGCUUUUGAAGCUGAUUGAAUGAGUGAUGCUCAUGAAUGUUUAUGUUGAUUGACAUGAGUGAUGCUCAUGGAUGUUGACAUGAGUGAUGCUCAUGAAUGUUGACAUGAGUGAUGCUCAUGAAUGUUUAUGUAUGAUUGAUAUGAGUAAUGCUCAUGAAUGUUUAUGUAUGAUUGACAUGAGUAAUGCUCAUGUAUAAUUUGAAGUACUGGGCGUAUUUUUGAUCACCUGGUUGGUGAUAAUAGCGGCAGGCUGCCGAAUAAUUUUGGAGUACUGGGCGUACUUUUGGUCACCUGAUUGGUGCUAUUUUAGGCUUAUGGGCCUUCGCCCUCCACACAACAUUCCAGCCCAUUUAUUUUGGGCUUUGCCUUUUUUUAUUUAUUAUUAUUUUAUUUUUUUUAUUACCCUCUGAUGGGGUUUAUAUAGAUGUCUCCGAAAGAUAAGAAAAAUAAAUCACAUCAUACAAAAACAAGAAAAGUAAAUCACAUCAUUCUGGUGGGGUGUUUAUUCCUUACUUUUGCUUUCUCUUUUGCUUUCUGCUUUUGUUUUUGCUUUCAUUUUCUCCUUUCUUUUCUGCUUUUGUUUCUCCCACUCCUGUUCUUUCUCUUUUCUCUUUUGGCAGAUGGCAGACAAUAAUAAUAUGAUUAAUAAUAAAAACUUAUCUUAUUCGUUGCAAACCAAUCAGGUUGGGAAGAGGACCACUGCAAAUCCAGGUAUCAUUGCCGUGACGCCACGCUGUACUGAUGCACAGUCAAUAUGCCUGUAGCCAUUCUUGACUGCAGCGAUGACAGCUUGACCGACCACGCCUGGUUCAGCCUUCCAUGUUCCAAGACCAACAGGUGGGAUCUUAGCUCCCGUAUUCAGAUCAAAAUACAAAGUUUCAGAUUUGUUUUCGCCCAUCUUCUUCAUCAUUUGGGCAUAAACCAUUGCCCUGUGGUAGUGCUCCUUCAUUCUCAAAUUGGAGGUUUGCUCAUCCAACUUCUCAUUUUCAGCUUGAUCUGCCGGUAAACCGACAGCAGUUGAACUGGUUUUGGAUGUUACCUUCUGAGAGCUGGGAAUUGCAGCUAGAACGGCACAAAGCAAGCCCACAUAGUUCUUAUACCGAACUCGAGCCUCCUCAAGAGCUCCUCCGCUGAAAACAAAAAAGUCACCCACACGGAAAAUGGCGCGAGCAGCCCAUGCUUGGAGGUUGGAGAAGAGAUCCUAACCGAAAGCUCCACCCACAUAGUGGUUGGUGUUGGCGGCAAAGACGUCCUCCUCCGUGACGGAGUUGAGGUUGUGAAUGGAGGAUUGAAUCGUCGGCGACGACUGGGUCCUCGUGAGCUUUGCGUGGCUUUUCUAACCGUCCAUAUGAGAGAAAUUGUACUGGGGGUUAGCAGCCAACCCCGGAUUUGUAAAGUCUCUAUAUCCUUCCUCCAAAACGUGCAUUCACGGCUUCACUGAGAUUUCCUCCGUAUUCCAAUCCGGCACCAGCAUUAUCUAGGAAAAAUGCGACGUCCUGGUAUUGUUCUUCCUGUAUAGCUAUAUUGAGAUGAGAAAUGACUCUGCCAACUAUUGAGAAAUGAUUUCAUUACAUUAUAAUUAGUUACACUGAGGUAUUUAUAUAAACUAGAUUUACAUAGGUAAAGAGAAUAGUUACAGUGGUAACUAUUUGUAACUAUUCUAACAACUAACUAACUUGACUAACACUAAUGUUUUACAAUGGUAACUUGCUCUUCACACCCCCUCAAGCUGAACGGAGAAGGUUGAAGUGAAAGCUUGGAUCGAAGAUGAAGAAAACGUGGCCUUGGCAGAGAUUUGGUGUGAAUAUCCGCUAAUUGAUCCACACUGCAAACAAAUUUGACAGUAAGAAGCUUAGCCAAAACAAGCUCACGGAUGUAAAUGAUAAUCGAUUUCAACAUGCUUUGUGCGAGCAUGAAAAACCGGAUUUGAAGCCAAGGCAAUUGCAGAAACAUUGUCAAACCAAAUUUGUGGCAAGAAGGACAACUUGAAACCAAUAUCAGAGAAGAGUUGACAGAUCCAAGUGAUCUCAGCAGCGGUAUGUGCAAGGGAGCGGUACUCAGCUUCGGUAGAGGAUCGGGCAACUGUGUGCUGUUUCUUUGCACUCCAACUAACUAGACAAGGACCAAGAAAGAUGCAAAAGCCACCAGUGGAAUGCCUAUCCCACGAACAUCCUGCCCAGUCAGCAUCGGAGUAGGCGUUGAGAAGUAGGGGAGAUGGGGUUUUGGGAAACCAUAAACCAAAUCCAAGUGUCCCUUUUAGAUACCGAAGGAUGCGUUUCACGGCUUGAAAGUGAGGCUCCCGGGGAGAGUGCAUGAACUGACACACCAGAUUAACCGCAAAGGAUAAAUCAGGCCGGGUCCAUGUAAGAUAUUGGAGGGCGCCAACAAUAGAGCGAUAGUCCUCGGGAUUCGACAACAAGGAACCAGUGUGAUCAAGCUUGACAGAACUAAGGGGAGUGGCACAUGGCUUUGCCCCAUCCAUUUUGGUACGCUUGAGAAUAUCCAAUAUGUAUUUGGAUUGAUGAAUGAAGGCUCCUGAGGGGGAUUUCUGAAUUUCCAGACCUAGAAAGUAAUGAAGAUCGCCGAGAUCCUUGAUUGGAAAUUUAGAGCUCAACUGAGAAAUAAUGGUGUUGCAAACACUAGAAGAAGGUCCGGUCACUAUGAUAUCAUCGACAUACACAAGAACCAAAACCAAGGUAGGUUGAUGCAACACAAACAGACUAUGAUCAGAGUGUGAAGCUUGAAAUCCCAUGGAGAAAAGAGCAGAAUGAAGUUUUUCAUACCAAGCACGAGGGGCUUGCUUUAAGCCAUAUAAGGAUUUCUUCAAGUGACAGAUAUGAGUAGGAUGAUCCUGAUCAAUGAACCCAGGUGGUUGAGCCAUAUAUACAUUCUCUUUCAAAGAACCAUGUAGAAAAGCAUUGCUUACAUCCAGCUGGUGUAAAAACCAGUUUGAUUGGACGGCAAGGGUGAGAAUGAUGCGUAUAGUCACAGGUUUAGCAACCGGGCUAAAAGUAUCACCAUAAUCAAUGCCCUCUUGCUGAUUGUAACCUUUUGCAACGAGUCUAGCCUUGUAACGAUCCACAGAACCAUCUGGUUUCCUCUUAAUCCGGAAAACCCAUUUACAGCCAACCAAAUUAUGAGUGGAGGUAGAAGGAACAAGCUGCCAAGUGUCUGUACUUUGUAAAGCAUUGAAUUCAUCCUGCAUAGCAGCCCUCCACUGUGAAUGUUUGGAAGCCUGGAGAUAUGUAGUAGGUAUAAACUCACUGUCAAAAUGAGAAGGCAGAGGAUGUGUUGUGGCAGUAAGGGCCUUAGGUUUGUAUAUGCCUGACUUAGAGCGGGUUUGCAUUGGGUGAACAGAGGAAAUAUGAGGUACAGGAUGUGGUGCAGGGUGUAGAGAAGGAGAGGCUAGUAGAGGAGAAGAGGGAGGUGAGGGAGGUUGCAGAGGUGCAGGACAAGGAGUAGGAGAAUGAACGUGCUCAGGUUGAGUAACUUGCUCAGGUUGAGUAACUGGCGCAGGUUGAGGAGGGGAGGAAGAUAUGGGUGGUGGAGCACGGAAAGUGAAAGAAUGAGGAGAAUAAAGAUUGGGAAAGGUAAGGGAAAAAAGUGAGUAAGGUUCUGGGGUAUGGGGAGUGGAGGACUUUAGAAGGUGGGGAUCAUGAAAGGGAAAUGUAUGUUCAUCAAAAUGAACAUGUCUAGAGAGAUAAACCCGAUUAGUGAAGGGAUCUAGACAUCUAUACCCCUUGUGAGCUAAGCUGUAGCCAAUGAAAACACACAUCUUGCUCUUGGGAUCUAAUUUGGAAUUGGUGUAUGGUUUUAACCAAGGAAAGCAUUGACAUCCAAAUACCCGAAGAGACUUGUAAUCUGGAACUUUCUUGAAAAAUUGUUCCCAAGGGGAAGACUUGUUGACUGGAGGUAGGCGAUUGAUAAGAUAGACUGCAGUAAGAAAACCUUCAACCCAUAAUUGGUGAGGAACUUGUGAGGCAAUAAGGAGGGUUCGAGCAGUCUCAACAAUAUGUCUGUGUUUCCUUUUAGCACAACCGUUUUGCUGAGGAGUGUAUGGACAACUGAAUUGUUGCUGAAUGCCAUGGAAAGACAAAUGAUGCUUGAAGUUAGAACUUGUAAACUCACCCCCUGAGUCUGAUCGUAAAGUGCCAAUUUUGUAACCAGACAAAUUCUCAACAAGAGCUUGGAAUUGUACAAAACUGUGAAACACUUCCGAUUUAUGUUUGAGAGGAUACAGCCAAGUAUAUUUGGUAAAAUCAUCUACAAAUAUGACAUAAAAGCGGUAGCCACUAACAGAACAUACUGGAGCUGGCCCCCAAACAUCCGCAUGAACUAAUUCAAGAGACCUAGAAGUAGUACAGAGAGAUUCUUGAAAUGGUAACUUGGCACAUUUGCCUAAAACACAAUUGGAGCAGAAGAAUUGUUGAACAUUAUUAGAACCAGGCAGUAUAGACUUGGAUAACAGUGAUCGAAAAGUCUUGAACGUUGGAUGACCCAAACGUUGAUGCCAUACAUGAGAAGAGGUCCUUAUUGCAGAAUGAGCAUGAACCUUCGGUGCAGGUGAAGAAGAAGCAUAAAAUGGAUAGAGACCAUUGUUGACAGGAGCUCUAAAAAGCAUCCUCCCCGUAGUAAGAUCCUUGACAUGGAAGUCAAAAGGAUUGAGGGUUAAUGAACACCAAUUAUCACGCAAGAACAUAUUGGCAGAAAGAAGAUCAUGCUUCAAGUGGGGAACAUGUAACACAUUCUUUAAUUGAAAAUCUGCAGAAGGUGUUUUAAGUAAAGUAGAACCAGUAUGGAGAAUUGGCAAACCUUGGCCAUCUCCAAUGUAGACUUUAUCUGGACCAGUAUAGGGCUGUGGAUUCUGAAGAUGAUGAAUAUUAUUAGUCAUAUGUGAGCUUGCGCCGGAAUCCAGUAGCCAUGGUGGUGGAGAAGAAGUACUAGAAGAUGCAUACAUCGCAAGUUUGGCUGGCGAACACGGCCUUGAAAAGUUGGAUUCAUGCGGUGGGAACAGUCAAUGGCAAGAUGUCCAGUGUCCUCACAAAUUUGACACGGAAUGACUGCAGAAGUGAAAGAACGGAAGCCACGAUUUCCACCUCGAUUUCCACCACGAUUAGUUGAGGAAUUAUUAAACCGAUUUGAACGAUUACGGUUGUUGUAGGUCAUUUGAGAAGUGUUCCGCUGAAAAUUACCGCGAUUAUUGCCAGGGUAAUAAUUCUGAGAACCAUUAGACUGAGCAUUGUAGGCCUGAUGUGGUGGAGGUGUAGGAAGCAAAGGAGGAGCAUUGGAAGCUGCUGGAAUAGAGGUGAAUGCCUGAUACGGUUCAGAGGAACCCUGAGAUUGCUUGCGACGAGCAAGAGCCAUUUCUUUGCUGAGAAGAAAUCCAUGUAGAUCAUCAACAGUAGUAUCAGCAAGACGAAAUUGAAUUGAAUCCACGAAGGAAUCAUAGUCAUCAGGCAAGCCAUUAAGAAUGAGGUGAAGGAGAUCCGACUCCUCAACUAGGGCACCGGCAGCAGCGAGAGCAUCAGAAACUUCUUUGAUGCGUUGCAAAUAUUCAGAUAUUGUGGAAGUGCCUUUCGACAUCAAUUGCAAAUUCGAUCGCAGCUGAUGAAUGUGAGAACGAGAGACUCCACCGAAUCGUUUCUCAAGAUUUUGCCAAAGUUCACGGGAGGAGUGAACACCAACAGUAAAGGGAAUCAAAUCCUCAGAGAGAGUGGAAUUGAUCCAAAUGAGGAUGUUUUGAUCAUUUUCGUACCAGAUCUCGAAGGCUGGAUUCGGAAUCGAGGACAAAUUUCCAGAAAGAUCAGCAAGAAAUUGAGGCGGUGGCGGUUCAGAUCCAUCAACCAUGCCGGUGAGCUUGUAGCGGCGGAAGAUCGGUUCGAACAGAUAACGCCAAACAAGGUAAUUAUGACGCUUGAGUUUUGUUUGAAUCAUACUCCCAAUGUUUUGGAUCGUGAUGGAGUUGAUUGAAGCUUGAAAUGAGGAGUUAGGGUUCAUCGGAGAAGGAUUGAGAUGUGGAGGCAGCAAAGAAGAAGGAUCCGCGAUUGCCGGAGAAGGAGGAUGCGCAGCCACAGGAGAGGAAGAAUUCGAAGAAUUUGCCGCCAUUGAUGAACAAGAUCGAAGAUCUGCAGACGGAAGCUAUGGUGUUUGGUAGGUAAGAAAAUAAGCAAGAAAAUAGCAGAAAGAGGAUCGAAGUCGGUGGACUUAAGCGAGUGAUACCAUAUUGAGAAAUGAUUUCAUUACAUUAUAAUUAGUUACACUGAGGUAUUUAUAUAAACUAGAUUUACACAGGUAAAGAGAAUAGUUACAGUGGUAACUAUUUGUAACUAUUCUAACAACUAACUAACUUGACUAACACUAAUGUUUUACAAUGGUAACUUGCUCUUCACCAACGACGUCGUUUGUAGCUGUAGCAGCAAUUGCAACCUUGAGCCUCGCAACAUCCUCAAAGUCCUCUGCAGAUACAGCCCGACGCAACUGCAACUUGAGAAGGGAGACAAGGCGCUCUUGUUGUUCGACCUUUAAAAAAUGGCGGCGCCGGCGAUCCCAGUCCCAAUCAGGGUCGUGGGCUUGAAAUGGUGCGGAUUGGGCCUCUGCUUGUGGCUUAAAAUUGAGGUAGGAAUCGAAGUUUUUUAUGGUAGUUUUGAUGAGGUCCUGGAGCGCAGAGUCCCAUCUCCACUGAGUUGAGUCGGAGGAGGAAUAAGGGUUUUUCUGGCAUCGACAGAGGGACGAGUCGGGAAACCUCGAGGAGGAGGUGGUUUGGGAAUGGGAGGAAGGGUAGAAUGGUCUUUUGGCGACGGAGGAAGGGUAUGGUUUGGGGUUGGGGACGUUGAGCUUGUGAGGACUUGGGGUUGGAGCAGAUACAGAAGCCAUUGAUACAGCAGAGAGAGGAAGGAUAUGUGUUUUUCUUGUUUUUUGUGUGAUCAAAAUUUACAGCGUAGAUUGCCCUCAGAAUAAAAGAAGGCAGACACGGAGUAGGUUUCUUUUUUGUUUCUGGGUUUUUGUGAUUUUGCAGAUUCAUGGUGGAGGUGAAAAAAUGAAAGAGAACCGACAUAACUUUUCGUGUCGAUUCCCAAGACGCCAAAUGUUGAUGCACAAAACCGGAAGGGUCUUGGAACAACAUAAAUCCGACCAUGAAUCUGCAAGAAAGUAAAGAACACAAGAUGUAUCGUGGUUCACCCUAAUGUUUGGGCUACGUCCACACUGAUUAUUGUAUUUCUCUGAUAGAGAGAGCUCUGAAAUAUGAGAGUAUUGUGAGGGAGAGAGCAUCUGUAAUGUGAGAGGGGAUGUGAGAAGGUGAGGGGGCUUCAGGCCUAAGAGUUGGCCUCCCUUAAUGAGGAGAGUGAGGGGUCCUUUUAUAGAAUAAGGACUCCUCACUUAUUACAUAUUUGCCCAUUCCUUUAUUACAUAAUUACAUUUGAGUCCCCCAAGUAUGAGGUCUAAAUACAGAAGCCCUAAGUAUGGUACAAACAGGUUGCGAGGUAGAAGGAGAGGAAGGUGAGGUAUACGGACGAGCUGGAGAGGAAGGUGCAGACACUUCAGACUGAGGCAACCACCCUAUCAGCACAGGUCACUCUAUAAUAGGUAUAAAAUCUGUUAUUGAUUGUUUUUCCUUCUUGGUUAAUUGAAUAAAAUUGUCGUUUAUGAUAUUCAAUCAAUGGAAAAUGUGACUUUCACAUGCUCCAAGCCUCUGUCAAUUAUAGAGAUCUCAAUAUGUAUCUAAAAUUUGCUUAAGACACUGGUGGAAAAAUGUAUUUAACAUUUUACAUUCAUAUGCAUAGGCUCGACUUCUAAAAACGUAUCCUGCAAAGCUAUGCUUCACAAGUUUACAAUGCCUGUCGAGUGUAGCACAUACAUUUGUGUUGUAUAAUUGUAUUCGAUAAGGAUAAUACUAUCACUGCACCUUAUUCCUUGACACUUUGGGCCUUCUUGAGUCUUCGUUGGAGUAGUGCAAAUCAGUUUUCCAACUCAAUAUCAUGGUCUUACUUGGUUGGUAAUUUUUGGCAUAAUCCAUUUAAAAAAUUUAGUUGUUUUUGUUGUUGGUUAUGUUUAUUUGUCAAAGUAAUGAUUUUGGUUUCAUGGUCAGGGCUUUAUGAGUAUGAUCAUGAUGCGUCAAAAGCUAUGGAGCUGGAAGUGGCAAUUAGAAUUAAAGUGAUAAUACAUAGUAAGUGUUUGGUUUUUGUUUUUUUUUUCUUCUAAAUUUCUGCAGCAAAGUUUUUGAAUCUCUCAUUUUUCAGACACCAAAUUCCAUUUGGAAGGAGUAGGUUGAUUAAAUACCUUUUAUGCAUCAUUUGUUUUCAUUUGUUUGUUGGAUGUCAGCAUGUGGGACUCUUGAGUUUGAGUACCUUUGUCUGUUUCGAUAUGAUAAUGCGAUGUUAAUUUAGGUUAUAAUGAUGAAUCUUUGUAUUUAAGAUUUUUUUUGGCCUAAUCGGAUAAAUAGUUCCCGUGGUCAUAAGGUAUUCGGAAGGUAACCCCUGUGGUAAAAAAAUUCGGAUUUAAACCCAUGUGGUCUAAGUCUGUUAUGAUUUAUACCCAAAAUUAAAACUUCCGCUAUCCCUCUGUUAGUAAUAGUCUCAUAUGAGGAUAAGAUGGUCAUUUCAUCCCCCAUCCCUUCCAUAAUCACUCUCCAAUUUUAGAUUUGGUUUUUCAUUUUGGAUUUUAAUUUUUUUUCGUUUUGAUUUUAGAUUGAUGCUGCUCCUUUCUACCUUGUAGUUUAGGAACAAAGCCAGAGGAGAUGGAAAGGUUUCAUUAGGGUGGUAACCCAGCAAAACCAGUGGAGAUGGAAAGGUUUCGUUAGGGUGGUAACCUAGCAAAACCAGAGGAGCCCCACCAUAAUUUCACAAUACUAAUCUCUCUCUCCAUUUUAACAACAUAUCAACAAACAGACGACCCCCUCCUGAAAAGGGUCAGAUCGCGGUCGUCGAGCAGAUUGAGGUCUGCAACCCAACGUAUUACUUAAAUUGGGCGAAACGCCUGAUUUUGCUAUUCACUUCUCAUGAACGUUGAACGGAAGGGAUGAAUGACUAUUCAUUCUCAAAGAUUUAUAAUCACCAUUGAUAAACAUGGUUCCAAUCAAUAAGCACAACAAACUACCAAAAAACAUUCAAUCGUUUACGAAAUUCAACUUUCCUGACCCAAUUACAAAAGAGCAAAAAAUAAAAAUAAAAAUAAAAAUAAACAGUGGACUCCCACAUAUGAAAGUAUCAAAACACAAUGUAUCCAAAAUAAAAUAAGAGCACUAUCAGGUUCUCUUCUACCAUAGGUUCUGAUUUUUGUGGACAAAGCUCUUGCCAGGAGGUUUCCAUGGUGCAACAGUUUGUUUAGAAGUGGUUGGUGGAUGAAGAGGCCAUCCACUCGUAGGACUUGAGCUUCCAAAUCUACUUUGAGGCAUCUCCACUCUAGGAAUUGUGGUAAAUGUGGCACCCUUUGCCCCUUCAGUAAUGGGAUGAGGAAAUACUCCAGUCAUAGGAUUUGAACUUCCAACUCUACCUUGAGGCAUCUUCACUCUAGGAAUUGUGGUAAAUGUGGCACCUCUUACCCCUCUAGUAAUGGUUGGUUGACUGUUAUCUUGAACCUGUGAUAGGAACAUAAUGAAAUGAAAUUAUUCACUUAUCAUUGUGAAAAUUACAAACUAUAAGUCAAUUGAAUAUAAAUAAGAACUCACUUUUGUAGCUUCAUAGGGAUCACAAUACAAGGCUUGCUUGGGGUUGUUUCUCCUUGCUAUGAGUUUGGACUUUUUAGGCACUGGACCUCUAUCGAUUGAAUGUACAACAUCUCCAACAUCAACUUGAACAACAGUUGUAUGUUGAUUCAUUACUUGGUCUUCAUUUUCAGUAAUUGUAUGUUGAUUCAUUACUUGGUUUUCCUUUGAGUAGAUGAACCACUACUUUGUCUUUUUUUCUUGCCACCAGUUUCUGGUCUAGAAUAUGCCCAUCUCUUGUCAACAUAUACACCUUGUGGGGCAUCUCUAGGCUCAUUUUUACAAAACUUUUGGUUAUGCCCCCAACCCCAACACUUGUGGCAUUGUAUUGUCUUUCCCUUCCUACUCACAACCUGCUUAGAAUCACUAUAUUAUCAUUUACCUUUUUCUCCAUUUCAGGACCCUUUUUUCUUGCUUUUUUUGGUCUACCAGGUUGUUUUUUCACUAAUGGGGGUAGAAGGGGGUCCAUGUUGCACUUAGGCCACUUGUUACAUCCUUUCAAUGGAUGAAUCAUGGGUUCAUAAGCUUUCAGAUAGGUUGCCUUGUGGUACACCUCAUCCACAUAAUCCUCUGGAACCUGUCAAUUAUAGGCUUCAUCAUCAAUGCUCUUCAACUUCUCCAUUUCAGCUUCAAAGUCAACAUGGUUGGGGGCUCUUGCAACACUCCAUAACAAAUCUUUUAAUGUCUUACCCUUAUGAAUGGCUUUAAAUUUCCAUACAAAUGCCUCACACACCAUCUGUGGUCAGCUUCUGGCACAACCGUAGUAAAAGUGGUAUCCAAACCCUGCAGCAUUUACUAGAUACAUCAAUACAAAUUAAAUAAGCCACUAUGUUUGCAUAACUUAAAAGGAAACAUGGAGUUUACCUUUUGUUGAUCCGAUAUAAAUGUCUACCCAUGCUCAUGAACUGGUCCAAGAUCAUCAAUAAGAAUCUGUAGAAACCAGCACCAUGUAUCUUUAUUUUAAAUUUCAACAGCAGCAUAGGCUAUUGGAUACAUAUUGUCAUUGGCAUCAAUGCCAACAGCUGCUAGUAGUUGACUUGUAACCAUGUUGUAUAUUUCUUAAAUAAAUUGAAAUCAUGCUUUCAAUUUUUAAUCAUUCAAGGUUGAGAAAAAGAUCAUUCAAGGUUGAGAAAAAGAAAAAAUGUAUUUACCUUUAAAAGCUCCUUUAAGAUGGCAGCCAUCAACUCCAAUCACUGGCAUGCACCCAGCUUUAAAUCCCAUUUUGCAAGCAUCAAGGCAAACAUAAAGUCUCUGAAAGAAUGGAGGAUUUGCAUGCACUUUCAUAGUACUUCCAACAUUGGUUUGUAUAACUUCUUCACAAUAUUCCCAAACCUUACCAUAUUGCUCUACAAUUGACCCCCUUAUCAUUUCUUAGGCUUCGUGUCUUGCCCUGAAACACUGAUCUAAGGAUACCUCCAAUUCCAUCUCCCUCUUAAUUAUGGUUUGCAAAGUUUUUGCAUCUGUUCGUGGAUCAUCUCUAAACCUAUCAAUGUAUUUUUCAGCCAUGAGUUUGAAAGUGAAAUGUUUAUUUCUCCAUACUCGACUACAUGUAUGCUCGUCAACAAGUACGUUAAUUAAUCAAAUGGAAAUUUCAAAGGUAACUGACAAGCGAUGGAAUGUGGAAUCCAAAAAAGCAAUAAGAUUUGUUCCAUUGCUAUUAAACAACUAAUUGGCUUUUUGCCUUCUAGUUUGCUUUGUUUGUUUCCUUUUUGUUGCCUUCUUCCCUUUCAAAACCCUACACAUAAACCCCUAUAUAUACCACUAAGAAGGAGACCGACUGGAAAAAAGAAAAUAGAACCCAUGAUUCAUCCAACGAAAAACCAUCAACUCCAGCUUUUGAAGCAUAAUAAAGAGGAGACCUUCAAGCAUAAAACCGCACAUGGUGGUUACGAUUACGAACAAACGAUUUUCAAAAUAGAACAAUCACCUAAAGUUAUCAAGAUUGUAGCAAUACCUGGGUAUGUUGGUGCGAUGUCUCCCUCAAUUCUUCGCUUAGCCAUUGAUGGGGCUUUUCAAACAUGAACCAAACCUCUGGGUAUGUUCGUGCUUUAGAAUUGGGAACAAGUUUGAUCUUGAGGGGGUUUUGUAGCUAAGCUAUUGGCAUGCUACUAAUUAUGAAAUGACCAUCUUAUCCUCAUAUGAGACUAUUACUAACGGAGGGAUAACAGAAGUUUUAAUUUUGGGUAUAAAUCCUAACAGACUUAGACCACAAGGGUUUAAAUCCGAAUUUUUUUAUCACAGGGGUUACCUUCCGAAUACUUUAUGACUACGGGAACUAUUUAUCCGAUUAGGCCAUUUUUUUUUAUGACAGAUAUGUGAGGCAUUAGCCAUGAUUUCAUCUGGGCAAUUAGGAAAUAUCAAAAGUGUCCUCUCUGCUAAGGAUAACACACUCCUGUGGGAACUAGACAUCUUAAUAUUUUGCAAUCUGAUUACAAAUUAUACACCAAAAGUACAUACCGCUAUCAAUUAUAUGAUAUUUUUAGAUUGUUAGUGGCUUUGUUCUAUUUUAUAUAUUGACAUACAACAUUAAAAUCCCGAUCAUGGUCCACUAAAAAGUAUUAAACGUGUUAUAAGUAGAAACGCAUUCUAACAUGUAUUUCUUUUUACAGUGAAAUUAUCUACAGAAACUCAAAGGUGGUUACAGUGGAGACCAAUAUUCAGAACACAGUGGACAAGUCUUUACAAGCUAAUCCUACCGGUUAUAGAAACGACAUCCUUUGUCUCUCUGCUUACUUGCUUUUUAACAUGGAGAAAAAUUAUUCUCUACUAACACCCGGUGGAAAGCCACUGUUCAUUAACAGUGUCCACCCGAUUUUGCCCCUCAUUCUCUUCAUGGUUUUUUAGUUUUAGUGGGGUUGUAUGGUGAAUUGGCCGUUUUGCCCCUCUCUCUUUUUCUUCCGUGCGUGCCCUCAGUUCCACACACUUCCAAAUCCCUAAGGGUGCGUUUGUUGCGCCGGACUGUCUCGGACUGGACUAGCUGCCGGGACUAAGCUGGACUGGUUUAGACUGGACUAAGCUGGACUAACUUAGUGAAGCGUUUGGUGCAGUCUCGGACUAAGAAGCAGGAUAAGAAAAACAGUACUGUUCACCAGAUUUGUGUUUGCUUAGACUAGGACUACAAAUUUUUGUCAUUGUGUAAUAGAGUAAUGCUACAAAUCUCAUGAUAUGGGUUAAUUGGAGCAUAUUUUUGCCAUGUAUAUUAUGAAUCUUAAAAAAAAUUGACAAUUGUUUUGUUUCUAUUACCUGCUAAUAGAAUUGGGUUUAAUUUGCAAAUGUAGCUUGAUUUAAACUCUAUCACCCAACAGAAGAAAAAUAAUAGUGGCCAAUACAUGCAACUUCAACAAAUACAAGUACAUAAGAUCUCCAUAAUUUAGAAAAUCCUAGUUAACAUUAGUUAACAUUAGCCAAAAUAGAUCUCCAUAAUUUACAAAAUGGCUAGUAAACAUAAGCCAAAAAUACUAGUGCAAAGCUAAGUUAUAAGUCAUAACAUAAGACUGUAUGAUUAAUAAAAUACAUCCAUGUUAACGUUAAUAAAAUACAUCCAUGUUAACAUUAGCCAAAAUCCUCAUCCGCUUGCGUUGUCUCUUAAAAGUCUUUGGACGAACACUUUCUUGAGUUCCGGUUUGAUUGCCCUGAACACUCCCACAUUUUUUGGUUUAUCCAAAAUAAGAGACAAUGCAUCAAUUUGAUCCAUAGGAGAGAGACCCAUUGCUUCAAGUUCAUUAGCUAUGUCAGUAUGAUCUGCAGUACCUUGAACUAAAGCUUCAGUUACCAUUUGCAUCCUCUUCCCACUUUCAACAUAAAAAAUCUUUCAGUCCACUGAUAAUUGCCUCGGUUCCAUCACUUGAACUUCCCACAGCUCUUUUCCUCUUUCUUUGGCUAUUUUCAGAUGGGGUGCUUUGUUGGCUUUGUUGGUUCAUUGAAGAAACAAAAUUAUCACCUCCAAUAUCACUUUCACCAACAUGAUCAUGACUUUGUUCCUCCACCAUUUGAGCAGGGGUUUCGGCUACAUUACCCGUAGCCCGAUCUUUUCCAAAUAUAUAUGCAAAUCUAUCAAACAGUGGAAAAGGUUUGCUUCUCCAUCCAUCGGCUUCUUUAUUUCUCUAAGAUUAUAUCAACAUAGCAAAACUAAAAUUUAGCAUGCGUAACAAAUAUAGGAGCAAGAAUAUAUAACUAAUGCAUAAAUAAAAUAGGAUAUGAACCUGCACAUAAGUUUGCCAUGCGUCAUCACUGUCAACUUCAACGCACUUUUUGACAUCAUUCCAUGCAAAUCCACUUGUGUUUAUCAUGUCAACGACCAUACUAUAUGUUUUUUUUCCAUUUCUUCAACUUGGACUCAAUAUGUGGAUUUGCCUUUAUAUUUGAAUGAGGACAUAAAACAUUGACAGCUUUUGCUAUUUCAACCAAAGUACCUUGUUUGAAAGCACCGGUGUCACACCGUUGCUUCCGAGCAACAAAAUCCUCAAGAACUCCUAGUAAUACUUCUUCCUCAAAUGCUUCCCAUUUACGCCUUCUUCCUUUUGGCUCUUGAGUAGCAUUCAAAAUAUUUUCGUUAUCCAUACCUAAACAAAAAAUAUUUUAAUGAAGGAAAAUACCAUACAAAUAAUCAAUUUGCAUAAUAUCCAAUCAACUUGCAUAAUAUCCAAUCAACUUGCAUAAUAUCCAAUUAAUUUGCAUACCAUCCAAUCAUUGUGCUAAUAUCUAACAAAUGCAUGAUAAAAAGGAAUACUAAAAUAAAAUGUUAUCAUUAAAACAUAUAGCUAGUUCGGUUGCUGGUUCCUAAUUGCUCUCCACUCAUUAUACAUUUCCUCAGCCAUAUCAUUCCUCAUUGCAGUCCACUGGUCCGAUGAUUGAACACUACCAACAUAUUCACCUUCUUCUGUAUUUUGUCCAUCUUCUAUUAUUGGCAAAUUCUCCAUUGGAUCUACUAACAUCUCUUCCCUAAUAAGAUUGUGUAGUAGGCAACAAGCGGUAAUUAUUCGACCUUGUGUCCUUAUCGGAUAGAAAGAUGGACUCCUUAGUAUCGACCACCUUCCUUUUAGCAAGCCAAAACAGCGUUCAAUUACAUUCCUUGCCUUAGAAUGCUUCAUGUUAAAAUAUUCUUCCUUAUUAGAAGGUGUUCGUCCCUCCCAUUCAGAUAAAUGAUAAGGUAUUCCUCUAUAGGGUGCAAGGAAUCCUUCACCAUUUGUAUAACCACCAUCUACAAGGUAAUAACAACCUAAUGAAAAAAAAAAACAGACCUUAUUAGUGUUUUGUAGUUGACAAACAGAACUAAACCUAACUUAGAAAGUUGAGACUAAGUAAUAAUCUUACCCGCUGGUACCUUAAAACCAUUAGGCCUACUAAUUGCAUCAUGUAGCACUCUAGAGUCUGAUGCGGAACCCUCCCACCCCGGAAACACAUAUAUGAACUGCAUAUCUCCUGAACACACACCUAAACACAUUAGUUGCGACUCGACCCUUUCUUGUUCGGUAUCUUGGUUUGUCAAUUUCAGGUACAUGCACAUCAAUGUGUGUUCCAUCCAAUGCUCCCAAGCAAUUCUUAAAAAUAAAAAAUAAAAAACUUUUUGUUAAUUUAUACAAAGGGAAUGAAGAGUUAAAGCUUAAGGAAAAUGAAAAAUAUUUCUCAUCAUACCUUAAAACAUCGCCACCUAGCAUCUGUAGAAUCAAUAGGCACAGGCUGUGGGACUUUUAGUAGGAAACCUUGUAAUCGCAAAAUUCCUUGCAAUACGCUAUUGAAAUACCUACUUAUAGUCUCUCCCGACCUAUAAAAUCUACCGCCAACACUACGAUUCUUAGUAUGAUGUGCUAAUAUUUGUAAAGUCAUACACACCUGUUCCUCUACAGACACCAAACCAUCAGUUUUUACCCUCCCAUCUUGACGAAGUAAGUCGCAUAAUAUGCCAAAAGUCCUUCUAUCCAUUCUCAAUUCGUUAACACAUUCAGUAUCAGUAUUCCCUAUUAUACCAUUCAGAUAACACAAACUAAUCUCUCGUCUAAUAAGUGAACGGUUAGUCAAUGUGGGUCGUUCAACAUGUCUCUGUUUGCCACGUAGCAUCAUCACCACAAGAAUCGUACAAAUACAAAUUGUUUCCAAAUAAGACAUCUCUAACAAUAAGAUCAAUAAAAGCUUCCUUCGAUCCAUAUCUAUCCAAACAAAAAAAAAACAAAAAAAAACAAAUUAACUAAAUCAUUAACCCGAGGCAACAAAUAUACAUAUGGCGUUGAAAAAAAAAAAGUUUUCAUUAACCCGAGGCAUCAUAUUCAAAAUGUUCUACUCUUAUACAUCUAUAAACAUGUGUCUAAGAACACUAGUAUGAGGAUUGCUAUCAUUGCUAGGCAUUGCAUGUGAAAAGGGAAAUUAAAGGACACCUGUAAUGCAGUAGCCUUAGCCUUAGCCUUCCGUUUAUGCUCCUCUUCUCUGCAACCAACAACCACAACAAAUUGCAAUUCAGCAUCAACCCCACACAAUACAAAAACAUUCACAUUGUAUACACAGUACAUACAUACACACUGCAAACACAGUACAUACAUACACACACUACAUACACUGCAUACACUACACACACUACAUACACUACACACAUACACUGCAUACACUACACACACACCCUGCAAGUACACACACAGUGCAUACAUACAUACACACACUGCAUACACCCUGCAUACACCCCUGCAUACAUACACACUGCAUACACAGUACACAAACACACACACACACUACAUACACUACACUUACACACACUGCAUACACUACACACACACCCUGCAUACACACUGCACACACACACACUCACACUCACACACUGCACACACACACACACUGCAUACAUACUGCAUACACACACACACACUGCAUAUAUACACACACACUGCAUACAUACACACACACUCACACUUACACACACUGCAUACAUACUGCAUACAUACACAUACACUGCAUACAUACUACAUACAUACACACACACACUGCAUACAUACACACACACUCACACUUACACACACACUGCACACACACACACUCACACUCACACACUGCAUAUAUACACACACACACACUGCGCGCACACACACACACUGCACACACUGCAUAGACACACACACACUGCACACACUGCAUAGACACACACACACUGCAUACACACUCACACACAAACUGCACACACACACACAAACUGCAUACUCACUCACACACACACUAUACACACACACACACACUGCAUACACACACACACACUCACACUCACACACUAAACACAGUCACACACACACACACACUGGACACACACAUACACACACUGCAUAUAUACACACACACACAAACUGCACACACACACUGCAUACACACACAAAUUGCACACACACACACAAACUGCACACACACACACUGCAUACACACACAAACUGCACACACACACAAACUGCACACACACACACACUACAUACACACACACACACUGCACACACACUCACACUCACACACACUCACACUCACACACUGAACACAGUGACACACACACACACACGGGGACAGAGUGCAACAAACUCUUACCCUCACACACACACUCUGUUUUUAUACUCACACACACACACUGCAUACAUACUUGCAUACACACACACUGCACACACACACACACACACUGCACACACACACACACGCACACACACACACACACACUGCAUACAUACUGCAUACAUACACACACACACACACUGCGCACACACACACUGCACACACUGCACACACACACACACACACACUGCACACACUGCAUACACACUCACACACACACACUGCACACACACACAACUGCAUACACACUCACACACACACUGCACACACACACACACACACACUGCACACACACACACACACUGCACACACACACUCACACACACACACACACUCACACUCACACUUACACUCACACUCACACACAAACACACACACACACACACUGCACACUUACACUCACACUCACACUCACACUCACUCACACUUACACACACACUGCAUACAUACUGCAUACAUACACACAUGCACAUACUACAUACACACACACACACACACAAACUGCACACACACACUGCAUACACACUGAACACACACACACACACACACACACUGGACACACACAUACACACACACACAAACUGCACACACACACACUGCACACACACAAUUGCACACACACACAACUGCACACACACACACUGCAUACACACACAAACUGCACACACACACAAACUGCACACACACACACACUACAUACACACACACACUGCACACACACUCACACUCACACACACUCACACUCACACACUGAACACAGUGACACACACACACACACACGGGGACAGAGUGCAACAAACUCUUACCCUCACACACACACUCUGUUUUAUACUCACACACACACACACUGCAUACAUACUUGCAUACACACACACUGCACACACACACACACACACUGCACACACACACACACACACACACACACACACUGCAUACAUACUGCAUACAUACACACACACACACACACUGCACACACUGCAUAGACACACACACACUGCACACACUGCAUACACACUCACACACACACUGCACACACACACACAAACUGCAUACACACUCACACACACACUGCACACACACACACACACACUGCACACACACACACACGCACACACUCGCACACUCACACACACUCACACUCACACUUACACUCACACUCACACACAAACACACACACACACUGCACACUUACACUCACACUCACACUCACACUCACACUCACACUUACACACACACACACAUACAUACUGCAUACAUACACACACACACUGUAUACAUACUACAUACAUACACACACACACACAAACUGCACACACACACUGCAUACACACUGAACACAGUCACACACACACACACACACUGGACACACACAUACACACACACACAAACUGCACACACACACUGCAUACACACACAAAUUGCACACACACACAAACUGCACACACACACACUGCAUACACACACAAACUGCACACACACACAAACUGCACACACACACACUACAUACACACACACUGCACACACACACUCACACUCACACACACUCACACUCACACACUGCAUACACACUCACACACACACACUGCACACACACACACACACAAACUGCAUACACACACACACACUGCACACACACACACACACUGCAUACAUACACACACUGCACACACACUCACACUCACACACACUCACACUCACACUUACACUCACACUCACACACAAACGCACACACACACAAACACACACACACACACACAAACACUUACACUCACACUCACACUCACACACACAUUUUACACACACAACUCACACACACAUUUUACACACACAACUCACACACAUACACACAAAAACAGAUUACACACACACACACGGACAUAUUACACACACAUUUUACACACACAACUCACACACACACUGCAAAUAACACAGGUUACACACACACACACGGAUAGAUUACACACACAUUUUACACACACAACUCACACACACACAGAUAUUACACAGGUUACACAGAUUACAUACACACACACACACACACAAACACACAGACAAAUUUUUUUUCAGUACACACAAACACACACACAGAGAGCACACACCUGAGACUAAUCUCAAUUUCAUCUUAUGAAAACCCCAAAUUCUAAUCUCAAUUUCACCUAAAUAACAAAACCCUAAUUUGUUCAAUUGCAAAUCCACUUGUAUAUUAUGAAUUUCUCAAACCCAAAACAACAAAAUCAAAUAAACCUCAGUUAAUAUCACAAACAAAUCCACACAAAUCGACGAAAAAAAAUCCAAGAUUCGAAGCUUACCGACUAGAGGCAGAUGACAGCGACCAGAUGCAAGGACGACGAUGAGCGUGAGGACGAUGUGGGAGCACGGCAAGGACGACGACGAGGGCAGACGCAGAGAUGAGGACGAUGUGGGAUGUGAGAUGUGGGAAGACGCGGUUUCUCUGGCUUACGAGUCCGCCCGAAUUUGGGAUCCCUCGUGAAGAACGGCUAAGCCCCCCCUUAGUCCUAGCGAAUCCCACCUAAGCUCAUUAAAGCUAAUCCCGGUACCCACCAAACACUGGACUAUAGUCUAGUCCAGUCCAGUCCCAGCGAAUCCUGUCAAACAAACGUGCCCUAAAUUCGCAGGCUUUCCCCCUUCUUUCUCCAACACGGUUUCUGCUAUUGCCCCUGCGUCUUCUACGACUCCGAUCUGCAUAUUUGCUUUGCGUGGUAAGAAUUUUGUUCUCGAUUUGAAACUGGUUGUUUACCAAGAAAUCUCUCUCUUGCGUUUUUCUCCUGAGGUUUAUGCUCAGAUCACUUUGCAUCCAGAAGCAGAUGUGAGAAACAUGUUUUCUUUUUUGUCUUAUUUAAUGUUUUGUUCCAACUUCCUCUGUUUGGUGGCUUAGAAGGUGGCUUUUCAAAUCAGUUGGGAUAUUAUCUAAAAUACGAAUAGGGGAAAUUUCACAUUUUCUCAACCUUUUGCACAAUUUUCGUAGUUAAUGAGGCUUAGAUUUUGAUAUAAUAUUUGUUGAAAACGAUAACCGAAUGAAAAAGAUGUGAAGAUUUGAAGUUAGGGAAGCCAAAUGGAGAAGAGAAAAAAAAUCAAGAACAGCAGCAAAGCUGCUGGUUCAGUUUUAUUUGUGAUGUAUCUCGAAUGUUGUUUGUUGUUCCUUUAUUUUUUUGGUAUUCUUUUAAAAGCUACAGUGUUUGUUAACAACUGUUUCCAUUUCUACAUUCGCUAAACCCUCUUUGGAAAUUAUUUAAAAUGAUUUCUGGUACAUGCAAUACAUGUUACAAUUGAAUUAUUGUGACGAGUGGUCUGCAGAAAAAGGGAAAAGAAAGGAUGAAACUGGAGGAUUGUGGGGACUGCACUGAGCAAGUGCUUGGACAAAUUUUUUUAAUUGAAUUGUAAAUUUUGUUUCAGUAUUAGACUUUGUAUGAAUAUGAAUUUGAAUAAUCAUUUUUCAGUUUUUAAAUAAAUGAGUCUCAGUAAUUUGUGUUAGUUUUUAUCCGAACAACAUGUGCACUUACCUGUCUGUGUUGGUUAACUAAAUUGAUGCAUAUCUUGCCAGUUAGCAUUAUGUAUUUGAAGGAGUUUUUAAAAAUAAAUCCCUUAUUAAACACGUUUAAACAAUUGGUCUUUGGUUCUAUAUGUUUGAUAAAAAUUGGGUGGAAGGAGUAACCAGUUUGAUUGUAGUGUGGUAUCACCAUUUUGUUAGAUGCUUAAAUGAAUUGGGUUAGAACUUACCAUGUGGUUUUUUAUCAAUAGCAGCAUUUGGACACAAAGAUGUGUGAAAUGCUAAGCUAUUUACAUGGAAAAAAAAAACAUUGGGAAAUCAUGCUGUGUUAAGCUAUUUACACAACAAAAAAUAUUGGAGAACAUUGUUUAUUUAGAUUGAUGAGGGUGGUAGAAGUUGUUCAGCAGAAUAGCAAAAGCUUUCUUCCAGUUGUAUCUGUUGUCAAGAAGGCAGCCUAAGCAACAAAAAAAGAAAAGAAAAUAUUGUAACACGUAGUAAGCCGUUGAGAAGAAUUAAGUACCAGAGUUUACUAUUUUUUUUUUAAUUUUAUUCAUUUGAGGUUUGAUUUUAGGAUUAUGUGUUUUCUGUUUAGUGUGAUUCAAUACGGGUUUUUUGGUCAAAUGGGACAUGGAAAUUCAAAUGCUGUUUGUUAUUUCUUUAUUUUUUUAGUAUUCUUUUGAAGAUCGGCACGUGUGCUGUUACGCUUGUCUCCACAUGCUUCCUUGUAUCAUUCUCACUUGCCCUAUCUGUUCCAAGGAAGCAUGUGGAGACAAGCGUAACAGGACACGUGCCGAUACAUCCACUACUCUGUCAAAAGCAAAAGUAUCCCAUAUCAGCAGGGUCGAACGUACUCUAGAUUUGAUGGACUUGUUUUGACCCUCAAAUUCUUCAGUUGGCCUUAUACUCUGGAGGAAACCAGAAAACCCUCCAGCCCAGUUCAAGAAUAAGUCUGUGGAAAGUUACUUCUUCAAAAACAAAAGUAUCCCAUAUCAUCUCUUCUCAUUUUUCUUCUCUUUAUCCUUCAUGCUGCCUGCAAGAUAGGGAGAAUGUGAACAAUCAGCCGGAGCUCUGAUUGCUUACCUUGUCUGUCACCUCUUUCAGCAAAUCCCCUAGCUCAGCGACUUGAGGGACUCCUACUACAUGGUUUGUAUCGCGCUUGACCAAGCCUGAAACUACAAGUAAGCUUCAAGUGACAUUGAUACAUUACCUUGUGCAUCUCCACCAGUUACAGAUACCACCCCUGGAUGGAGGAAGAGUACUUCCAGAGAAGAUGCCACAUCUACCUAUGAGACAGAUAAGGAAAGUCAAGACGAUACCACACUCCGGUACUUAGAAGUUUCGUGGUUACGAGAUCAUUCUCCCACAAUAUUUCCUAAUGUCAUUUGUACUAAAUCAUUCACUUGUACUCACUAAAGGAGAACUUGAACUUAUGUACUUGUGUAAACCCUUUACAAUUAAUGAGAACUCCUCUAUUCCGUGGACGUAGCCAAUCUGGGUGAACCACGUACAUCUUGUGUUUGCUUUCCUAUCUCUAUCCAUUUAUAUACUUAUCCACACUAAUGACCGGAGCAAUCUAGCGAAGAUCACAAAAAGUGACCGUUUUCGCUACCUAGGAUCUAUCUUGCAAGAGAACGGAGAAUUAGAUGGGGAUCUCAACCAUAGAAUACAAGCUGGAUGGAUGAAGUGUAAGAGUGCAUCCAGCGUGUUGUGUGACCGUCGUAGGCCACUGAAGCUCAAGGGAAAAUUUUAUAGGACGGCAAUAAGGCCAGCGAUGUUGUAUGGUACAGAAUGUUGGGCGGUGAAGCAUCAACACGUACACAAAAUGGGUGUAGCGGAGAUGAGGAUGCUUCGUGGGAUGUAUGGGCACACGAGAAAGGAUAAGAUUGGGAAUGCGGAUAUCCGAGGUAAAGUAGGAGUAGCCAAAAUUGAAGGAAAUAUGAGAGAAAAUCGGUUCCGGUGGUUUGGACAUGUGCAAAGAAGGCCUACUGACGCUCCGGUUCGAAAAUGUGACUACGGGACAGAGGUCCAGGGCCGAAGGGAUAGAGGAAGACCUAGGAAAACUUUGGAAGAGACCCUAAGAAAAGACUUGAGUACUUGGAUCUAACGGAGGACAUGACACAAAACCGAGCGCAAUGGCGUUCUAGGAUUCAUAUAGCCAACCCCAUUUAGUGGGAAAAGGCUUUGUUGUUGUUGUUGUUGUUGUUGUUUGUUUUGAAGAUCUGCAUAUCGAUUGUUGCUUCUGUUUCUUAUAUAAACACAAUGUGUUUUGCGAUCACAACUUUUGUGAUCAGAAGUGUUUAAGUUCAUCCAAUUAAUUGUACAAUGGCUUUGAUGUCAGCUAAAACUGAAUGUAAAUGAAAACCAAGUUGCUGAUCUUACCAGCCCAGUUCACCCAUCUCUUUGCUUAUUUAAAUUAUUUGAAGAUGCCUAUGUUAAUUGGUGAUUUUGAAGUGAUUACCUUUCUUUAUACAAAUUCUCUUCACAAAGAAAUCUGGUUUGGCAGAUAAUAGAUAAAGCUUUUAAUGCAUUCAUUUAAUGUUAUUGCAGAUCCGCUACAUUCUUCAAGAAGUUCGGUUUACAGAACCGGAGCCGUUUAAGCAAAGGUGUCCCAGUUUAUAGCUGAGGUAUUUUCAUGUAUUUUAAUUCGAACGGUAACAUUGUGUGUUCAAAAGGAUCCCCUCUAAUUUUCAGAGAUUAAUAUUAUUCAGUAUGCUCAUCCAAUCACUACUCCAUUGGGCAAUACGCAAAACAAAAUAUGAAAAGCAAACUAACCAAACAGGCAAAAAAUAAAAAUAAAAUUCUAAAAUGUUCUCAAAUUUGAUUUUAAAGCCAGCAUCUCCCCCAUAUGCAGCUAACCCAUUUAGGAAAAACAAUAAAGAAGGCCAUUGGGACUCAAAAGUUGUUUUCAGUUUAGCAUGAUUAUCACUUAUAUAAACAUAUAAGGAAAGCAAAUCUCAAAGAGUCAGGUUUUUGCUCCAAUGUUAACAAUGUUUGUUUCAUUUGUAGUUUUUUGUAGUCUUUAUAAGCAUUUUUUAGUUUUGAUGUAAAAAUAAUAUUUUUUACUCUCUCCUCUCCCUCUCUUUCUCUUUCGUGUUUUUGUGGACUUUGGGUUUUAUUUCUUUUUUGGGUUUUGAGUGUUUUGAAUUUUUCUUCUGAUAAAGUAUUGGUUUUGCAGUAAAAGCGGCAAUCCUCUUCUCCCAGCUUCACUUCCACGUUCUCACUAUUCAUACCCAUCUUGCCCAUUUCUUUCUAAAUUUCUCCUUGCACCCACUGGAAAAAAACAGAGUUUUGUUUUUGUUUCCUCAAAAUUUAGAUUAGACAGCAAUAUUCUGAAUGCUUUGCUUAUCUAUGUUCUUUGCAGGAAGCUCAAAGGAUGAUAAACAAGAAAAGGAAAUCACAGAUUGCAAAUUAGAUGGACAAAAAAGGCAAUAGAAAUUCAUAGGGUCCCAAAUCCGUGACAUAAAAGGUAUGAAAUUGUUAAUUGAUAAUUGAACAUAAAUGUAGAACUGAUUGCUACAAAUAAGUAUGGUUACUUUUGUAUCACAUUCUUAAUUAAGAUGGUUAUGCAGUCCUUUUGUAAUUUUGUGUAUCUAUUAGCUCUGUAAUGACUUACAAGUUACACACACCUCAAAAUUUUCAUUUUCUUUCAAACAAUCUUGAUCCGCAAUAUGUGCAGGAUUGCAAUGAAAUAAUUGUGAGCAACAUGUAUAAUGGGAAGGAUUUACAAAGGUUUCAACUAUUGAACUUGCUUAUGCUCUUAUUUGAGCGACUGUAAAAAAGAUUUAGUAGGACAAACUGGAAUUGGCUUAAAUCAAUUUAUCAUUGAUAAUUUGAUUCUGUUAUUCGUAGACCAUUCUUCCGAAUCUCUGAGUUCGAAGCAGAUCAAUUUUUUCAUUUUUAUGUUUAAUUUUAGGAAGAAAUGAAAAUGAUUUUUGCCUUUUUUGAGUGUUUUGUUAGUACUAGCUUGCUGCAUAUGCUAUUCUCUGGGUGUAAAUAUAAUUAUCUAAGUAAGUGCACUUAUUUUUGAACUCUUUAACUGAUUUGUGGUUGCAAUAGGAUUUUUUUUUUCGGAUUUUUCCCAGUCUUUUUAACAGUAUUAGGUUUCUGUCCUGCAUGUCACCAGGCUUAUUCUUUUUUCAAUUCACAUUAAUCACGACUUUAUAGUUGAUUCGAUUUCAUUUUGGCUGCUGUAAAUGGGUUUUCAUCAGCAUGUCUGACAUGAUAAAAUCAUGUCUUUUGGAUUAAUUCAAACAAUGUAAACAUUUCAUUUGUAUUCUUGAUCUUUGUUAAUAUUAUAGUUACAUGUCUAACGAAAAGGAUUUCUUUUAAUGAAUAAUAUGUGUCAUUACCUAAAAUGACUUACCUUUGCUCAGAGUUUGCUAUUUAACAUGUUAUGUUCCUAGGUAACAUGCAUCUGAAACUCUUUGUGCAGAAGAAGAUAUCUCAUUACAACCACCUCAAUCUAACAAAACUUUUAUCACUCUUAAAACAUUAUCUGAACUCUCAUCUCAAGUAAGUCCUCAGUUUCCAUAUACUUUUUAUUUCUUAACAUCUACGUGGUUUUCAUAGUUUUUAACCAUUAAAUCACGUAACUUUAUAUUUACAAUUAUAUUCUUUCUAAUUGUUUGUAUAGAUUUCUUUUUUGCUCCCUACAAGAUAAUGUCAUGGCGUGGUUUAGUGGUGUUGAAUAUAAUUGGAGAAACUGAUUCUUUAAUCUACUCAUGCUGUAGGAUUUCAAAGUUGAAGCCCACUUACUUUCAAUCUUUUCGAACAAAUUCACUUUGCAAAGUAACAAAACAAUGAUAUUCCUACAACAACAACAACAACAACAACAACAAAGCUUUUUCCCACUAAGUGGGGUCGGCUAUAUGAAUCCUAGAACGCCAUUGCGCUCGGUUUUGUGUCAUGUCCUCCGUUAGAUCCAAGUAAUCAAGUCUUUUCUUAGGGUCUCUUCCAAAGUUUUCCUAGGUCUUCCUCUACCCCUUCGGCCCUGAACCUCUGUCCCGUAGUCACAUUUUCGAACCGGAGCGUCAGUAGGCCUUCUUUGCACAUGUCCAAACCACCGGAACCGAUUUUCUCUCAUAUUUCCUUCAAUUUUGGCUACUCCUACUUUACCUCGGAUAUCCUCAUUCCCAAUCUUAUCUUUUCUCGUGUGCCCAUACAUCCCACGAAGCAUCCUCAUCUCCGCUACACCCAUUUUGUGUACGUGUUGAUGCUUCACCGCCCAACAUUCUGUGCCAUACAACAUCGCUGGCCUUAUUGCCGUCCUAUAAAAUUUUCCCUUGAGCUUCAGUGGCCUACGACGGUCACACAACACGCCGGAUGCACUCUUACACUUCAUCCAUUCAGCUUGUAUUCUAUGGUUGAGAUCUCCAUCUAAUUCUCCGUUCUCUUGCAAGAUAGAUCCUAGGUAGCGAAAACGGUUACUUUUUGUGAUCUUUGCUAGAUUGCUCCGGUCAUUAGUGUGGAUAAGUAUAUAAAUGGAUAGAGAUAGGAAAGCAAACACAAGAUGUACGUGGUUCACCCAGAUUGGCUACGUCCACGGAAUAGAUGAGUUCUCAUUAAUUGUGAAGGGUUUACACAAGUACAUAGGUUCAAGCUCUCCUUUAGUGAGUACAAGUGAAUGAUUUAGUACAAAUGACAUUAGGAAAUAUUGUGGGAGAGUGAUCUCGUAACCACUAAACUUCUAAGUACCGGAGUGUGGUAUCGUCUUGACUUGCCUUAUCUGUCUCAUAGGUAGAUGUGGCAUCUUCUCUGGAAGUACUCUUUCUCCAUCCAGGGGUGGUAUCUGUAACUGGUGGAGAUGCACAAGGUAAUGUAUCAAUUUCACUUGAAGCUUACUUGUAGUUUCAGACUUGGUCAAGCGCGAUACAAACCAUGUAGUAGGAGUCCCCCAAGUCGCCGGGCUAGGGGAUCUGCUGAAAGAGGUGACAGACAAGGUAAGCAAUCAGAGUUCCGGCUGAUUGUUCACAUUCUCCCUAUCUUGCAGGCAGCAUGAAGGAUAAAGAGAAGAAAAAUGAGAAGAGAUGAUAUGGGAUACUUUUGCUUUUGAAGAAGUAACUUUCCACAUGCUUAUUCUUGAAUCGGGCUGGAGGGUUUUCUGGUUUCCUCCAGAGUAUAAGGCCGACUGAAGAAUUUGAGGGUCAAAACAAGUCCAUCAAAUCUAGAGUACGUUCGACCCUGCUGAUAUGGGAUACUUUUGCUUUUGACAGAGUAGUGGAUGUAUCGGCACGUGUGCUGUUACGCUUGUCUCCACAUGCUUCCUUGUAUCCUUCUCACUUGCCCUAUCUGUUCCUCAGGCAGAUGCGGUAUCUUCCCUGGAAGCAUAAGAUGUUGAAGAUGAGUACUCGAGAGCAAUGCCAGGUAAGUAAUCAGGUAAGGGGUUCCAGGCAGUCAGUUCCUGGCUGGAAGCUUGAUUCCAAGUGCUGACUGAUUGCUCUCUUUCUUCUUGUCUUGCAGGUAAGAACAAGGCCAAAGGAAAAGACAAGGAAAAAGUAUGAUAUGGGAUACUCUUGCUUUUAACCCUGAUGAUAUGAGAUAUUCUUGCUCUAGUAUAGCUUGUUUAUAGAGGUAUUAUCGGGAGGGAAAGAAAGCUGAAUAUUUCGAAAGGCUUCGUUGGGAGUGCCCUCUCAGAUAAGAGAAAGGGUUGAACAUUUUUGCAGGUCUGCCUGUCCGUUAGGGAUGGAGGUCGACAUAUAUAGGAGUCUCUCUAACAUCAAGUAAUAAUGCUAUUCCUUUACCCUGCUUGGUCAUAGCACGGUAGUGGGAGCUGCCAGCUUCACAUGUUUUAACUCUGUCAGAGCACUUUGAAAAAGUGGUCUGUGGUAUCUGGAAAGCUGAUGUUGCGUGUGAAGAUUACAGACAAGCUUUAUCCAAGGAGAUCCAGCUCUUGAAGUUGGGAAAGUGAUGCCUCUUCGAUUUUCGAACAAGCAAUCCUGUUGGGGAUCUGGCUCUCGAGAUUCGGAGAACGAUGCCUCUUCGAUUUUUGAGAAAGCAAUCCUGCUGGGGGUCUGGCUCUCGAGAUUCGGAGAGCGAUGUCUCUUCGAUUUUUGAGAAAGUAAUCAUGUUGGGAGUCUGGCUCUCAAGAUUCGGAGGGCGGUGCCUCUUCGAUUUUGGAGCAAGCAAUCUUGUUGGGAGUGUUUUCUCGAAUGUGAGUAAAGGUUGGGCAUGUUUGCUAGUCUACCUUGCCACGAAGCACAGAGGUUGACACACAGGGACUUUCCAAUUAUCCAGCAGUGGUACUGUUCCUUUACCCUAUUUUCGAUUUUUGAGAAAGUAAUCAUGUUGGGAGUCUGGCUCUCGAGAUUUGGAGGGCGGUGCCUCUUCGAUUUUGGAGCAAGCAAUCCUGUUGGGAGUGUUUUCUCGAAUGUGAGUAAAGGUUGGGCAUGUUUACUAGUCUACCUUGCCACGAAGCACAGAGGUUGACACACCGGGACUUUCCAAUUAUCCAGCAGUGGUACUGUUCCUUUACCCUUGUGGGUAAUAAUAUGGUAGCUAGACCUUCAAAAUUUAUGUGUCUAAACUUUGUUAGUGUUGUUUCUUUGCAAUUCUUUUACCCUUCUUGGUCAGAGCGAUGUAGCGGGAGCUGCAAGCUUCACGUGUCUCAACUUUGUCAGAGAACUUUGGCAAAGUUAUCUGUGGAACCCAUGAGUUACUGUUGCGUGUGGGAAGUGGGUGAUUGAAUAGUACGAUUCAUGUGCUUUCUACUUCGCCAGAAAUCUUCGACAGAAUGCCCAUAAUUUCCGCAAAGCUGAGUGUGCGUGUGACAGGUGCUGACAAGGCUGGAAAAGUAGGUGCCUCUUCGAUUUCUGAGAUCGGCCCUCGUGGUCUCUGAGCAGCCCAGCUUUUGAGAAAGCAAGCCUCUUCGAUUUCUGAGAUCGGCCUUCGUGGUUUUUGAACAGCCCAGCUUUUGAGAAAGCAACGCCUCUUCGAUUUAUGAGAUCGACCCUCGUGGUCUCUGAGCAGCCCAGCUUUUGAGAAAGCAAAUGCCUCUUCGAUUUCUAAGCAGGCGCCUCUUCGAUUUCUGAAGCUUCGUCGAGUGCAGAUUUUUUAUAGGGGCUGACAUUAAGUUCCAAAGCACACUUGAAUAUCCACCAGUAGAAGCUCCAUUCUUGCACUUCUAAGAUCUUGAUUUGUCCGACCUCCUCUCUCUUCAACACCUUUGAAAAUGUCUGGCCCCCCUCCGACCGUCAUUUUGACUUGAACCUUGUUGAAGAGGCAGCCCCGCCUUCUCCAGACAACAUAUGGCGCCCAUCCUUCGUCUCCCCUACUGGUCCUCUUACCGUUGGGGAUUCCGUGAUGAAGAAUGAUAUGACCGCUGCGGUAGUGGCCAGGAACCUUCUCACUCCCAAAGAUAACAGACUACUUUCCAAACGGUCUGAUGAGUUGGCUGUUAAGGAUUCUCUGGCUCUCAGUGUUCAGUGUGCAGGUUCUGUGUCUAAUAUGGCCUAACGCCUAUUUGCUUGAACCCGCCAAGUUGAAUCAUUGGCGGCUGAAGUGAUGAGUCUCAAACAGGAGAUUACAGGGCUCAAGCAUGAGAAUAAACAGUUGCACCGGCUCGCACAUGACUAUGCUACAAACAUGAAGAGGAAGCUUGACCAGAUGAAGGAAUCUGAUGGUCAGGUUUUACUUGAUCAUCAGAGAUUUGUGGGUUUGUUCCAAAGACAUUUAUUGCCUUCGUCUUCUGGGGCUGUACCGCGUAAUGAAGCUCCAAAUGAUCAACCUCUGAUGCCUCCUCCUUCUAGGGUUUUGUCCAGUACUGAGGCUCCGAAAGAUCCCCCUCCAGUAACUUCUCUUUCUGGGGCUCUACCGACUGCUGAGACUUCUCCUAAGCAACCUUUGUGAAGGCUCCAUCUUGUUUGUUUAUUUUGACUCAAGUAUAUGUACAUAUUUGUAACUUAUCGGGGAUAUCAAUAAAUAAGCUUUCCUUCAUUUCAACGUAUUGUGUUAAAUACACCAAAGCCUUCUUCGCUAAGUUUUUUGAAUUUUCUUUUGUUGAAGCUUGUAUGUUGAAGCUUUGUGAGUGGAGCAUGUAGGUUGAGGUAGUGUUCCCUUAAUUUCCCGAGUGAGGAAAACUUCUCGGUUGGAGACUUGGAAAAUCCAAGUCACUGAGUGGGAUCGGCUAUAUGAAUCUUAGAACGCCAUUGUGUUCUGUCUUGUGUCAUGUCCUCCGUUAGAUCCAAGUACUCUAAGUCUUUUCUUAGGGUCUUUUCCAAAGUUUUCCUAGGUCUUCCUCUACCCCUUCGGCCCUGAACCUCUGUCCCAUAGUCGCAUCUUCUAAUCGGAGCGUUAGUAGGCCUUCUUUGCACAUGUCCAAAACCACCGUAACCGAUUUUCUCUCAUCUUUCCUUCAAUUUCGGCUACUCCUACUUUACCCCGGAUAUCCUCAUUCCUAAUCUUAUCCUUUCUCGUGUGCCCACACAUCCAACGAAGCAUCCUCUCAUCUCCGCUACACACCCAUUUUGUGUACGUGUUGAUGCUUCACUGCCCAACAUUCUGUGUCAUACAGCAUCGCCGGCCUUAUUGCCGUCCUAUAAAAUUUUCCCUUGAGCUUCAGUGGCAUACGGCGGUCACACAACACGCCGGAUGCACUCUUCCACUUCAUCCAUCCAGCUUGUAUUCUAUGGUUGAGAUCUCCAUCUAAUUCUCCGUUCUUUUGCAAGAUAGAUCCUAGGUAACGAAAACGGUCGCUCUUUGGUAUUUCUUGAUCUCCGAUCCUCACCCCUAACUCGUUUUGGCCUCCAUUUGCACUGAACUUGCACUCCAUAUAUUCUGUCUUUGAUCGGCUUAGGCGAAGACCUUUAGAUUCCAACACUUCUCUCCAAAGGUUAAGCUUUGCAUUUACCCCUUCCUGAGUUUCAUCUAUCAACACUAUAUCGUCUGCGAAAAGCAUACACCAAGGAAUAUCAUCUUGAAUAUGUCCUGUUAACUCAUCCAUUACCAACGCAAAAAGGUAAGGACUUAAGGAUGAGCCUUGAUGUAAUCCUACAGUUAUGGGAAAGCUUUCGGUUUGUCCUUCAUGAGUUCUUACGGCAGUCUUUGCUCCUUCAUACAUAUCCUGUAUAGCUUGGAUAUAUGCUACUCGUACUCCUUUCUUCUCUAAAAUCCUCCAAAGAAUGUCUCUUGGGAUACGCUUUUUCCAAAUCUAUAAAGACCAUGUGUAAAUCCUUUUUCCCAUCUCUAUAUCUUUCCAUCAAUCUUCGUAAGAGAUAGAUUGCCUCCAUGGUUGAGCGCCCUGGCAUGAACCCGAAUUGGUUGUCCGAAACCCGUGUCUCUUGCCUCAAUCUAUGCUCAAUAACUCUCUCCCAGAGCUUCAUUGUAUGACUCAUUAGCUUAAUACCCCUAUAGUUCAUGCAAUUUUGUACAUCGCCCUUAUUCUUGUAGAUAGGCACCAAAGUGCUCAUUCGCCACUCAUUUGGCAUCUUCUUCGUUUUCAAAAUCCUAUUGAAAAGGUCAGUGAGCCAUGUUAUACCUGUCUCUCCCAAAACUUUCCACACUUCGAUUGGUAUAUCGUCUGGGCCUACUGCUUUUCUAUGCUUCAUCUUCUUCAAAGCUACAACCACUUCUUCCUUCUGGAUUCUAUGAUAAAAAGUAGUUUUCUACACUCUUCUGAGUUACUCAACUCCCCUAAAGAAGCACUCCUUUCAUGUCCUUCAUUGAAAAGAUUAUGAAAAUAACCUUUCCAUCUGUCUUUAACCGCGUUCUCUGUAGCAAGAACUUUUCCAUCCUCAUCCUUGAUGCACCUCACUUGGUUUAGGUCCCUUGUCUUCUUUUCCCUUGCUCUAGCUAGUUUAUAGAUAUCCAACUCUCCUUCUUUGGUAUCUAGUCGCUUAUACAUAUCGUCAUAAGCCGCUAACUUAGCUUCUCUCACAGCUUUCUUCGCCUCUUGCUUCGCUUUUCUAUACCUUUCAUCAUUUUCAUCGGUCCUAUCCUUGUAUAAGGCUUUACAACAUUCAUUCUUAGCCUUCACCUUUGUUUGUACCUCCUCAUUCCACCACCAAGAUUCCUUUUGGUGUGGGGCAAAGCCCUUGGACUCUCCUAAUACCUCUUUUGCUACUUUUCGGAUACAACUAGCCAUGGAAUCCCACAUUUGGUUAGCUUCCCCCUCUCUAUCCCACACACUGGGUGAUUACUUUCUCUUUGAAAAUGACUUGUUUUUCUUCUUUUAGAUUCCACCAUCUAGUCCUUGGGCACUUCCAAGUCUUGUUCUUUUUUCUCACUCUUUUGAUAUGUACAUCCAUCACCAACAAGCGAUGUUGAUUAGCCACGCUCUCUCCUGGUAUAACUUUGCAAUCCUUACAAGUUAUACGAUCCCCUUUCCUCAUUAGAAGAAAAUCUAUUUGUGUUUUUGACGACCCACUCUUGUAGGUGAUCACAUGUUCUUCUCUCUUCUUAAAGAAGGUGUUGGCUAAGAAGAGAUCAUAUGCCAUUGCAAAAUCCAAGAUAGUUUCCCCAUCCUCGUUUCUCUCCCCAAAACCAUGGCCACCAUGAAAACCUCCAUAGUUGCCUGUCUCCCUGCCCACGUGUCCAUUUAAAUCUCCUCCUAUAAAUAACUUCUCCGUCUGAGCAAUUCCUUGCACCAAGUCUCCAAGAUCUUCCCAAAAUUUCUCAUUCGAACUCGUAUCCAACCCUACUUGAGGUGCGUACGCACUAAUCACAUUGAUAAGUUCUUGUCCUAUUACAAUCUUGAUUGCCAUGAUUCUAUCUCCUACCCUCUUGACAUCUACAACAUCUUGUAUCAAGGUCUUGUCCACAAUGAUGCCAACACCGUUUCUCGUUCUAUUUGUGCCCGAAUACCAUAGUUUAAACCCUGAGUUUUCUAGAUCCUUUGCCUUACGACCAACCCACUUAGUUUCUUGUAGGCACAUAAUAUUUAUCCUUCUCCUCACCAUAACUUCUACUACUUCCAUAGAUUUUCCCGUCAAGGUUCCUAUAUUCCACGUUCCUAAACGCAUUUUGCUCUCUUGAACUCUACCCUUUUGUCCUAGCUUCUUCACCCUUCCCCGUCUAAUAGGAUCAAAGUACUUCUUUUGUGUGUCCCGUGUAAAGUUGAUAGGAGCAUAUGCUCCCAAACAACUUUGAGUGGAGUCGUUCGAAAAGAAGUUUCUAUAGCCCCCUUGCUCAUUUAACACUGCAUCCGGGUGCCGAUGGAGAUACAGCGACCCUUGCUCACUUAUCACUGUGCUCGGGCCACACAGUGCGCCACUUACGGGUGACGCCCUAGCUUUAGCGCGAUUUCGUUCUGGAUUCAUUUUCAUAAGGAUUCGACGUGAUCAUGGAGUGCCGGCUGUCGACUACCUGACGCCCUCCCCCUCCUCCUUUAUCCGGGCUUGGGACCGGCAAUGUAAGAUAAACUUACACGGCGGAGUUCAAUGAUAUUCCUAAAGGAAAUAAAAUUGUUUGCUUUGCUGAGGUGCUUCUGUUUAGAUUAAUCAAUGCUAUAGUGCAUUUUGAAACCUAAGUUAUGGAUCUAUUAGUUUCAAUUUAAACACAUCUAGAAACUUAGAUAUACAUUUAUUAGCUCACAUUUAUAUACUGCUGGAAAGUUAAAGAUCUGCUGAUGAUACUAAAUUUAACUUUGGUAGUUUUUCAAACAUAAUUACCCAUACAAUUUCUAAUCCCGCAGCAACGUGCGGGCAUCACUUUCUAGUUUAAUCUGUAUUUCAGAAUUAGUGGUCUUCUUGAUGUUUAACUGUAGCGAAAUGGUUCUUGAAAUUGUGUUUUGGAAUUAGUGAUCUUGAUUCAGAACAAAAGGACUAAUUUCCUUCCUACAUUCCACACCCGAGAUGGAGAGUUCUAAUUUUUAUUUGAAUUGCAUGUUACCUAGAUGAAAAAUUGAAGAAGUUUAUGAAUGUCGUAAAUCAGGAAAUACGUUGGAAGUUAUGCUGAUGAAAAUUCUAACUUUUAUUUAAAUUGAAAGGAACCCAUAUCGAAAGUACGAAUUUUUACUACAUUUUUUUAUUUUAUUUUAAAUUUUGUUCGCUCUGCUUUCAUGGUGUUUUGCGUUUAAUUUGAUCUUUGCAGGCACUGCGUUUGCUUAUCGGUAGACCAGUAGUGGGAAGACUUUUACGAUGAAUGGUUCCGAAACAGAUCCGGGUAUCAUUCAUUGAGCCGUUAGAGAUGUUUUUGACAGAACUCAGAUGGUAAUAAGCUAUUUAUGCUUUCUUAAUUUCAAAUUUGUUGCUUGCUUAUUGAAUUUGAUGCUUAAUGUUUUCAAUUGGAUGCUAUUUAUGUUUCCAGAUGUCACUGAUUCGAGUAUCCUACAUGGAAUUGUACAAUGAGGAAAUUAACGACUUUUUUGCAGUAGAGAAUCAGAAAUUGCAAAUUCAUGAGAAUUUGGAGGUUGGCUACUUACCCUUUUGACAAAUUUAGUUACUUCUUUUAAGUGAACUGAAUUUACUGAAUUUUUUCAUGUUCGGCAUGGCAUUUUUGUUGCUGGCCUCGGGGAGGAAAUUGUCAGUGAUGCUGAACAAGUGUUAAAGCUCAUUGAAUCCGGAGAAGGUUUGCACUUUGAAACCAAAAUGUAAUUAGGAAUUUAAUUAAACCGGCCCUAUGCAAUUGCCAGUUGCACUGAAUAUCAUCAGGUAUGAAGGAAUAAGUGUGUGUGUGUGUGUGUGUGUGUUUGAUUCUACUUAUCAAUAUAUCAAUAGUAAAUAUAGUGUGUUUCUGCAAGUCAGCAAUGUGAGACUCCUUCAUUGUUGUUGAUUGCGUUGAGAUGAACAAGCUUGAGGGUGCAUGCUUUAGUUUAAUAAAUUGGCUAAGCUGCUUAUGCUAUUCAUUGCCGAUUAUGUAUUACCAAUUAACUCAUAGUUUGUAGGAAUUAACUUGAGAUCUUUCUGAUAACGAUUAUUUCCUACCACCUGACCACAUAGAAACAAGAUUGCAUGCGUGCUAUUGUUUUUACACCCAUAUACUUAUUUGCAGAGUUUUGUUGCCAUAAGUGGAGGAUGUUAGUGAAAUUGAUGAACUAAUAAGCUUCAUGUUAGGAGCUUUGUCGAUUAUUCGCUAAAAAACUGAAUUAUGUUUGUGUCGGGAUCAUCGAAGGUUUUCUUCGAAUAUUCUACAAUAACGAUGUUGAUAUAAUGGAAGCUCAAAUUUGUCAGGUGAUACAUACAUGCAUACAAUUUUAUACUUAAAACUGUAUAUUUACUUUCAGAUUUCGAACAAGAAGAUUAGAGUCCGGAUGUGCAGAAUUUGGAGGCCCAAAUUUAUUGGAUCUGAUGAUCAGUUUGAUGAUUUGCAAUGCAUAUUAGUUGAUGAAAUGGUAAGGGAAUCGUUCCAUUAUACUAUCUCCAUUAAGUUAUAAUAUAUCAUUCGCGUACAAUUCAGUGCAACUCAAAUAAUGUCUCGGUGAUGAAAUUGGAGUCUAUGUUUGUCUAAUUUUUGAAGCUGUGCUGAAAUCCAGAGGUUUAUUUGACUGUCUAUAUAUUUGAUUCGAGCACGGGUUCUGCCAUGGUUUUGCAUUCAGUGUGUAUCCCAUCUGGAAAAAAGGAGAGGUGAGAUUCGUGAUACCGUUUUCGUUUGGGUAAACUUAGUUUUCAUUUUUUGUGGUGUCUAUAGGGAGAUUUGUUUUCUGUCUUAAUUUUUGAUUGGGAUGUUUUUGGCAAUUUGUAGUUUCGGAUUCGUUUAUGUUUCGUGCUUUUGUGUAACUAAACUAGGGUUUAUUAAAUUCAAUCACUUCCUUUUAUGCUCCUGCUUUGUUACGGUACAACUGAUGAUGGUUUGUUUCUUUGAUUGUAAAUUUCAGAAGAGCAACUUUUUAUGGGGUCUGCUGCUGUGACUGUUUCUAAGAUUCUGUGAAUAUUUGGUUUCUGGAAUAUGAUUAAUUUUCUUCUCCUUCCACGCUUGCUUUCUAUGAUAUACAAUGUGCCCUUUUUUUUUUAGAUAAACAACCUUUUCAUUAUCUUGCAUGCUUUGGCAACAAAGAUUAAUAAAACUUCACGUCUAUUAUAGAGAGAGAUAGAUGUAGGGAGACGUUGGAAUUGGAGAGAGAGAGAGAGGGUGAGGGAGGGAUGGGGUUGCUUUCUAAAGAUUUGUUUGGAAUUGUUUCUCCAGUUCUUUCUAUUUGUUUGGGAUUGUUUCCUUUUUACUGAAUUAUUUCGGUCCCUGCUACUAAAGUCUAAUUUCUGCUAUUAAUUGAUGCUGAAAUGUGACUUUUGCUAUUAAUUUUUUUACCUUUCAUGUUUAUGCUGCUUUUGGAUUCCAUUCGAAUUAAAUAAUGUAGUUAAUCUUGAUAUGAAUUCUCUGCAACAAUAAUUAGGGACUUUAGUUUAAAUUAUCACUAAUUUGUUCUUGAUUUGGCAUUGAAUCUGGUUCUGGGUCUUCCAAUUCCAGCGAGCUGUUUCCGUACAAAUGUCGGUGCACCGUGUACCGUGCCGUCGACCACAAUCCUCUCUGUUUUAUCUCCAGUGUUCCAGCCAUUUAAGGUAAGCAAUUUCAUAUUUAAUAAAACAAAUUAGGGAUCACUAGCUUUUGAUUAGGUUUCAAAUUAUGAUUUACAAAUUGGGGAUUUGGAGAUUAAUUUUUAUUAGGGUUUUAAUUUUGAGAAAUGAAUAGGUAGGUAGGAGAUAAAUUUGAUUGCAUCAGAAUUUGGGAUUGUUGAUGUGUGUUUUUUUGUUAUUCUGUUAAUAAGUCAGAGAAAAUAUAAUGGCUGAGAUCCACUACUACAAUAUAGGCUAUCACCGGCGGACCAAAAACCGACAAGAAACCAGAUUUCUGUCGAAAAUUUGGCAAAAAUCCGACAUAAAACACUGCAAUGUCAGAUUGGAAUAGCGACGCCAUUGCUACCGUCACUAAAGGGCUUCAGUGUCGCUUUGUUCGCUUAGUCCGCCACUAAGCAGCGUCGGUUUAAAGCGACGUUAGAUAACAAUUAAAUAAAUAAAAUAUGCAAACUAGUGACGGUUUAAAGCGACGUUAGAGAACAAUUAAAUAAAUAAAAGCGACGUUAGAGAACAAUUAAAUAAAUAAAAUAUGCAAACUAGUGACGGUUUAAAGCGACGUUAGAGAACAAUUAAAUAAAUAAAAUAUGCAAACUAGUGACGGUUUAAAGCGACACCACCUUUGAUAAUAAUAAUAUAAAAAAAGUCGAAAUCUGUUUCUGUAUUCGUUCUCAAAUAAUUAUAACUCAAAAAAAUUAUAUAAUCGAAAUAAUAAAUUUCAAUUUUAGGCCAAAACAAACAAUAAUAAAAAUAAUUCAAAAGAAAAAUAGUGCCAUAAUAUACAAAUGUUUUACAUCUAACAUUCCAUAUAAUUUACAAAAAUUCAUCCUCCACAUUUAUUUAAAAUUAGAUACAAUUCUUCAAAAUGGACAAUACAUUCAAAUUCUUGCCACUACGGAAGCAGAGAUUGUAGACAACCCAACUGCGGAAUCGGCCUGAAAUUCAAAAAUAUCGGAAAAAAAUGUCAAGAGCUUUGCUUAUUUGAGGAAAAACCCAAUUGAGAAAACGACCUGAAAUCCAAAAAUUCGACAAUGACCAAUUGAAAAUUUCCCAAAAGACUGAGAAUUUUACAGGCUUGAAGGGCUUUGCGUACCUUGAGAGAUUGAUUGACAGGCGGGUGGAGGGGAGAGAAGACAUGGGAGUGGCCUUGAACGCUGGUUUGUUGACGGCAGAUUUGAGAAGAGAGAAAGCCGGCUUCGAGAAAGAUCUGCAGCGAGAGGCCAUUGGAGCACUGGGCGGAGAAAUAGCGGAGUUAGGGUUUUGGGGUUAACAGUCACAGCAGUUGGAAGUUGGAGAGGCAGGGGUAUGGCUGAAAUGGAGGAAAGAGUAAGGCUGACAUGGGAGAAAGAGAAGGAGAAGGAGUAAACCAGAGGAGAAAUAUAAGAGUGAAAUGGAAGUGCAGAAGUACUGGGAAAGACGAGGUUUAAAUAUGGAUAAAAACUUAGUGUCGGUUAAUACCGACAGUAGCUACAACUUGUGUUGAACAAUGAACACCCUACGUUGGUCAAAACCGACGUAAUAUCUGACAAAUGAUAAAAUUUGCUUGCGUCGAAAUAUGAUGACUUUGCGUCGGUUCAAACCGACACUAGGUCUGACACACUUUUGACUGAAAGGUCUGACAUUUUUUUUACUGACAGGGUUGAAUCGGAUAAAACCGACGUUAGCUUGAUAGAUUUGUGUAGCGUCGAAAUAAUGAGAGUUUGCGUCGGUUAAAACUGACGCCAACUCUGACACAGUCUGCAAGAGCUCGUCCAACCCAUUUCCCCGUGCAAAAAAAAAACCGGGAAAAUUCUUUAAAUUUGAAUUUUUUAAAUUUGAAUCUUCAAAUACCUUUAUCUACCCGUUUUCUAAUUAAAAACACAUUAUUACUAAUCUUACCAAUUUAUCAAAAAAUCAAAAGAAACAUUGCCAGAGGUAGAUAAAAAAUAAAUAAAAAAUUUGUGAUGUAGGUAGAAUUUAUGAUAGAGGUAGACUAUGAACAAAAACCUAUUGUAUAGAUACAUAAUACAAAAUAAUUUGUGAUACAUAUAGACUAUGAACAAAAACAUAUUGUAUAGGUAGAUAACACAAUUAAUUUGUGAUAAAUAGGUAGAUAACACAAUUAAUCUUAGAUAGAUUAUCAACAAAAUAUGUUUUAUAUAUAGGUAGAUAAAUACAAUUAUUCAUGAUACAUGCACACAGUAUAAUAUAAAAAGAUUUAAAAAAUGACCAGUGAUAUAGGUAGAUACAAACAAAACAAAAAAUCGUGAAGAAAAAUGAUAUUGAGGGAGGAAACACUAGAGAAAAUGCUAAUUCGAUAGAACUUCAAAGUUCAAAAAAAUAUAAAAAGGAGAAUGAAGCCAAAAAAAAAAUGAGACGAAGAACCCAAAACACAAGAUUGACUAAUGCAAUUUCUUUAAAAAAAAUAAAAUAAAAAAACCAAUCAAAUGUAUAUUGAUCAUCCUUAUGGAAGGAGGAGGAGAAGAAAAAUAUUAUGGAAGAACAUUACUGGGCAAAGAAAAAUAUUAUGGAAGAACAUUACUGGGCAAAAUAACGCAGGAAGAGAAAGAUAUUGUGAGGAAGAAACAAGAAAGAGAAUUAAAAAAGAAAAGAGAAUGAACGGUUUGGGGAAGAAGAAGAAAAAAAGGAGAUUUAAAUCCCUAAUCCUAUAAUUAAGGAUAAGAUUAACAUUAAUCACAAACUUAAAAAACAGUAAUUACUUCAUUGGUCAAUUUAAGGGUAAAUUUGGCAAGAGAAUACAAAUAAGCUUAUGUGGACAAUGAAUCACUAGACCUAACCCAAAAAUUAAACAAAAUUGGAUUAUAACUAAUAAUAGCUCAUAAAAUUGGACUAAUAUUAAGUUUCUCCUAAAAUAUAAUCAGUUAUUUUAUCUUAUAUAAGAGCCUAAUAAAAAAAUAAUACAUACACUACUAAUCUAUGUCAAGGAGUGUAGCUGUAAAAAAUCAUUAAAAUCGGAGUUAAAAUAACCGUUAAAUCAUGAUUUUUCGUUUAUAACCGUCGAAAAGCUUUGUCCCGUUACUUGAUCUCUGAAUGUUUGUUUUUUGUGAUUUUUUGCUGAUGUGAUCUUGAAGCAUAUGCAAACAAGUUUGACGGUUGGGAUCGUUGAAAUUUGUUUCGGAGAAUUCGUAUCCCAUCAAAACAAUAGAUUGACUAACACUUAGAGUUUAUUUAUACUUUUAUUAAGUAUAACAUAAAAUUAUGUGGUAUCCACUUGUGUAAAUAUUUUAAAUUGAAGAUCGAAUUCAUUCAUUGUAUUCAUAUAGGGUCAAGGAGUGUAGCUGUAAAAAAUUAUCAAAAUCGGAGUUAAAAUAACCGUUAAAUCGUGAUUUUUUGUUUAUAACUGUCGAAAGCUUUGUCCUGUUACUUGAUCUCUGAAUGUUUGUUUUUUUUUAUUUUUUGCUGAUGUGAUCUCGAAGCAUAUGCAAACAAGUUUGACGGUUGGGAUCAUUGAAAUUAGUUUCGGAGAAUUCGUAUCCCAUCAAAACAAUAGAUUGACUAACACUUAGAGUUUAUUUAUACUUUCAUUAAGUAUAACAUAAGAUUUUGUGGUAUCCACUUGUGUAAAUAUUUUAAUUUGAAGAUCGAAUUCAUUCAUUGUAUUCAUAUAGGGUCAAGGAGUGUAGCUGUAAAAAAUCAUCAAAAUCGGAGUUAAAAUAACCGUUAAAUCGUGAUUUUUCGUUUAUAAUCGUCGAAAAGCUUUGUCCCGUUACUUGAUCUCUGAAUGUUUGUUUUUUGUGAUUUUUUGCUGAUGUAAUCUCGAAGCAUAUGCAAACAAGUUUGACGGUUGGGAUCGUUGAAAUUAGUUUCGGAGAAUUCGUAUCCCAUCAAAACAAUAGAUUGACUAACACUUAGAGUUUAUUUAUACUUUCAUUAAGUAUAACAUAAGAUUUUGUGGUAUCCACUUGUGUAAAUAUUUUAAUUUGAAGAUCGAAUUCAUUCAUUGUAUUCAUAUACGGUCAAGGAGUAGCUGUAAAAAAUCAUCAAAAUCGGAGUUAAAAUAAUCGUUAAAUCGUGAUUUUUCAUUUAUAACCGUCGAAAAGCUUUGUCCCGUUACUUGAUCUCUGAAUGUUUGUUUUUUGUGAUUUUUUGCUGAUGUAAUCUCGAAGCAUAUGCAAACAAGUUUGACGGUUGGGAUCGUUGAAAUUAGUUUCGGAGAAUUUGUAUCCCAUCAAAACAAUAGAUUGACUAACACUUAGAGUUUAUUUAUACUUUCAUUAAGUAUAAUAUAAGAUUUUGUGGUAUCCACUUGUGUAAAUAUUUUAAUUUGAAGAUCGAAUUCAUGCAUCGUAUUCAUAUAGGGUCAAGGAGUGUAGCUGUAAAAAAUCAUCAAAAUCGGAGUUAAAAUAACCGUUAAAUCGUGAUUUUUCGUUUAUAACCGUUGAAAAGCUUUGUCCCGUUACUUGAUCUCUGAAUGUUUGUUUUUUGUGAUUUUUUGCUGAUGUGAUCUCGAAGCAUAUGCAAACAAGUUUGACAGUUGGGAUCGUUGAAAUUUGUUUCGGAGAAUUCGUAUCCCAUCAAAACAAUAGAUUGACUAACACUUAGAGUUUAUUUAUACUUUCAUUAAGUAUAACAUAAGAUUUUGUGGUAUCCACUUGUGUAAAUAUUUUAAUUUGAAGAUCGAAUUCAUGCAUCGUAUUCAUAUAGGGUCAAGGAGUGUAGCUGUAAAAAAAAUCAUCAAAAUCGGAGUUAAAAUAACCGUUAAAUCGUGAUUUUUCGUUUAUAACCGUUGAAAAGCUUUGUUGCGUUACUUGAUCUCUGAAUGUUUGUUUUUUGUGAUUUUUUGCUGAUGUGAUCUCGAAGCAUAUGCAAACAAGUUUGACGGUUGGGAUCGUUGAAAUUUGUUUCGGAGAAUUCGUAUCCCAUCAAAACAAUAGAUUGACUAACAAUUAGAGUUUAUUUAUACUUUCAUUAAGUAUAACAUAAGAUUUUUUGGUAUCCACUUAUGUAAAUAUUUUAAUUUGAAGAUCUAAUCCAUUCAUUGUAUUCAUAUAGGGUCAAGGAGUGUAGCUGUAAAAAAUCAUCAAAAUCGGAGUUAAAAUAACCGUUAAAUCGUGAUUUUUUGUUUAUAACUGUCGAAAUUAGUCUCAUAGAAUUCGUAUUCAAUCAAGUUCAAUGGUGUGUGUGUGUAUAUAUAUAUAUAUAUUAAGUAGAUUUAAAUUUAUUUAUUUUUUAUGUAUAACACUUAAGAAAUUGAAUCGUAUGUAUAUUUAAGCCAAUCCAAUGAUCACCAAUUUUUUAAAAUUUAAUUUAAUAUAUAUAUAUAUAUAUAUUUAUAUAAUUAUUAUAGUUUUUAGGGAUAUAAAAUUUAAUUUAAUAUAUAUAUAUAUAUAAUUUAUGUUGCUUAAAAGCGACACUAGUAUUUAAAAAAUACUUUAUGUCGCUUAAAAGCGACACUAGUAUUUAAAAAUUAUUAAAAUAAUGUUUACGUCGGUUUAAAAGCGACACUAGUAUUUAAAAAUUAUUAAAAUGUAUGUUUACGUCAGUUUAAAAGCGACAUAAACAUUUUAUGACGCUUAUAAGCGACAGUAAAUCCGACGUCAUGUUCAAUUAGUGUCACAACUGCCUAAUCCGCCACUAUAUUAGAUUAAAGCGACACCACCCUCCGACACUAUAACCCCCUUUUGUAGUAGUGAUCGGUGGUGAGCAAGGCAGUGGAGGUUGGCAACAAGAAUAACCUCACCUUCACCGUCAGGAACUACGCCGACUUCGUCAUCCAGCAUGCCGGCCAAGCCGUCGCUGACGGAGCUAAAUGGUUCCAGGGCCGAAUAAUAAUUUCACAAUUUCCACCAUUUUUCACAUUUUCUGCCAUUUUUUCUCAUUCACAUUUGUUUACAGGGAGGUCGGAGCUUUAGGAGUGUGAAGAAUAGUAUACAGAGAUGGGAGGAAGCAGCUGUUUCCUGUAGGUAAUUUUUGCUCUGACUUAUUUAGAUUUUAUAUUCUGGGUUAAUUAUCAACCGGAUUUUGUUACUAGAUUUAGAAUUGUAAUUUGGUACCACUUCUGCCACAUGCCGCUUCAGUUUUCACAUCCUAAUGCCACGAAAUGCUAAUUUUAAACUCUAGGUUAUGGGUAAGGAUUAGUAUUUGGAGGCACAAAUUCUUCUCAGCUGCUAAACCAAGUUCAAAAUCAUUUUGCGCGUGGUUUACAUUAGGCUAUUCAAGCCCUAUUUUAAAUGUAUGAUUGGUUUAUGUGAAAUGAAAGAGAGUUAGAAUACCUUGUGAGAUGACUGAUUCGAGAACCCAUUUUAAAUAAAACGUAUCAAAAGUGUUGAGCUGAGAGCGAAGAGAUUCUUUGCAUGGAAAACAGAUUUCACUUUGUUUUCUUUACUCAAAGUGCUCUUAUUUAAUCUGGUUCUGUUUCGGUUGCAUAGUAUGUGGUUCGCAGCGACUAAGAAUCGUUUCCUAAGAAAUCUAUUGAGCUAAGUUCUUUUUGGUAGGAAAUUAGGGUUGCUGAUGUUAGCAAUGGAUUGAGUCUUUCUGUUUGGUAUGAUUAUAUCUCUGAACAAGCAUUAAUAAAUAGAACGAUUUCCAUCAAUAAUUUUAUUCGGUCAAGAUUCAAACUCCCAUUGUAGAUCAAACUAUAAGUCAAACUCCCAUUGCAGAUCAAACUAUAAGUCAAACUCCCAUUGCAGAGCAAACUAUAAGUCAAACCCCAUUUCAGAACAAACUGGGAACGAGGAGGCGCAAUAGGGUAUGGCUAUUUCCGGGCCGUCGUUCAUUUUGAGAUUCUGGUAACAUCUAUAUAAGCUAGCUUAUUUUUAGACCAUUGUUUAGGUGUACAUAAUUGUUUAAUGGCUUUGUACUUUUCCUUUUUGUCAGCUAUAGAUGUUCUAAAAGAUACACAUACCCCUCCACGGAGAAUCAAGUUCAUUAGUUUACAUUAUAUAUCAUUUUUAUGAUGUAAGAAACCACAACCAUCUAAAAGUUUUAGUGAAGUUGUAUUUUAAAGUCAGGUUGGUAGGACAUGUUGCUAUAUAUAUUUUCAAAAAGUUUUCAACUUCGAAUUUUGUGAUGUGUGAUUAUAGAGCAAGGAGAAUGUGACCCCGAUUAGCUCGAAGCUUGCGGUAAACUUUCUUUUUGUUCAGGGUUACGAGAAUUCUUACAAUAAGAACUAGAACAACUCAGAUUUUAAUUUUCGGUUUAAAGCUGUUUUUAAUUUGGUCCGCCAUGUUUGUUUGUUAUUAGGAACCUAGAAGAGUCUUGAAUUCAGUUUUCAAACUCUGACUGAAAAUGGAACUUGGUGCUAUUAAGCUAUCAUCCUCAGCCAGGUAGCGCCAUGACUUUUACAUUGCUGCUUUCAUUUUAUGUACUAAUUAUUGUUCUAUGAAUUGUAUUCUUCAGUUAAAUAAUGAUUCAUCCUCCUUUUCCCAUCUCCUUGGUUUUUUCGUUUAGAUUUUUCUGUUUGCGUAUUAUAAUUUUUUUGGGUAUUGGUUACUGUGCACUUAUUAGGUAAGUCAAUUCUCAUGUGAUUUGUACAUUCACAUUCCUGGGUGUAUAAUUUAUAAUAUGUGAACAUAUUAUAGUAACUAAGUUUAAUCCCUGAAUUUAUUAUUUAACUGGGAUGUAGAUUUCAUAAUUGAAAUUAUGUUAAAUGUGAAUUGUUAGUGAUUACACUUCACUCAAUUAUAUCAAUCCUCUUCAAUAUGUAGAUGUAAGUUCGUUAUUAGUGCCAUUAAGGGUUGAUUAAUCCUCAUAUGCGUAGCAAUAAUUAUUAGUGCCAUGUAGUGUUGGUACUUAUAUAAACGCAUUUUAAACGAAUGUUAGUAUAUUCUUAGGGAUGUUAACAACACUACUCUCUAGUUUAGCCAGGUACCUACUUUGGUUUUUUCGUUCCCUCAUCAUAUGCUUUGCACAAUCGUAACUAUGAGCUAAAUACUAAUGGGUGAAUAAUGAAUGUUCUGCUGAGUAGUAUGUUAUUACCAAUCUUGGUAGAUUUACAAAGCAUAUGAGAGAAUUCGUCAGUAGAGUUAAUCAUCUGUAACAAUAAAUGUUAAUUAUUCAAGCUUGAUUUCUUGGCAAUGGCUUCCUUCGUUAGCGUCUACAACUACGUCUCUCUUCACUUUCCCACUUCCUCCGGUCUCUCUUUCUCUUUCUAAUCUCUACUGAGUUUCUUUCAAUCUGUCAAUUUAUAUAAUUUAUUCUUUGAUGUGAUAUUUGGUGCGUUUGAUUUGGUUUUGUGAAUGUCUUCCUGACUUUUCUUCUUUGGAUUCAAAUAAUAAGUUCAAUGGUUAUAUACAUAACAGAAUAGUGAUUUGCGAACAAGGCAAUUCAAAGCUUGAAAAUUUGUAUAUCAUGCUAAGCUGACUACCUUUUUUCCCCACUUUUUCGACUUUGAGGAAUUGCAGUAUUUUAGCCCAACUUGCUAAAAUUUUUGUUUAUUUUUAAAUGAAUUCUAUAUGAAUUUACUUGGAAAUGUUAUAUGAAUUUUGUAUAAACUUGAAUAAAACUUAUAUCUGCAGGUUGAAUGUGUCCUUUGCCAACUAUUUUUUGGUAUAAGAAAAAGAUUACAUUAUACACACACAAUGCAAUGUGUUACCUAUCUGUUUAUAUACAUGUUAUAUUAAUACAUAUAAUGUUACAUGUUAAACAAAGCAAUAGAUGCCAAGCCAAAAGUGAGAAUGGGAACGAAGAAUCCAUGUCAAAAUCUCGCAUUUGUUCAAAGUGGUCUUGAUGGAACAUGGAAUCCAUAUCACCAAGUGUACUAAUUCAAGGUUCAUUGUUUAAUUCUUAAAUUAAAAUUAAUUUUGUCUUGACUCCAGUUUCUUCAUGCCUUUCUUAACUUCACAUGCAUAGUUGAUAAAGAGCUUCAGGAGGGUCAUUACUAAACAUCUACAAAUUUGUUAAGCCUAAGGCUUCCAGUUAUCAAACUACAGGUAACUACGGAUUAGUAGAUGUUUAGUAAUGACCCUUCUGAAAUUAUGGGUAUAUUAUCGAUAGUAUUGAUCAAUCGAGUAUGCAUGAGAACUUAAGUAAUCAUUGCCAUAAAAAGUAGAAGUGAUGACUCACACCAGGAAUCAGUUAUCUCAUCAACAACUUUAUUUUUAUCUAAGAUCGAGUUUGAUACCUGUAGGUGUAUAUAGGUUAAAUCGAUUGUUAAGAUGGAAAUUUAAUCACUUUUCAAUGUCCGAUAUCUCCAUCUCCCUGUUCUAGAUUUUUACUUACUUGAAAUGAAUAGAUUCGAGGUGUUUCAUUUAGCAAAAUGAGCAGUGGAUAGUGCUAAUUUAAACCUAAAAGUGAAUAAAUUUAAACCUAAAAGUGCCUAAAUAUAAGAGUGCGCAUGUGAGCAGAAUUGAACCCAAUUCACACGUGAUGCAGAGCACAAGUAAAGUGCAGUAGAGGUAGGAUAGUAAAGGUAAUCACCUAUACCAAAAUUUGCCAAGAAUCCUCGUCGACAUGAAAGCUCAGCUAUUAAAACUUGGAGGGGCGAAAAACAAAGGUGAGUGGGCUUAAAAAUAAAGCUUUGUAAAAACUUUUUCGAAAACAUAACAACCCCUUACUGUAAAACAAGUAUAGUUUCUAAAAUAUACAUACUACGUAUAGUAUGAAAAUACUUACCGUAGCCUGCAAUAUCUCAAAAAUUCAAUAAGUCACAAUAUUUCUAUAAUAAACAUCUAACGUCCGGUAAUCACAUAAUCUCGCAUAAACAAAAGUACCAUAUCGAGUGCUCAUUGACAUAUGCUAACACACGAGUUCAUGCAGAGGUAUUAUAACAUGAAUAGGACUAGAUGUAAUAAUGAUUUACGUUCUAGUACUACAAUCACGUGAAAACCUGCGCUAUGCGCAUCACAUAUGAGUCCUAAUUGCCUAUAGCAAUCUAGGAUAGGACUGGCAGCUACAAUGGAUCCAAAGUGAGCGUACCGUGUGAUGUGAACAUACACGUGAAAGAUUGUCCCUGGCCUUGGGCAUGUACUAACAUCGAUGUAGCACACGAUGAGCAGAUAACAUAAAUAUAAUCAUGCCAUAGUGAUUCGAUAAUACUAGUCAACAUAAUGUUAUUCAUGACUGCAAAUAUAAUUAAAGCAUCCCGAAAUAGUACACAUAACUUUACAUAAUGAUUUCCUAAUUCUCAACAUUACGACAUUUCUUAUAAACGUUAAUUUAAUUAUGGAAAUCACAUAGAAACUUCGUUAUUAGAUGUAUAUAUGGAAAAUAAACAAAUACAUAUAUUAUAUAAAAGAACAGACCCACUAACAGAUACUUGUGAAGUCGUAGUUGUUCGAACAGAGAAGCCGGAGUCUCCGCUAGUAAUCGCACCUAAGCAUUAUAUUGGGACCCAUUAGUUAAACUCAAUUAAAACGAUUAAAUUUGAGAAAACGAAGUGUGAAUUUGGAAUCAGGGCGACGAAAUACGCUAAGAAGGGUCCCGAAAAUUUUUCGUAAAAUGUCAACGAAAAGUCAACCGAGACGCCGAGCCAGUCAACUAUGUUAAAUACGGUUGAUGUGAAAUAUUUCAACAGAAACUAUGAGGAGAAUUUAUAAGAUAGAUAUUUAAUAGACGACAUUGAUGUUUUAUGUUUCUGCGCUUCAAGUCCGCCAGCCCUUUUGCAUUUGUUGCCUAUUGCACAACUGAUGGAUGUUAAUAUUCAGUUUACAGGCAGUUCCUACAAAACCAGUUCCCUUGUAGUCUACGAUUCUCAUUCAUUCGCUCCGAUGAUUGGAACGAAAUGUUGUACAAAUUUCGUAGCUCUGGUUUUAGAAUUUUAGACAACUCUUGCUAUACACAUUACUCUUAAAUAUCUAAUUGUUGUACAAGUAUUCUUAGUUACUGAGGCAUAGGAAAGUUUCGAUUUCAUUUGAUUGAAAAAAGUGUCUCCAAUUAAUCGAAUGAAUAAGAAUCCUUUUAAAUGAACAUAGCUGCUUUCAUUCUAAUUUCAGAAUAUCCAAAUCCAUGACAACAUGCAGCACUCUACUAUCUUUAUUUACAUUACUUUCAUCUCCAUUUUUUUUGGUUAAAAAAACUCUACGGUACGAACAAACAUUAUUAUAACGUUAAACAGUACGAUAUAUAGAGUAUAGUCUUGAACUUCGACAACACAAUCAACUAAAAGCUAAAAAGAACAAAUACAUUCUUUCUUUUUAAAGAAACCUCGACGGCGAGGGAAAAUUUUAUUGAAUAGAAAAAAAAAGUUACACCUAGUCAGGGGGGGACAUAAACCUUACCCCUCAAUAUUUUAAACACAAACACAAAUACAUAACGUGAAACAAACUUAUAACUAAACAUAUAAAAAGAGAAGGAAAGAAACCACAACAGAGAAAACAAACAACAACAACAAAUGCAUAACAUUGUAACAAACUCAAUUUCUACGCCCCCACUAGUACUCUAAAUUUUCCUUAUAUAUCAUUUGUCUGAUCAUUCCAACAAUCUUAAGAAACAAGUCGGGCCUCCUUGUGAUCACAACAUCAGCAAGAACUAACCCCACGACCAACCCACUUCCACAUCCGGCCGAAACAAUUUUCCAACCAAAUUCAAAUAUUCCUGCUGAGCUAGAAUCACCUUCGUCUACGGUUGAAGGUGGACGUUGAGGGGCCGUAGAAUUUCCACAUUUCUUUGGCAAUGGAUCUCCACACAACCCUGGGUUUCCCUCAUAUGAAGUGAUAUUCAAUGAAGUAAGCUGGGUUCCUUGUGGUAUAGGACCUGUGAGAUUGUUGUGAGACACAUUGAAACUGCCAAGAAAAGUAAGUUGCUUUAGUUGUGGGGGGAUCUGUCCUGAGAGCAUGUUUUGCGAAAGGUCCAACGAUUCAAGGUUCAUCAAGUUUCCAAAGGAUGAUGGGAUAGAACCAGUGAGACUGUUGUGGGAAAGAUUCAGAGAAUGAAGCUCCUUAAGAUUCCCGAUGAAUUCUGGAAUCUUUCCUUCAAAUUUGUUGCUUGAUAUAUCAAAGGAUGCAAAUUCUUCUCGAAUCUUUGGAUAGUAUUGCUCCAAACCUUUCGUUGCUAUUGUGAGUGCGUAAUCACCUCUUCUAUCAAUCGUGAUCCCGCUGACAUCAUAAACUACGUCUGUAUACAUAUAGGCUGACUUGUUUAUAAUAAUAUCUGGAAAGAUAGAUGGAACCGCGCCAGUAAAAUUAUUGUAAGACAAAUCAAGAAUGCGUAACUUGGGGAAAUCGACAUUCAUUCUAGAUUUUCGAAUCACACCGUAGAAUCCAUUAUGGCGCAUUGCCAAAAGUUUUAACUCUAGAAGAGUCCCCAACCAAAUGGGAAAAACAUCAUUGAAUUGAUUGUUUGACAAAACAAGAUACUCAAGCCUCACACAAUUGACCAAUGACCUCGGCAAUUGCCCCUGCAAUUUGUUAUGACUCACGUCAAUCAUCCUCAAACUGUUUCCGUUGUUGUAUGUCUGAGGAAUAACUCCAUGAAAGGAGUUGUUUCCAAGAAGUAAAAGAAUCAGAUCAUCACUAAAGUUUCCGAGACAUUGAGGAAGCAUGCCACUCAACUUAUUUUUCGACAAGUCAAGCAACUGAAGAUUUUUCAUAUUGCAAAGCAAGGGUGAGAUUUCUCCAGUAAGGUUGUUGUCUGUAGCUGUAUAUUCUAGCAUGGUUGGUGGAGCUAUCGGUAGUGAUCCAUGAAACCUGUUGGACGAAAACUUGAAGCAUACCAUGUUCACCCAAGGAAGGACAGGUGGAAGUUGGUCUGAAAUGAAGUUUUGACUCAUGUCUAAGAAUACCAAAGUUUCUAUGCUUGUGUUCCACAUCCAUUUUGGUACUUGGCCCUGGAUUUUGUUUGCAGCAAUGUCGAAACGCGUCAACCCCUUUUGAUAUUGUAAGAAGGAUGGAAACUCACUUAUGUUGCAAGAACUCAAUCCAAGAAUGGUGAAUUGUUGAACUGUUGAAUUCACAAUUCUGGAUUCAGUGACAAAUUCUAAACUGUUCCAAUUGAAUGUGAGUUGGGAAAGAAAUUUUAGAUUUUGAAACAUUUGAAACUCCACUACACCACUCAGACUAUUCGAUGCUAGGUAAAGGAUCUGAAGGUUUGUGAGAUUUGAAAAUGACAAGGGAACUGAACCAUUUAAUCUAUUAUAAUUAAAAUCUAGGUACUCUAGUUUGCUAAAGUUUCCUAACCAAGAUGGGAUUGGACCAGUUAAUCGACUCGUACUAAUCCUAAAAGUAACCAGUUGGGUAAGGUUUGAGAAGGAAUCAGGAAUUGGACCUCCAAAUUUGUUGGCUGAAAUGUCUAGAUAAGUGAGCUUCCUAAGAUUCCCAAGUGAAGAUGGAACCAACCCUUCCGAAAAAUUGCAUUGAGCCACAUCCAACUUUUGCAGUGAAUCAAGGUUUCCAAUCGAAGAGGGUACGUUUCCGAAAAAACUGGUAAAUGAAACUUUCAGAAGCAUGAGAGGACUACUUCGAUUAAAUUCAGGAAAAUAUCCAGUCAGAUCUUGGUUGUAUCUCACAGUAAGAAUUUCUAGGUUUGGUAGCUGGAAAAUUCUCACCGGAAAUUCACCAAACAGGUGACAUUCCACGAGGGCUAGGGUUUUCAAAGAUGAUAAGUUAGCCAUUGAAUGAGGAAUUGCCGAAGAUAUGUUUACGAAACUGAGAGAAAGUACCUCGAGAC
rnacentral:lncRNA from 1 species